rnacentral:lncRNA from 1 species
CUGGUGGCUUCUCUCCCUUAGGUGGUUUGCCAACUGGGGUUGGUGGCUUGUAUGAGUCUUCAGCAUUCUCUGCAGGAGGGUGACCAGGGUUGUGACCAUAAUGUGGUGGCUUCUCUCCCUUAGGUGGUUUGCCAACUGGGGUUGGUGGCUUGUGUUCUGGGAGUGGCUUCUCCCCCUUGGGAGGUUUUUCCAAUGGGGUUGGUUUGUGUUCAGGAGGUGGCUUCUCCACUGGAGGCUUGUGUUCAGGAGGUGGCUUCUCCACCGGAGGCUUGUGUUCAGGAGGUGGCUUCUCCACCGGAGGCUUAUGCUCUGGUGGUGGCUUCUCCACCGGAGGCUUAUGCUCUGGUGGUGGCUUCUCGAAUGGGGGAUGCUUAGGGUAAUCAGCAAGUGAGGGGGCGGUGAGAACCACCAGGCCAAGCAAGACCACUAGCAAGUAUGUAGGAGACAUCUUUGGGUUUAGACUCAGAUGGUGCAAAACUAGGAGAAUUGUCUUUUAUAGCGGAUCGCACCCAAUAAUGAAAUGACACGUGUCUUUAUGACCCAUGUGUAAUGGGGUCGAUUUGGGUCCUACAGUGUUGAAAACUUCGACAUCCACUUUUGGCCUUUUGCUUUCUCUACAGCCGCCUUGCUUUUUCCCUCUUUCCUUUUGUUUUCCUCCUGCCCCAUUCUAUCAACUAAACACAAUUAUGUAGUUGUUUAAUUCUUAAAUGAGAUAUUAUCCGUCAAUCGUAUCAUAUUUUAUCAACAGAGAACGGAGUGCAAUGUGGCAAUCCAAAGAAAGAAGAUCCAUAAUGCAGCUGUAAUUUUAUCGUUUACUUUUAUCUCUUGGACCACUGCAUUUUUGUUAAGAGGUGCAAUAAUACACGUCUUUAUCUGCCAUUCAAUGUUUACAGUAAAGAGAGGGCACAAAACUCUUCACUGCUCUGCAUGUGUCCCAAAAAUGCAAUUGGACAAAUUAUGAUUUGCAUGCUAAAAAGAGGCAAAUGAGGUUAAUUCGCACCAUAAUUAUUUUGUUUUCUGGACCCCGGGGCCCUUUGGUUGGUUUGGGGGUCAGAAAAUGAACAUCAUAGGGGGUUUUUCCCUUAUGUGCAUUUGUAUCUGAUGGCUUUAACUCGCCUUGUUACUACAAAGAAAUUGUCACAUAUAGGAACUUAUUCCAGGCUGAGUAUCUCCGCAUAGACCCUAUAAAAGAAGACAAGUCAUAAUGAACAUCUAACCUUUGUUCAAUUUGAUUCAAUGCCCCAUUGUGUCCACCUCACAAAUCUGAAUUAUUAUAUCCAUUGAAUACAUAAAUUAAUGAAGAAAAUAUGAAACCCAAGAUACAUCUCUGCACAACCUCAACCCUGGUUGCUAUGUUUCCCUUCUAUUCACAUGAGGAUAUUGAUUACGGAAUAGGGAAACCUAGCAAGGGUUUACUCGGCUCUGGUUUGAUGCUAAUUGCCAAACUUGCAACAAGCCCUGAGUUUGAAGCUCACAGAAGAUGUUAUACAGGCAGGGAAAAACCUUCAGAGUUCGCUGCCAAAGAUAAUUAUUAAGGAGAUAUCACCAAGAGAAUUCCAAGGAGUCUGAAUCAAAGACAAAUUGGUCGUUCGUGGAGGUUCUUACUUUCUUUUGGGUAUAACUCACUGAGGGCACUGUCUUUUUUAUUUUCAUUUCACAUUUAGAGUUCUGUUCUGGAAACAUAUAAAAGGAGCAUCAGUUUGUUCUUGGGUAACCCAUAGUCGUGAGUGGGUCCAUUUGCAUGCUACUUAGUUGAAAAGUUGGACCAUUUGCUCCGACGCCUACCUCCUGGAUUCCAUGCUCGGAUAAAACAAGAAUAAAAAAAUAUUUAUAAUUUACAAAUGGGGGAAAGAAAAAAAUGUCAACAACAAACUAGGAAAAAAGAGUAGUAAAAUUCAUGUCACAUGCUAGUGAGAGAAGGGGUUGUUACACUCACUCGAAGUUCUUUUCAAAAUAUCGCAUGGUAUUUUAUUUUAUGUGUGAGCGCAGUUGUGAAUGGAACGUGCAAAAGUCCAAAUUGGUGACCUUUAAUAAAUAUUUAAAACAAAAAACGAAAAAAAGGAGGGAAAAGGGAUCAGAAAAGAUAAAACAAUGUGUACAAAAGCUCAAUUAGUUUGCAAAUUACUGUUUGGAUUUUGAUAGUAUUUUAUUUGAUGUAAAAGAGAAUUUAAGAUAUUUCCGAAACAAAAGCAUUAGUUUGCUCCAUGUCAAUUUCGGCAUUUCUCAUAUGUUUCACACAUACACAGAAGAGCAUCGUUUUUUAAAGCAUGCAUUUAUGUUGGAUUAAUUUGGAUUUUGUGGGAACUGGGGCAAGGAUCACAUGGAAGAGAGGUUGACUUUUUUCAGUACUUCAAUGGUUGAGACAGGUGAAGGCCUGAUUGAUACUGAAGCCUGAAAUUGCGACUCCGUCAUUUGUCAAAACAUAUGACAGCUUCCAUGCUCUCGUUUGGUUGCAUUGUUCUGUGGUCAUGCAUACAUGCCACUUAGUGAUCAGUCUGUAACUGUCAAUCAUUGGGCUUUGACUGAACAACAUCAGCCAUGUAUAAAUACUUGCAAAUCAAACGGUCUUCUUCCUCCCAUAAGGAAUUUCGGUUUAAUUAUGAAGCAUGCAUUUGGCUGACCAUCAUAAACCACUUCUUUAAAUUGAUGAAUGAUAGUUUUUCAUUCAUUCUUUCAUUCGUUCAUAUACAGAGUAUAUAUAGAGGGUAAUCAUCAUUCUAAGAAUGGGAAAGAAUGAUACAAGGAAAUAAUGAUAUAAAGAAAUAACAACUAAUAUUCUAAUAUCUCAACUUUCCUAAUAUCUAAACAUUCCUAAUAUCUCAACACUAAAUGAUAUAAAGAAAGAAUGAUAUAAGGAAAGCAUUCCUAAUAUCUCAACACUCCUCCUCAAGUUGGUGCAUAGAUGUCAAACAUGUCCAACUUGUCUAAAAAUUUUGAGAACAGUUGACUUGAGACAUCUUUGGUGAGGAUAUCGGUCAAUUGAUCUUCUGAUCGAAUCUUAGGCAAUUCCACAAUCUUAUCAUCCAACUUUUCCUUAAUGAAAAAUCUAUCCAUCUCGACAUGCUUUGUACGAUCAUGUUGUACUAGAUUAUGAGCAAUGUCACAUGCUGCUUUAUUGUCACAAAACAAUCGGAUUGGUUGCCUAGAUAGGUAACCUAAAUCCUAUAAGAGGAGUCUUAGCCAUAAUGCCUCACAAAGUCCUAAAGUCAUACCUCUAAAUUCCGCUUCUGCACUUGAACGAGCGACGACAUUUUGCUUCUUACUUUUCCAUGUCACAAGAUUACCACCUACAAAGGUAAAGUAACCAGAUGUAGAUCGCCUAUCAUCCACUGCACCGACCCAAACAGCAUUAUACUUCUAUACUCUGAUGAUCAACAUUUUUAGCGAACAAAAUUCCCUUCCUAGGAGCAUUCUUCAAAUACCUCAAAAUACGCAUGACUACAUUCAUAUGUUGCUCUCCAGGAUUAUGCAUGUAUUGACUCACUACACUCAAUGUAUAAGCAAGAUCUAGUCUUGUAUGAGCUAAGUACAUUAAUCUCCCCACAAGUCUCUGGUAUCUUCCCUUAUCGAUUGAUACUUGAUUAGGCUCAACACACAAUUUCAGACCUUCUUCUAUUGGUGUAUUAAUAGGUUGACAUCCCGACAUUCCAGUUUCCUGUAGAAGAUCUAAGGCAUACUUUCUUUGAGACAGAAAAAUUCCUUCACUUGAUCGAGAAACUUCAAUCCCAAGAAAGUAUUUCAGACGACCAAGAUCUUUCAUUUCAAAUUCUCUAGAUAGAUACUUUUGCAAAGCUUUUCUUUCUUCAGGAUCAUUUCCUGUAACUACAUGUCAUCCACAUAUAUCAUAAGUGUCGUAAUCUUACCAUGUUGCUUUUUCAAGAACAAAGUGUGAUUUGAAUUACUUUGAUGAUAGCCAAAAGCUCUCAUUGAUUUUGUGAACCUUCCAAACCAUGCUCUCGGGGAUUGCUUCAACCCAUACAAUGACUUCUUCAAUUCGCACACCUUCUGACAUUGCUUUUCUGACACCAUGCAUCCUGGUGGAAGAUCCAUAUAUACUUCUUCAGAUAAAUCGCCAUGCAGAAAGACAUUUUUUACAUCGAACUAUUGUAAUGGCCAAUCUAGGUUUGCAGCUAAAGACAAUAAUACUCGAACUGUGUUGAUCUUAGCUACAGGUGCAAAUGUCUCUGUGUAGUCAAUUCCAUAAGUUUGAAUGUACCCACUAGUCUUGCUUUAAAUCGUUCAAUACUACCAUCUGCCUUGUACUUCACAGUAUAGAUCCAACGACACCCAACUAGCUUCUUUCCUGGUGGACAUUCUACGAGUUCCCAUGUUUCAUUUUUCUGCAAUGAUUUCAUCUCUUCAUUCAUGGUUGCUUUCCACUUUGGAUCAGCUAAAGCUUCCUGCACACUAUUAGGAAUAGCUACAGUAGAUAAUUGAUUUACAAAUGACUUAUUUGAUUCAGACAAACCAUGGUGUGGACCCGCAUUUUUCACGUGCGCCUCUACUCGAUCGGCGAGACUCGCUUUCUAUUUGUGAAAAAUUAAUUUUAGAAAAGUUGGAGUCGCCACCUAUUUUAUUUUUAUUUUGAAGGGAAAAUAAAACAAGAAAGAAAAACCCUAAAAAGUGACUCCAUAGUUUUGGAAAAAGCAUGUCUUUGGGAAACCUGAGUCUAGGUCCGGGGAUCAUGUUACUUAUUGGGAAGGUACCUCUAGGAGGUAGCACCCCUCUAAGCCUUAUGAAGGUCUCUACUAACUAAAUUAAGGGAAGUGUGGCAAUAAAUCGAUUGAUCAUAGAUACCUAAGUAGACUAGGUGAUUUUAAAGUGUGGCAUGUCAAACACAAUCAAAUUGCAAUAAAGGAGAGUUAGGGCGCGUACCUGAACCGCUUCUCAAGCGCUAUCAUAAAACAUCAAUGGUUAAUUUAAAUAAUAUAUCAUCCAGCAUGUAUUUUAUUAGAAAUAAUCAAACAAUGAAACAUGUAUAUCAGAACACUCAAGCAUUAUUAGACAUAAGCAUUAUUUCACUAUUCACAGAAUUCAGAAAGUAGGUGAUAGAGGACAUACCUGGAUAGCAUAGAUAAUUUGUAAUGUGCUUCCUCAAGUUGUAAGGGGUUAGAUAACAAAUAAUAAAAUAUAGAAAUCCUAGCAUGCUCGUUAUCUAAUUAGCAUAGCAAAAGUGAUCACAGUAUACAGAAUCAUCAAUUAUCACAUACAUCUUGUAUAUAAUUCCUAAAAAAAAUAGAUAGACAUGAUUUCAACAAGUGUCAAAUGUGGCAACAAAAAUAAAUUUUGAAAAGAUUUUCUUAUGUAGGGGUUUCACCAAUUCCCCAAAUUAAUAUACACGAAUUUAGCUUAGAAUUAUCCCAUUUAUUUGGGACUACAAGCUUUGAUUCGUGUUUUUGUUCAAAACCAAAAAUUUUUGUUGAAAAUCAAGAAGGAUGCGAACCGAACAAGAUAUGGUUGCAUAUUAUUUUUAAAUAAAUAAAUAAAUAAAUAAAGGAGAUUUUGAUCCUGAGGACUUUAAUGAGUUUUUUUUUUUAAAAUAGAUUUUUAAAAUGAUUUUUUUGAGAAAAGUAUUUUAUUUUAAAAUAAAAGGGAUUAAUUUGGGAAAAAAAUAAAAUAUAAGAAAUAAAAUACCAAACAAAACAAAAAUGAAACCUCAAAGUAAAAUUUUUUUAGUAAUUAACAAAAAUGAUAAUGGUGAUGGUAGAGGGCAAUCUUCAUGAUUUUCCAAUGGCCUCAGAAAGAAAAUCAAAUUAAAUGAAGGAUCACUAACAGGCAAGACAUUCUAAAUUAGACAAACUAACAAAGUAUCAAUUCAUGAACUAACCGCUAGGAUUUUGAAAGCAUAUAAGCUAAGAUAAGGGUGAUCAGGAACUAAUAUUAAUGAUUUUGAAAUAAAAACUAAAAAAAAGGAUCAAUUCGGGUAAGGAACUAAAAUUAUAAAAGUACCUAAACUAAUUAUGACGAGUUUGACUAAAUUAAACUAAAAACAUGAACUUUCAAACAUAGAAUUAAUUUUACUAAUGAACCAAAGCAAACUAAAAAUAUGUACUUUCAAGCAUAGAAUUAAUUUUAUUGAUGAACUAAACUAUAACAAAUAUCUAAACUAAAUAUAAUGAAUCAAAUUAAAUUAAAGCAACUUAAAAACGCAAACUUUCAAACAUAGAAUCAAUUUUAUCAAUGAAUUAAAACUAUAAAUGUAUUUGAACUAAAUAGAUGAAUCAAACUAAAUCAGAGCAAAAUUAAAAAAAAAAAAGAACUUUCUAACAUGAAAUCAAUUUUAUCAACAAAUAAAUGAAUGAAUAACAAGUAAUUAAAAGAAUAGCUACUACAUGAAUAACUGAAUGAAUAAAAUUCAAAUGUUUUCAAUCUGAAGCAAUCAAUCAAAAUUAAAUAGGGAUCAAAUCAAAAUAAUCGAAAUCGGAAAAACAAUAUGCAAUCUUUCUAAAGGUUUAACCAGACAAUUGAAUUAAAAUUAUGAAUAGAAUAAAUUAAUAAACCAAAUCGAAACCUAAAUUGUACCUAAAAAGAUUAAUUAAUUAAACUAAGAAAUCAAAAUCAAUAACAAAACUAAACUAAGGAGUAAAUUAAGACAAGACUAAUUAAAUUAAACUCACAAACACGUUUUAACUAUCAUAUGGAUUAAAACAAAAUUAGCAUGGACUUAUGAAUUACGAACAAAAAUAAUCAAAACUAUUUUAAAAAACUCACCUCUAUUAUAAGAAAAAAUCUGCCUUUGAUGCGUUGAGGUGGCUCCCCUCUCUGUGUGGAUCUCUCUGCUCCCCAGAAAAAAAAUGUCUCUUCCUCCGUUCUCUUUUGUUUCAGCAAAAUAAUAUAUCCCCUGCUGUGGAUCUCUCUACUCCCAGAAAAUAAUAUAUUCUCUCCGUGUCCUAAAGUGGACCUAGGGUGCCUAAGUGGACCUAGGGUGCCUAAAUGGGCCUAGGGUGCCUAAAUGGGCCAAGUGUAUCUAAAUAGGCUUAGGGUGCCUAAGUGGGCCUAAGUCUAAGUGAGCCUAAGUCUAAAUCAAGACUACCAAGGAUCAUAAUAAGGGGUUAGGCAAUCCCUUAACCAAAGUCUCCAAGGUGGCUAAAAAAAAGUAAGUAGUAUGAGUAGCUAUGGGUCACCAAGGAACUACUGUGGAGCAUUGAAAACGAAUUUAAAGACAUGUGCCAAAGGGACAAAAUUGAGGGUCUACAGAUGGUUAGACACAUAGUUGCUCAUGGGAUAUUUGACUUUGGUAAACAAUUCAGAUUCAUAUGUGGGUUUAGGAAUACCUUUAUUAUGACGGUGUGGUAAUCGUUUCAUGAAUGGAUCAGGUUGCAAAUUAAGAACACCCUCAGCAAACAACGAUUGGUUUGGUAUUUCAGUGAAGACAUCUUCGAACCCAAAUUGUUGACCACUCAUAUCCAACUCACCCGCUUCCUGGUUCACUAGUUCAGAUUGUCCAAAUUCAUCAUUCUCAUAGAUAUGAUAAUCAUAAUCGAGAGUCUGAAUUUCCUUAUGGUACUCCCCCUGAAGUUCAGACUUAGAUGAAAAAUACAUCGAAUAUUCAUGAAACAGCNNNNNNNNNNNNNNNNNNNNNNNNNNNNNNNNNNNNNNNNNNNNNNNNNNNNNNNNNNNNNNNNNNNNNNNNNNNNNNNNNNNNNNNNNNNNNNNNNNNNNNNNNNNNNNNNNNNNNNNNNNNNNNNNNNNNNNNNNNNNNNNNNNNNNNNNNNNNNNNNNNNNNNNNNNNNNNNNNNNNNNNNNNNNNNNNNNNNNNNNNNNNNNNNNNNNNNNNNNNNNNNNNNNNNNNNNNNNNNNNNNNNNNNNNNNNNNNNNNNNNNNNNNNNNNNNNNNNNNNNNNNNNNNNNNNNNNNNNNNNNNNNNNNNNNNNNNNNNNNNNNNNNNNNNNNNNNNNNNNNNNNNNNNNNNNNNNNNNNNNNNNNNNNNNNNNNNNNNNNNNNNNNNNNNNNNNNNNNNNNNNNNNNNNNNNNNNNNNNNNNNNNNNNNNNNNNNNNNNNNNNNNNNNNNNNNNNNNNNNNNNNNNNNNNNNNNNNNNNNNNNNNNNNNNNNNNNNNNNNNNNNNNNNNNNNNNNNNNNNNNNNNNNNNNNNNNNNNNNNNNNNNNNNNNNNNNNNNNNNNNNNNNNNNNNNNNNNNNNNNNNNNNNNNNNNNNNNNNNNNNNNNNNNNNNNNNNNNNNNNNNNNNNNNNNNNNNNNNNNNNNNNNNNNNNNNNNNNNNNNNNNNNNNNNNNNNNNNNNNNNNNNNNNNNNNNNNNNNNNNNNNNNNNNNNNNNNNNNNNNNNNNNNNNNNNNNNNNNNNNNNNNNNNNNNNNNNNNNNNNNNNNNNNNNNNNNNNNNNNNNNNNNNNNNNNNNNNNNNNNNNNNNNNNNNNNNNNNNNNNNNNNNNNNNNNNNNNNNNNNNNNNNNNNNNNNNNNNNNNNNNNNNNNNNNNNNNNNNNNNNNNNNNNNNNNNNNNNNNNNNNNNNNNNNNNNNNNNNNNNNNNNNNNNNNNNNNNNNNNNNNNNNNNNNNNNNNNNNNNNNNNNNNNNNNNNNNNNNNNNNNNNNNNNNNNNNNNNNNNNNNNNNNNNNNNNNNNNNNNNNNNNNNNNNNNNNNNNNNNNNNNNNNNNNNNNNNNNNNNNNNNNNNNNNNNNNNNNNNNNNNNNNNNNNNNNNNNNNNNNNNNNNNNNNNNNNNNNNNNNNNNNNNNNNNNNNNNNNNNNNNNNNNNNNNNNNNNNNNNNNNNNNNNNNNNNNNNNNNNNNNNNNNNNNNNNNNNNNNNNNNNNNNNNNNNNNNNNNNNNNNNNNNNNNNNNNNNNNNNNNNNNNNNNNNNNNNNNNNNNNNNNNNNNNNNNNNNNNNNNNNNNNNNNNNNNNNNNNNNNNNNNNNNNNNNNNNNNNNNNNNNNNNNNNNNNNNNNNNNNNNNNNNNNNNNNNNNNNNNNNNNNNNNNNNNNNNNNNNNNNNNNNNNNNNNNNNNNNNNNNNNNNNNNNNNNNNNNNNNNNNNNNNNNNNNNNNNNNNNNNNNNNNNNNNNNNNNNNNNNNNNNNNNNNNNNNNNNNNNNNNNNNNNNNNNNNNNNNNNNNNNNNNNNNNNNNNNNNAACCAAAGGAAGCAUGUUCCAGACGUCGAUGCCACAACCAAAUUUCAGACUUUUUCUUCUCCUCCUUAGAUCCAUCUGCCAUCAAGGCUUGUUGCAACUUAUUUGAAUCCUUUGAUUGCAAGUCCAAGUAUAGAGUUUCCCCCGCUUAAUACGACAACCAAUCGUCUGUCUUGUUUGAAUGUCCUUAAUCACACAAAAUUCAGGCCAAAAAAUGACAAUACAAGAUAAGGCUGCAGUGAUUUGAGAAACUAACAAAAGAUUGUAAUCUAAAGAUGGAACAACUAAAACAGAAUCCAAAUUCAAAGUAUCAGUAAGAGUUAAGGAUCCUUCCCCAAUGACUGGGGUUGUGUUACCAUUGGCUGUGGAAACAAUUUUUUGUGAGGAAGGUCUAAGGGGUGAAACCUGUCUAGAAUCAAAAGUCAUAUGAUCUGUAGCACCAGAAUCAAUUAUCCAUGCACUAUUAAUAACAGGUGUAAAAGUAUUUAAAAACUUACCACAAUGAUCUGUAGCGGCUACUAAUGCAGAGACUUUCUCAACAACAUUAGUCUUUGUUUUUAUUUCGGUAACAGUUGCAAUCAAGGUUUUCUUGGAAUUCUUCUUCCGUUGAUCACGAUUAUUAUCAUUAAUAACAAAGUGUUGAUAGCCUAAACAUGAUCUAAAGGUCCAUGGUGCAAACCCUCGGUUCCUCAUUGUUUUCCUGGUCAUACCAAGAGUUGUUGCUUUGAAAUUGUGGGAUAUCCAGACUGGUGGGAUCAGUUUUAUUGCAGUGAGUGCAUUUGAAUGUUGACUUAUCAAUAUUAGGGCUUGUCUUCGGAUGGUUGAUUGCUGUUGGACUACCAUAGCGACAAAAUAUCCAGGAUUUCAAUUCCAGGGCUCUGAUACCAUCUUCAAAUUGAUGAAUGAUAGUUUUUCAUUCAUUCUUUCAUGUACAGAGUAUAUAUAGAGGGUAAUCACCAUUCUAAGAAUGGGAAAGAAUGAUACGAGGAAAUAAUGAUAUAAGGAAAUAAUAACUAAUAUCCUAAUAUCUCAACUUUCCUAAUAUCUCAAUAUUCCUAAUAUCUCAACUUUCCUAAUAUCUAAACAUUCAUAAUAUCUCAACACUAAAUGAUACAAGGAAAGAAUGAUAUAAGGAAAACAUUCCUAAUAUCUCAACACCACUUCAUGAUAUAUAUAGUUUCUUACCCUUAAUCAAUGGUUUCUAAGUGAAUUUAUAUAGAAAGAAAUCCAAACUGUAGACAGCAGUAUUGGUAACACUCAAUAUUCUGUAUAUAAUAGAAUAAAUAGCGUCACAGUGAUCGUCGCCUACAAGCAAGGUACAAAUACCACAAAGAGUGACCCACAUAGACAUUCCCCAACAAGAUGUAGUAGUGACUGACACAUAGCCACAAUUAACACGUAGAAAAGGAUAAGACCGGUGCACAGUAGCUCUUAUUUUACAUACUACUUAUGCCAACCAAAGUCACUCAGUUGGGAUGGGAGGGAGAUGGAGGUUUGUGCGGUGGCUUGUGGGGCGGAGUUGAUGGCUUCUUUCCAGGAGCUUCUGGCUUUUUCAUCGGAGCUGAAGGAGGCUCAAUCUUAUGAGGCGGCUUGUACGAGUCUUCUUUGCUCUCGAAAGGAGGGUGGCCAGGGUUGUGACCAUAAUGUGGUGGUUUCUCUCCCUUGGGAGGUUUACCAAUUGGGGUUGGUGGCUUGUGUUCUGGGAGUGGUUUCUCUCCCUUGGGAGGUUUAGUGGGUGACUUGUGUUCUGGAGGUGGCUUCUCCACCGAAGGCUUGUGCUCCGGUGGUGGCUUUUUGGUUGGAGGGGGCUUGGGGUAAUCAGCAAGAGAUGGGGUGGUGAGAACCACCAGUCCAAGGAACAACACUAGCAAGUAUGUGGGAGACAUUUUUGAGUUUGGGCUGAUCAGAUGAUGCAAAACUAAAGCAUUACGUGACCUUUUAUAGCAAGUAGCUCCCAAUACCUACUUGACACGUGUUACUGUGACCCAUAAAUAUUAUGGGGUCUAUUUGUGCCCUACCGGGUUGAAAACUUGGACAAUUGGGCAAGGACCCGCCUGACUAUGGAGGACUACUGAGGUGUGAUCACAGCUUUAGGAUUUUUCUUCCUCUGCAGCCGUCUUGCCGUUGGCAUGAUUUUCUUAAUCUCAAAUAAAGGCAUAGUUAUAGAGUUGUUUAAUCUCUAAAUGGGAUUUUAUAUAUCUUCAGAUAGCCAUUAAUACAUUUGAUGAAGAAAGAAAGACAAGUGCAUACAACAUGUAUACGACUAGCUUUCAUGGAGUUCAUUUAUGAUCAGUUUUCCUGUACAUGUAAACCAAGAUCAUAUAUGUUUUUGUUCCACAACAAUUUUGGAAUCUUGUUUAUCCGUUUUUAUCAUUAUAAUGUCACAUAGGCUGCCAACUUGGGCGCUAAAUUAAAGAUCCAGUUGGGCAAGUUCGUUUCAGAAUUUCAAUGGUGGAUUCAGGAAUUGUUUUAUAAGAUAUGCAAAAUAGUAGAGGGAUGAAUAGUGUUUCAUUAAGAAAAGAGCCCUGUAAAAAUAUUGUUUAAAGGUGCCAUAGAAACUAUAAUCAAUAAAUAACUUUUUUUCCCCAUGGGUGGUGUUUCUUGUGGGGAUCAGUGACUGGUUUGAGUCAACGCCGUGUCUCUUUAGUCCAGAAAUCAACUAUUUUAUGCAUUGAAUACAUCAACAAAGAAAAUAUGAAAGCCAAAUGACACCUCCCCCGCAAAAACUAAACCCUGGUUGCUAACUUUCUAUGUUUCAGUUCCAUUCACACAAGAAUAUUAGUUCAAGUUUGAGAAAAAUGGCGACUUACCUAGUGAUAACUCGGUCUUGGUUUGCGAUUUGACUUUAACGUCAUGGGUUGAAGCCUCCUACAAUCAUCGUGUAUGCUAGUUCAAAGCUCGUGGAAGAAGUUAUACAGGGAGGGAGAAACCUCCACAGCAAGCUCCAAAAGAGAAUUAUCACAUUGAAAGCUCCAGUUGAACACUGGGUGAAAGCCAUAACAAGAUUGGUUUUCUAUCGCUCUUUUAAGUAAUGGAAGAUUAUUAUCUCUGCUUGUCACUACAACCGUGCAUGCUGCUAGAUCUUUCUAGACACUUCAAACAGUGAAACCAAGUAUGAUUCUUUUUCUCUUGAGUGGGUCCACUUGCAUGCCAAUGAACGAGUUGAAAAGUUGGACAAUUGGCCACAGCGCGCACUUACCUUCUGGAACCGAAGGUCAGUGAAGUGGGGUUCCUUUUGGCCCCUUGUGUUUCUGUUCCAACCUACUCCAGGAACCGAAGUUCAGUGAAGUGGGGCUACUUUUGGCCUCUUGUGUUUCUGUUCCAACCAAACAAAAAUGGGAGGGAAAAAUAGCAUUAUGCUUGUGCUAAAGAUCAACGCAUGAUAGCUGAAUAAGGGAGAAAAAGGCAUUGCUAUCUCAAUUUCAUAAACUUGAUAAGUAGUGACAUUAAUAGUCUUCCUCAUAGAUGGAUACAUGGUUUUAUUUUAUUUAUUUAUUUUUAUUUUUUUGUUUUAUGUCAAUGCUAAUGAAUGAAGUGCAUUAGCUUGUUUUGUGACUAGAACUACAAAUGUCCAAAUUGGAGCUUCUCCAAUAUAUUUCUCAGUGAGUUAUUGAUUAGAACUCUUGGAUUGAGUUCCAAGAUUUGAAUCAGACCCCUCUAGCAGCUUCAGGGGUACGUAGCAACCUAUAGCAUAUUAAUGAAGACUUAGGAUUUAGACUUAGGAAUACAAAUUAAUAUGUACCUCAUGCUCUGACUAGCUUCCCUGCGUAUGCACAAAAUGGAGAUGACUCCCAAAAAAAUAGCAGAAUCGCCUUAGUAUGUUUUUGUGGUUAAGAUGAUUCUCCACUUUAUAUAUCCACAUUGGUUCAUUAUGCAAAUUAAUCAACUAAGCUAUUUUUAUUUUUUCUUAAAUGUGAAAUAGGAGCUCCAAAUUAACCUAACCAUUGGCCUGAUUGAAUUGAUUUCACUUGCAUAAUGUUAUAGUAGAAGUCCGUAAUUUGAAUUUUAUUUUUGCAAAAGGUAACGUAAAUGAAGCAUUGUAAUUAAAUUUAUUUGUAAUUACAAACUAAUUUUAUUUUAUUAAGAAUUAAUUUAAUUACUCAUUUAAAAUAAAAAUCAGUUAUACUUUUACCAAGAUGAUAAUAUUCAUAUUUUUCUAGUUAACAUAUAUAAAAUAGUACACUUUUUCAUAUAAAAAAAUAAUUUAUGAUUUAUUAUAAUGUUACUAUUCACAUUUUACUAAAUUGAUGGUACAUGAUAGUGAGAGAAGGGGGUGUCACACUCAGCUAAAGUUCUUUUCAAAAUAUUGCAUGGUGUUUAAUUUUAUGUGUCGGCGCGCGUGUGAAUGGAACCUGCAAAAGUCCAAAUUGGCGUUUCUCCAUUUUCCACAUAGGAUGGUGACGUUAAUAGACAAAGAUACAAUAUCUGUAGACAUUGCUUAAAAAUCGAUGUGAAGUAUUAGAAAUUACAGGGCACUGUACUGGGGGAGCGGCUGCCCCGCCAAAGGAGGAAGAAUGUAGCAAUUUCUUCUGUUAGCCAGGCCUUAGGAUUUAUGCAUGGGAUGCCUAAUAACAAACAGAGAAAAUAUACUUUUGGGGAAGGUAUCCAACAACAGACACCAUCAUUCAGAUGGUGGGAAGGUAUCCAACAGAUGCCAUCAUUCAGAUGGUAACAUAUAUAUACAUUUAUUAGUGAGUUUUUUUAAUACCUAUAAAAAAAAAUAUACACUUUGAUAUUGUGGCUGAAUCCAUUACAUACUCAACUAACCUUGCUCAUUAGGGAUUUGACUUAACAAGGGCAACGUUGCAGUACAAGCUCAAAACUUUAUGCAGGUGACAUUACAUUUGGUAAAGAAGAGGAAAAUAACGAAAGCCAUCCAUAAAAGCAAAAUUCCACAUGGGAUGAAAUUCACAAGCUUCAUUUACGAUAGAGUCGCAUCCAGGCAAUUAAUUCCACAUUAGACCGCCUGUUGACAUGUGUACCAAUCUUUUUUCAAAAAAUAUUUAUAAAUAAUUGAUACUCACAAAAAUAAUUUAAUAUUUAUAAAGGAUAAAAAAAUAUUUUCAAAUCUAUAACAAUUUAUAAAAUAUUAAUAAAAAAUUAUCUCUUAAACUUAGUAUAGUUUUAUCAGAUUAAACUUUUAUUUUGAACAAAUAAUUUUAAUCUAAGUUUUAAAUUCUAAAAUUAUUUCCUUAAAAUAAAAUUUUAAAAUUCAACACUUCAAUUGAAAUUGUCUUUUUAAAAAAUAUCUUCUUAUUUUAAUCCUUAUAAACUAUAGUUGAUUGAAAAUACUAUUGAAGUUCUCUCUUAAAAAAAAGUCUUAUUUUAAUCUUCAUAAAUUGCCCUUGAUUUGAAAAUAAAUUUUCAGUUAUCAUAUUUUAAAUAAUAUCUAUAUUUAAAAUACUCUAUUUAAAAAAAAAUGAACUAAUUUUAAUUAUAUUAUAUUUUAUUUUUUUAUAUAUUUUUAAUGAUAAACCAAACAUAGAAAAUCAUUUUUCUAAAUAUUUUAAAAUUUCUAAGCAACCAAACAUAAUCUUCAAAAUAAAAGGAAAAUAAGGAGGGACAUUUGAGAAAUGGCGAUUAAAAAAAAGUGUACAAAAGCUCAAUUAAUUUUCUUCUAGUCUUUUAUAUAAAAAAGUAAAGGAAUUGAAAAGUAUUGAUAUGUAAAUUAAUAUUUGGAUUUUAAUAGUAUUUUAUUUGUCUUUCUCUAUCUCAUGUAAAAGAGAAUUUAAGAUAUUUCCUAAAGCAAAGCAUUAGUUAUCUGCAAUCAGUGGUGAUCAUGCCCCAUGUCAAUUUCGGACCCAUAUCUUAAAACUGUAUAAUUUGCAUUCAAACAUUACUGAUUUCUCAGAUGUUUCAUACUCCACAGAAGAGCAUUGUUUGUGAAAGCAUGCAUUUAUGUUGGAUUUUGGAUGAUGUGGGAACUGGGGCAAGGAUCAUAUGGAAGAGUGGUCGAUUUUGUUCUGUACUUUAACAUUUGAAAUAGGAGAAGCUCGGGCAUUUGUGGGGCUUAAUUGAUUUUGAAGCCUGAAAUUGCGUUUCUGUCAUUUUGUAAAAAAUAUGGCAGAUUCCAUGCUCUCAUAUGUUUGGUCUGUGGCCAUGUAUAGAUGCCCCUUAGUGACCAGUUUGUAACUGUCAAUCAUAGUGUUUUGACUCUGGCUCAACAACAUCAGCCAUUGACGGAUUUUCAUACUUGCAAAUCAAAUAGUCUUCUUCCUCCCUUAGGAAUUUCGGUUUAAAUGUUAUUAAGCAUACAUUUGGCUGACAAUUAUUAACCACUUCAUGAUAUGGUUUCUUACCCUUAAUCAAUGGUUUCUAAGUGAAUAUAUGCAGAAGGAAAUCUGAACUGUAGACAGCAGUAUUGAUAACUCUCAAUAUUCUUUAUAUAAGAGAAUAAACAACGUCAUAGUGAUCGUCGCCUACAAGAAAGGUACAUUUCCCAACAAGAUGUAGUUGUGACUGGUACAUGGACGCAAUUAACUCGUACAAAAGAAUAAGACCAGUGCACGGCAGCUCUUAUUUUACAUGCUAAUUAUGCUAACCAAAGUCACUCAGUUGGGAUGGGAGGGAGAUGGAGGUUUGUGCGGUGGCUUGUGGGGCGGAGUUGGUGGCUUCUUUUCAGGAGCUUGUGGCUUUUUCGGAGCUGAAGGAGGCUCAAUCUUAUGAGGCGGCUUGUACGAGUCUUCUUUACUCUCGACAGGAGGGUGGCCAGGGUUGUGACCAUAAUGUGGUGGCUUCUCUCCCUUAGGUGGCUUGCCAACUGGGGUUGGUGGCUUGUGUUCAGGAAGUGGUUUCUCUCCCUUGGGAGGUUUACCAAUUGGGGUUGGUGGCUUGUGUUCUGGGAGUGGUUUCUCUCCCUUGGGAGGUUUAGUGGGUGACUUGUGUUCUGGAGGUGGCUUCUCCACCGGAGGCUUGUGCUCCGGUGGUGGCUUCUCCACCGGAGGCUUGUGCUCCGGUGGUGGCUUCUUGAUUGGAGGGGGCUUGGGGUAAUCAGCAAGAGAUGGGAUGGUGAGAACCACCACUCCAAGGAACAACACUAGCAAGUAUGUGGGAGACAUUUCUGAGUUUGAGCUGAUCAGAUGAUGCAAAACUAGAAGAAUUACGGGACCUUUUAUAGCAAGUAUCUCCCAAUACCCACAUGACACGUGUUACUAUGACCAUAAAUAUUAUAGGGUCCAUUUGUGCCCUACCGGGUUGAAAACUUGGACGCUUGGCCGAGGACACACCUGACUAUGGAGGACUAUUGACGUGUGAUCACAGCUUUUGGAUUUUUCUUCCUGUGCAGCUGUCUAGCGGUUGGCAUUAUUUUCUUAAUCUUAAAUAAAGGCAUAGUUAUAGAGUUGUUUAAUCUCUAAAUGGGAUUUUAUAUAUCUUCAGAUAGCCAUUAAUAUAUUUGAUGAAGAAAGACAAGUGCAUACAACAUGUAUACGGCUUGCUUCAAUCGAGUACAUUUAUGAUCAGUUUUCCUGUGCAAGUAAACCAGUUUUUUGUUCCACAACUAUUUUGGAAUCUUGUUUAUCAGUUUCUAUCAUUAUAAUGUCACAUAGGCUGCAAACUUGGGCACCCAAAGAUCUAGGUGGGCAAAUUUGUUUCAGACUUUCAAUGGUGGAUUCAGUAAUUGUUAAAAGGUGUUUCUUCAUUAAGGAAAGAGUCCGGUAAAAAUAUUGUUAAAAGGUGUCAUAGAAACUAUAAUAAAUAAAUAACUUCUUUUCCCCAUGGGUGGUGUUUCUUCUGGGGAUCAGUGACUGGUUAGGGUCACCCAAAAUGAGUCCAGAUUAAAAUUGGUUCGAGUCAAAGCAGUCUCUUUUGUCCAGAAAUCAACUAUUUUGCGCAUUGAAUGAAUCGAUAAAGAAAAAAUGAAAGCCAAAUCACACCUCCCCUGCAAAACCUAAACCCCGGUUGCUAACUUUCUAUGUUUCAGUCCUAUUCAUAUAGGAAUAUUGGUUCAAGUUUGAGAAAAAUGGCAACUUACCUAGGGUUUACUUGGUUUUGGUUUGCGACUAUUUACGCAACCAACCAUGAGUUUGACUUUAACGUCAUGGGUUGAAGCCUCCUACAAUCAUGUAUGAUAGUUCAAAGCUCGUGGAAGAAAUUAUACAGGAAGGAAGAAACCUCCAAAGCUAGCUCCAAAAGAGAAUUAUCACAUCGAUAGCUCCAGAGAUUCCCAAGGGAACUGAAUCAAAGACAAGUUCCUCACUUUUUCUUCUUUUGAGGCCAAAUAUGAACCAAGGAUCACACGACCUCAUUCAACUUCAUAAGUUUGAUUUCAUGCAGUUGAACACUGGGUGAAGGCCAUGACAAGAAUUGAUUAAAAAAUUCUACCACUCUUUUAAGUAAUGGAAGAUUAUUAUCUCUGAUUGGCACCACAACAGCACAUGCUGCUAGAUCUUUCUAGACACUCCAUGCAAUGAAAGCACAAUGGAUCUUGUAAUGAUAGAAACUAAGCCAUGCUACAGUACUAGAUGAGGGGGUAAAACUAGUAGACAUCUUUCUAGACACUCCAUGCAAUGAAAGCACAAUGGAUCUUGUAAUGAUAGAAACUAAGCCAUGCUACAGUACUAGAUGAGGUGGUAAAACUAGUAGACAUGGCUGGCAGUUGAUUACUACUCAAAAAGUACUCUUUUAUAGCUUGAAACUAACUGUUUUAAACACUUUUGAGUAGUAGUUAAUACCUUUUAACUUAAUUGGCACAUUAAGGAACCUAGCAAGGGUUACUAAUCAACAUUUGGCAAGUUUUGAUGUUUUUGGUAGCUAUUUGAUCAUUGAAACAAGCCAAGAAUGAGGGGGAAUUUUGUGAAGUCCAUGGCAAUGCAAGUUAAAGCUCAAAUACAUGAAGAAUCCAAGCUUUGGAGCACUUCAUAGCCCUUUGCCAAGCCAAUCAAAGAUGCAAGGAAGAAAACCAAAGGAAGAAAUCCAACAAUCAGCAUUUUGGCAUGGCUAUGUGAAAUUUCGCACACCAUGCGAAACCACAAGAGGCAGCCAAAGAAUUUCGCAUGGUAUGCGAAAUCUUCUUGUGCACUGACUCUGUUAGAUUUUUAUCUUCAGAUAUUUUGUGUAAUUUCCUAGUUUCUCCUUGUAACCAACUUAGAUAUUUUCUUUUAUAUCUUUUUUUAUAUUUUUUAGGUAACAUCAUAUAUAAGAGGAGAGACAUAAGGAGGAUAUGGAUGUUUUUCAUAGAACACUUGUAAAUUUUUGGUAGUAAGAAAUAUACAAAGCUUUUUGCUCUGCCUUACCUUCUCAAGGGAUGAGUGGCUAGGUUUUCUUGGAGUGAGGGAAGCUAGGUGAAGGACCUGAAUGCAAAGGUGGGAGUUUUCCUUACUUUAAAUGAAAGUAGUUGUUAAACAUUAAUGGUUUUUAUUUUAAGGUUUAGCUUUAAAUCCCUGAAAAACACCUUGAAUGGCCAAUACUUGGUAAGCUUUUUAGAUUCUAUGGAUGCUUAUUGCUAGAUCCAUGGAUGUCUAUUAGUUAUCAUUUACGAGCCAUUGGAAGGUGAUUCAAGGUGAGGGUCUUUAGUGUUUGAAGCCAUUAAUGGGAAGCAAUUACCAUUUUUUCAUGAAUCCUUUGGAUCAAAUCUUAAUUGCUAAAUAUAAAACCGGUUUCGAGAGAUAACCACCAUCCUUUAUGUUAUUAUCCCCAACGCGAGGAGAAGAUCCGAAAUCUUCCUUUUUAUCUAAGGAACCCGAUCCUAGUGACCUAAAGCUCCAAGAUACCUUUUCUUUGUAGUUAACUUCAUUUAUUGUUUUUGCUUAACUUAAAAUCAAUCUUUGCAACCACAAUUCCAUUUUCUUUAAAAGCUAAUUUUUAUAAGGAAAAACACCAUUUUAUUUCCUUCACUAAGUCAACUGUACGAUGAAAACCCAUCCCUGUGGACGAUCCUAGAGCCACUAUACUAUGUUAGCUAUGCUACCCUAGUGUGAGGUGAUUUAGGUUUUAUAAAUUUUUUUGAUAACACCCAUCUGAGCCAGAAUCAAAUGGCACGACUGAACCAGGGACGAAUCAAAUGACGCCGCUACCAAGGAUGGUGCCAAAGUACAUUGACAUGACUUUUGGUGAACACUUGUGAUCUUCACCACAAGUUUGGUGAUUUUUCUUUUACUAAUUUUUUUUAUUUUAGCUUAUCUUUUAUUUAGUUUUUAGUUAACCUUAAAUUUUUCCUAGAAUUGUAUUUCUUUUGUUUUCUUUGUUUUUGUUUCAGUGAUCUUUAGUUGUGCAUGCCCUAUUGGAUAAGAGAUAUUGAGGGAAUACUUGUGAAGAUUGAAACUCCUCGAGAAACUGAGUUAGAAGUGUGCUUGAACAUCAUGGAUGUUCCACCUGAAGACCAGAAUAGCCAACAUGGUUAAGAGGAUAAUUUCAACACAUACCGAUCCAUGAGGAACCGCAUACAUCCACCUUGUAUGAGUGCACCGUCAGGCAUAAUGCCUCCCACUGAGCAGCUAGUAAUCUGACCUCACAUUGUGCCACUCCUACCUACUUUCCAUGGGAUGGAGAGUGAGAAUCCCUACUCGCAUAUUAAGGAAUUCGAGGAGGUUUGUAAUACAUUCCAAGAAGGAGGAGCUUCAAUUGACUUGAUGAGGCUCAAGCUAUUUCCUUUCACUUUGAAGGAUAAGGCCAAGAUUUGGCUUAAUUCUUUAAGGCCAAGAAGUAUCCAAACUUGGAUUGAUUUGUAAGCCGAGUUUCUUAAGAAGUUCUUCCCUACCCAUAGGACCAAUGGUUUGAAAAGGCAAAAUUUGAACUUCUCAGUUAAAGAGAAUGAGAAAUUCUAUGAGUGUUGGGAGAGCUACAUGGAAGCUAUUAACGUUUGUCCUCACCAUGGCUUUGACACAUGGCUCUUAGUGAGCUAUUUUUACAAUGGUAUGUCUUCUUCAAUGAAGCAACUCCUAGAAACUAUGUGUGGAGGAGACUUCAUGAGUAAGAAUCCGGAGGAAGCCAUGGACUUUUUGAGUUAUGUGGCUGAAGUUUCAAGAGGAUGGGAUGAACCAAAUGCUAGAGAGGUGGGAAGAAUGAAGUCUCAACCUAAUGCUAAGGGUGAGAUGUAUGUUUUGAAUGAAGACAUUGACAUGAAAGCAAAGGUUGCAGCUAUGGCAAGGAGAUUGGAAGAGCUAGAAAUGAAGAACAUACAAAAAGUGCAAGCCAUUUCUGAGACAUCAAUGAAAGCUAUGCCUUGUUCCAUUUGUCAAUCUUAUAAGCACCUAGUGGAGGAGUGUCCUACAAUUCCAGCAGUGAGAGAGAUGUUUGGUGAUCAAGCAAAUGUUAUUGAUCAAUUCAAGCCUAAUAACAAUGCUUCAUAUGGCAACACCUACAAUUCAAAUUGGAGGAACCAUUCAAAUUUCUCUUGGAAACGAAAGCCACCUCAAUACACACAACCUACUCAAGCACCUUAGCAAUCCUCGAAUCUUGAACAAGCUAUUGUGAACCUUAGCAAGGUUGUGGGAGACUUUGUGGGAGAUCAGAAGUCCAUCAAUGCUCAACUGAAUCGGAGAAUUGACAGUGUGGAGAGUACAUUGAACAAAAGGAUGGAUGAGAUGUAAAAUGAUCUGUCUCAAAAGAUAGACAAUGUCCAAUACGUAAUCUCAAGGCUUACCAACCUCAACACAGUGUAAGAGAAAGGAAAGUUUCCUUCUCAACCUCAUCAAAAUCCUAAGGGUAUCCAUGAAGUAGAGGCUCAAGAGGGAGAAUCUUCAAAGGUGAGGGAAGUCAAAGUAGUUAUCACCUUGAAGAGUGGUAAAGAGGUUGAUCAACCCACAUCCAAGCCAAAGCAUAAUGAAGAGAGUGUAGCAGAAAAAGAAAAGAGAGGAAAAUAAAGGAAUUAGAAUAGAGAAAAAUACAAAGAAAGAUGACCAUGAGUCUAGUGUGGAUGAAGAGCCCGAGAGGAUGGUGAUCAAGGAAGAUAUGAUGAAGAAACACAUGCCUCCACCUUUCCCCUAAGCUUUGCAUGACAAAAAAAGAACCAAUAAUACAUCAGAAAAUUUUGAAGUAUUGAGGCAAGUGAAGGUCAAUAUCCCUUUGCUAGACAUGAUCAAACAAGUGUCGACAUAUGAAAAAUUCUUGAAGGACUUGUGCACUGUAAAGAGAGGGUUGAAUGUGAACAAGAAAGCUUUAUUGACCGAGCAAGUGAGUUCCAUCAUACAGUGCAAGUCCUAGUGAAGUACAAAGAUCCGGGUUGCCGUACCAUCUCAGUGAGUAUUGGAAGGACUUGUGUGGAGAAAGCUUUGUUGGACUUGGGAGCAAGUGUGAAUUUGCUAUCCUACUCUGUCUAUAAGCAGUUGGGAUUUGGAGAGUUGAAGCCAAUAUCCAUCACUCUAUCUCUAGCGGAUAGAUCAAUGAAGAUUCCAAGAGGGAUGAUCGAAGAUGUCCUGGUUCAAGUUAACAAAUUCUACUAUCCAGUAGAUUUUGUUGUUCUUGAUAUGGAUCCGGUUGUCAAAUGAACUAAUUAUGUUCCUAUCAUACUUGGAAGACCCUUCCUAGCUACAUCAAAUGCAAUCAUCAAUUGUAGGAAUGGAGUCAUGCAACUCACAUUUGUCAACAUGACAUUAGAGCUCAACAUCUUCCAUUUGUACAAGAAGCAUAUCCAUCAGGAGGAAAAAGAAGGUCUAGAGGAAGUGUGAAUGAUUGACACUUUAGUGGAAGAGCAUUGUGAUCGAGAAUGCAAAAAGAUUUAGUUGAGAAUUUUGGGGAUCUUGAUGAAAGGUUACUUGAACCCUCAGAUUUGCUUGCUACCCUACUCCAUUGGAAGAGAAGAGAAGAAAUUCUACCCUUAUUCAAUGAGGAGGAGACGCAAAGAGCUGCAAAGGAGAAACCCCCAAAACUUAUUCUUAAGCCACUACCCACAGAGUUGAAGUAUGUAUACUUGGAAGAAGACAAGAAGUGCCCUAUUGUUAUAUCUUCAACUCUUACCAUUCAUCAGGAGGAUUGUCUACUUGAAGUCCUUAGAAGAUGUAAGAAGACAAUAAGGUGGCUAAUUUCUUAUUUGAAAGGGAUCAGCCCUUUAGUCUGCACCCAUCAUAUUUACAUGGAGGAUGAAGCUAAGCUAAUUCAUCAACCUCAGAGAAGGUUGAACCCUCACAUGCAAGAGGUGGUUCGAGCUGAAGUUCUGAAGCUACUUCAGACCAGUAUUAUUUACCCCAUAUCAAAUAGCCCAUGGGUGAGUCCUACUCAAGUUGCGCCAAAGAAGUCUGGGAUCAUGGUGGUGCAAAAUGAUAAGGGAGAAGAUGUCUCUACACGCCUCACUACAGGUUGGAGGGUGUGUAUCAAUUACAGGAGGUUGAAUGCAGUGAUAAGAAAGGACCAUUUCUCAUUGCCCUUUAUUGAUCAGGUGCUUGAGAGGGUCUCUGGGCUUUUUUUUUUAUUGUUUCUUGGAUGGCUACUCCGGGUACUUUCAGAUAGAAAUUGAUGUUGAAAACCAAGAUAAGACCAUUUUCACAUGCCCAUUUGGAACCUAUGCAUAAAGGAGAAUGCCUUUCGGCUUAUGCAAUGCACCCGCAACUUUCCAAAGAUGCAUGUUAAGCAUUUUCAGUGAUAUGGUGGAGCGUAUUAUGGAAGUCUUUAUGGAUGAUAUCACCAUUUAUGGAAGUGCAUUUGAUGAAUGCUUGGUCAACUUAGAAGCUGUUCUGAACCGAUACAUUGAGAAAGACUUAGUGCUUAACUGGGAGAAGUGCCAUUUCAUGGUACACCAAGGGAUUGUCCUUGGGCACAUUAUCUCCAAGCAAGGCAUUGAAGUUGACAAAGCAAAGGUUGAACUCAUUGUUAAGUUGCCAUCCUCAACAAAUGUCAAAGGAGUAAGGCAAUUCUUUGGCCAUGUCGGGUUCUAUAGGAGGUUUAUCAAGGAUUUCUCUAAGCUUGCAAGGCCUCUUUGUGAAAUAUUGGUGAAUGAUGUUAAAUUCAUAUGGGAUGAUGGAUUUGAAAGGAGUUUUGAAGAAUUGAAGCUAUUUUUGACAACCGUACCAAUAGUGAGGGCUCCCAACUGGCAACUGCCCUUUGAAGUAAUGUGUGAUGUCAAUGAUUUUGCUAUAGGAUUUUUUCUUGGGCAAAGAGAAAAUGGAAAACCUUAUGUGAUCUACUAUGCGAGGAAGGCAUUGAAUGAGGCACAAAGAAACUACACAACCACCGAGAAAGAAUUGUUAGCUGUAGUUUUUGCCUUGGAUAAGUUUCGCGCUUACUUGGUGGGGUCCUUCAUCAUGGUUUUUACUGAUCACUUUGCUUUGAAGUAUCUGUUGACUAAGCAAGAUGCUAAAGCAAGGCUGAUUAGAUGGAUUCUCUUACUUCAAGAGUUCAAUCUCCAUAUCAAAGAUAAGAAAGGAGUGGAGAAUGUGGUAGCAGACCACAUUUCAAGGCUAGCUAUCGCACAUAAUUCCCAUGCUUUGCCCAUUAAUGACGAUUUUCUAGAGGGGUCUCUCAUGUUGGUGGAAGUUGUCCCUUGGUACGCUCACAUUGCUAACUACCUGGUCACGGGAAAAGUUCCAAGUGAGUGGAAAGCACAAGAUAAGAAGCACUUCUUUGCAAAAAUUCAUGCCUACUAUUGGGAAGAGCCAUUUCUAUUCAAGUAUUGUAUGGAUCAGAUAAUAAGGAAGUGCGUUCCUGAAGAAGAGCAACAGGGGAUCCUUAGUCAUUACCAUGAAAAUGCAUGUGGAGGCCACUUUGCUUAUCAAAAGACAGCCAUGAGGGUGUUGCAAUCGGGUUUCUGUUGGCCAUCACUUUUCAAAGAUGCCCACACCAUGUGCAAGAGUUGUGAUCGAUGCCAGAGGCUUGGGAAGUUGACACGCAGGAACAUGAUGCCUUUGAACCCCACUUUAAUAGUUGAUAUUUUUUAUGUUUGGGGCACUAACUUCAUGGGACCUUUCCCUAUGUCUUUUGGCUACUCUUACAUCUUGGUAGGAGUAGAUUAUGUUUCUAAGUGGGUUGAGGCAGUCCCAUGCAAACACAAUGACCAUAGAGUGGUUCUCAAGUUUCUUAAAGAGAAUAUCUUCUCAAGAUUUGGGGUGCCCAAAGCCAUAAUUAGUGAUGGGGGUACUCAUUUUUGCAACAAGCCUUUUGAAACUCUCCUAGCCAAGUAUGGGGUGAAGCAUAAGGUAGCUACACCUUACCACCCUCAAACUCAUGGACAAGUUGAGUUAGCAAACAGGGAGAUUAAAAACAUAUUGAUGAAGGUGGUGAACACAAACAGAAAAGAUUGGUCAGUCAAGCUUCUUAAUUCACUAUGGGCAUAUAGAACAACUUACAAGACCAUUCUCGGGAUGUCUCCUUAUCGCCUAGUUUAUGGCAAAGCAUGCCAUCUCCCUGUGGAAUUGGAAUACAAAGCUUGGUGGGCAAUCAAGAAGCUCAACAUGGAUUUGAGCAGAGCUGGGUUGAAGAGGUUCUUAGACCUUAAUGAGAUGGAGAAAUUGAGAAAUGAUGCCUACAUCAAUUCAAAAAUUGCAAAAGAAAAAUUGAAGAGGUGGCAUGAUCAGUUGAUUUCCCGCAAGGAUUUUCAAAAUGGACAAAGAGUCUUACUUUAUGACUCUAAACUCCACAUCUUUCCGGGCAAGCUGAAAUCAAGGUGGAUAGGUCAUUUUACCAUUCACCAAGUGCAUUCAAAUGGAGUAGUGGAACUACUCAACUCCAACAAUAUCGAGAACUUCAAAGUGAAUGGCCACCGUCUCAAGCCCUUUGUGGAGUCUUUUUCUCACAACAAGGAGAAAUUCAUCCUCCUUGAUCCACAUCAAGCUUAACAAGACCAAUUUUCUUGAUGGACUUAGUCUUUCUAAAGACUAUCGAGUCCAUAACUUUUUGUUUUAUUUUUUAUUUGAGAUUUUUUCGGUAUUGUUACUUGUUUUGUUUUUUAUUUUUCGUUUUAAUUUUAUUUGGUUUGAUUUAACUUAGGUUUUUGAUGAUCAAUUACAGGGGGGAUUUCAAAUAGAGGAAAAACCAAGAUAAUUCGCACACCCUACGAAAAUUUCGCAAGGCAUGCGAAAUUUAUGGCUUAUUUUGCAUGGGGUGAAAAUUUUCGUACAUCUUACGAACCAAUUUCGAACACUUUGCGAAAAUAAACCAACCCUGCGAAAUCAUUUCGAUUACUCUACGAAAUUUUCGUAGAGCAUGCGAAAAAUUUAGCACACCAAACACCAUUUCGCAUACUAUGCAAAAACCUAAGGGGUCUGCGAAACCAUUUCGCACCUCCAAAUCCAUUUCGCACAUUGUGCGAAAACCAAGAGGCGCUGUGCGAAAAUGAAAAGUCGCCCUGUCAUCCCUUUUUAAACCCCUCGAGCCCUAAAAUCUCCAUUUCGCAAGCACCCCUGUCCUUGCGAAUCCCUCAUUUUCCUCUACUACCUUGCAACCUCGUCCCUUUCCAUUUGAUAUUGUGCCCCGCGCACAUCUCAUUUCAGAGACUCGCACUCCGCGCCCCCUCAAAGCAUGGACUCGAGACCCACCUUCCAUUUCCGACGUGGCACGGACCCAAGGAGCCCUUUCUGCCCCUUCACUAAGACACACACCAAGGCAGAAAGCCUCCUUUGCUCAAGUGCCUAGUGAUUCUCCAUCUUAGGCCUCAGAGGCCUCGGAGGCCCCGUGGAUUCCACCUUCCGAGGGUAGAGCAGCCAUUGGUCCUUCCUCUUCUACUCCUUAGCGUAGAUACGAGACGAGGAGACCACCUACUACACAAGGGGCGACUACUUCGAGCCUUGAGAAUUCAGUACGAUGCCUUCCUGCCAAGAGGGUCAAGACUUCAGGUCCAAGUGAGUCAUCCAGAGCUUCAUAGCCUAAGCCUCCUGUAGAUUCCAAGGUUCCUACUGACAUAUCACCGGAGUCUAUUAUCAGAAGCCCGAUGCUCAUAGCACCGCCCAUUGAGGGCAACUCAGAUUAUAGAGCGAGAUCUUUCCACUUGGAGCUAUAUUUUGAUCAGGAGGCCAUACGACAGCAGCCUGAGCUCCGAGACUCUUAUGGCUUACUGCAGAGGUACCAUCUUGAGGAACUUAUGACUCCUCGUGAGUUUUUUUAUCCCAGAGUAGCACUAAACUUUUACCAGUCCAUGACUACUCGUGGCGUCCCGAGUCCUACCACGAUUCACUUCACCAUUGAUAGACGUCAUGGUAUCCUCAAGGCCAGACAUAUUACAGAGGCUCUACAAAUUCCUUUCGAGCUAGAGGAUCCAUCUGUUUUUCGCUAAUGGUCCCCAGUAUCUCAGAGGGACAUGGUCCGUAUUUUAUCUAGGGGAACAUCUACAGAUUCGAUCUUUCUACGGAAGGAGCUUCGACCUGGGAUGCUCCUCUUAGAUGUGGUGCUAUGCUCCAACCUCUUUCCCUUACAACAUUCGGUACAUAGGUGAUGAGCUAUUUUGGACGCUUUAUUCCGUAUAUCAGAGGGCUUCUACUUUGGCCCGCACCACUUGAUCAUGGUCUCCCUCAUCCACUUUGAGGAGAAGGUUCAUAGGAAGAAGCUUCAGAGGGUGGACACCAUUCCAUUACUAUUCCUGAGGUUACUUUGCCAGGUCUUGGAGUACAUGGGCUUUCCUACUGAGCCUCGGCUCGAGCUUUGCCGCCUUUGUCGAGAGUGAUCCACUCUCGACAAAUGGAAUUAGUUGGCGGGCUAUUCUGCACCUCCAGGAGCCCCUCCCAUGGUAGCACCUCCAAUGUCCCCACAGGCAAAGUAGGGCGAGCUCCCGGCAAAGACUGUACCACCAAUGCCCACACUUGAGGCUAUUUCUGCUGCUCUGCCUAUGACUCCUACUGUUCCACCAGUUGGUCCUUUUACAUCCGAGCCUUCCAUCACCAUCUCGGCUUCGGAGUUUCGCGCCCUUGUGCAUACCUUUCAGACACUCACCACCACACAUACUCCUCUCUUCUAGCAAAUGGUUGAGAUGUGUGCCCAUCAGGACCGGAAGACUACUAUACUCUGCCAAAUUCAGCAGCACCUAAGACUUUUGCCUCAACCUCAACCUAACCAUCCCAUAUCAUCAGAGCCUCUAGCUCCAACUGAGGAUACUAUUCCACCUGAGAACACUACCACAGUAGAGGUCCGGUUUCCACCACCUUAAGAGGCCACCACAGCUACAUCAGAGGAUGUGUCAUCUCCACUUGAGGCUCCCACUACUUGAUCAUAGGACAUAUCUUUAUCUUAUUGUAUUUACAUAUUAUAUUACUAGAGAUUUGUCCUUGUUUUGAUACUUUAUAUUCUGGGAUUGGAUGUAUUGCCUGAUGAUAUCUCAAUUGUACUUUCUCAUAUUAAUAUAUAGACAUCAAUUUUUUUUAGUAUACUUAGCAUUUUUCUAUUUCCUCUACUCAUUACUCUUUUGUUUUUUUUUACUCAUGUGGUUUCUCUUAUACAACUCAGACUCCAUUUCACUCAGGAGGUACCACUUCCUCCCUUUAUUUUCAAUUGCUCUUGAAAUAUUGAGUGCAAUGUUGAUCUUGGUUGGGGGGAGAGUUGAGGAAGGAAGUUUUGUUAAUAAUGCUAGGUUAAUUUGUUAAUUUAGUUACUUUCUGCUUAAUUUUAAAAGUUUUCACUCUACUUUCCAUGGUUAUUAAGGAAAAAUUCUCAAAAUGAAAUGGGAGAAAUCGAAUUCUUGCAUUUUUACUUGAAUCUUAGAAUUUGUAUCAUGCUUAUUAAAGUUGAUGAAUUAUUGAAACUCCUAUUGAAUUCAACCUUAUUUUUUCCACUUUAAUCUUACCACACACGGUGCACAUUAGGUUCCAGUUAUAAGAUAAAAAACUAUCUCACCCCCUAAACUUAGAAAAAUUUACACUUGGUACCUUUGACAUCGUUUUAAUAGUGUUGGGACACCUUAUAAAAGGCCAAUGAGCCUUUAAAAAAAAAAAAAAAAAAAAAAAGAGAAAGAACAAAGUAUUGCACUUGCCUUGAAACCUGAGCAAGAUCCGAGGGGUAUACAGUGAAAGUCUUUAAAACCUGGUGCCCUAAGCCUUGAUUGGUUGGGAGUCACCGACCUCAAUGCUCGUUAUAAGGGUGAAUAGGUGGAGUUUAACAUAUUGUAGGUGCUUGGGUAUUGAAUUUCAAUCUCAAAAGUCCGGGAAAAAAUCUAAGGAGUUAGUGGUCAAAAGAUCCUUAAAGCUUGAUGCCCUAAACCUUGAUUGGUUGAGAGUCAUUGAUGGAUCCCCGCUACAUGGACAUUUUAGAAAACAAUACCUUUAGCAUUGCACGCCUACAAUGAAAAAAAAAUGUGAAAUAAAAGAGGUGCGUUCUUAGCCUAUUGGAGGUUGGUCAGUUUGCUAAAGUUUGAGAAAUCUAGGUUGGGGGGAGAGAAUAGUCCGACAUACUAUAAUAAAAAACUAAUAACCUUAACACUUAGAUUUUUGUGGAAGAGUAAGGAUUGGACCUUUAGGGGUGGAAAUUCUUUUGAUGCUUAAAUUUGCAUAAUGCCUACUCUUUAUAAAUUAUGAUUAGGCAAGAGAUUUGAUGACUCUUGUUCAAAGUUGGGUUUUUCCUCUUUGAUGUUCCAUGAGAGAGUAUAAUCCUCAUCAUGCCACUUGAAAUCUUUUUGGAGUGAUUAACAUGAUUUUGUAAAUUAUUUUACUGUCUAUUUUUCUUUAUCUCUCUUUUAUUGCUAAUGGACUAGCAAUAUGUCAGUUGGGGGGAGUGAUUACUACUCAAAAAGUACUCUUUUAUAGCUUGAAACUAACUGUUUUAAACACUUUUGAGUAGGUGUUAAUACAUUUUAACUCAAUUGGCACAUUAAGGAACCUAACAAGGGUUACUAAUAAGUUUUUGGCAAGUUUUGGUGUUUUUGGUAGCUAUUUGAUCAUUGAAACAAGCCAAGAAUGAGGGAGAAUUUUGUGAAGUCCAUAGCAAUGCAAGUUAAAGCUCAAAUACAUGAAGAAUCCAAGCUUUGAAGCACUUCAUAGCCCUUUGCGAAGCCAAUCAGAGAUGCAAGGAAGAAAACCAGAGGAAAAAAUCCAACAACCAGCAUUUUCGCAUGGCUGUGCGAAAUUUUGCACACCAUGCGAAACCACAAGAAGUAGCCAAAGAAUUUUGCACACCAUGCGAAAUUUCGCAUGGUAUACGAAAUCUUCCUAUGCACCAACUCCGUUAUAUUUUUAUCUUCAGAUAUUUUGUGUAAUUUCCUAGUUUCUCCUUGUAACCAACCUAGAUAUUUUCUUUUAUAUCUUUUUUUUAUAUUUUUUAGGUAACAUCAUAUAUAGGGGGAGAGACAUAAGGAGGAUAUGGAUGUUUUUCAUAAAACACUUUUAAUUUUCUGGUAGUAAGAAAUAUACAAAGUUUUUUGCUCUGCCUUACCUUCUCAUUUUGUUUUCACCUAUCUUUCUAGCCAAACAACCUCUGAGAAUGAUUUCUCAGGGGAUGAGUAGUUAGGUUUUACGUUUCUUGGAGUGAGAGAAGCUAGGUGAAAGACCCAAAUGCUAAGGUGGGAGUUGUCCUUGCUUUAAAUGAAAGUAGUUGUUAAAUAUUAAUGGUUUUUAUUUUAAGGUUUAGCUUUAAAUCCCUUAAAAACACCUUGAAUGGCCAAUACUUGGUAAGCUUUUCGGAUUCUAUGGAUGCUUAUUGCUAGAUCCAUGGAUGUCAUUAGUUAUCAUUUAUGAGCCAUUGGAAGGUGGUUCAAGAUGAGAGUCUUUAGUGUUUGAAGCCAUUAAUGGGAAACAAUUACCAUUUUUUCAUGAAUCCUUUGGAUAAAAUCUUAAUUGCUAAAUAUAAAACUGGUUCGGGAGAUAACCAUCCUUUAUGUUAUUAUGCCCAAUGCAAGGAGAAGAUUUCGAAUCUUCUCAUUUGUCUAAGGAACCCGAUCCUAGUGACCUAAAGCUCCUAGAGACCUUUUCUUUGUAGUUAACUUCAUUUAUUGUUUUUGCUUAACUUAAAAUCAAUCUUUGCAACCACAAUUCCAUUUUCUUUAAAAGCUAAUUUUUAUAAGGAAAAGCACCAUUUUAUUUCCUUCACUAAGUCAACUGUAUGAUGAAAACCCAUCCCUGUGGACGAUCUUAGAGCCACUAUACUAUGUUAUCUAUGCUAUCCUAGUGUGAGGUGAUUUAGGUUUUAUAAAUUUUGUUGAUAACACCCGUCUGAGCCAGAAUCAAAUGGAACCACUGAACCAGGGACAAAUCAACAGCCUAUAUGGGAGGGACACAAGUUUAAUUGAUUUGCAUUUCAGCGUUAUAGAUAAGUAUGUUUUGGAAGAUUUGUUCUGGAAAUACUGCACCAAGUACGAUUCUUUUUCUCUUGAGUGAGUCCAUUUGCAUGCCAAUUAACGAGUUGAAAAGUAGGAGCACCUACCUCGUGCUCAUGGAACCGAAUGUCAGUGAAGUGGGGCUCCUUUUAGCCUCUUGUGUUUCUGUUCCAACCAAGGCGGCGUAGGGAAAAACAACAAUAUGUCUGUGCUAAAUAUCAACGCAUGAUAGAUGUUUUUUUUUUUUUUUUUGGUAUGUCAAGGCUAACGAAUGAAAUGCAUUAGCUUGUUUUGUGACUAUAACUGCAAAUGUCCAAAUUGGAGUAUCUCCAUUUCUCACUUCGGAUGGUUAACUUUAUAAACAAGAUAUAGGAAACAUGUGAACAUCUUGAGGAACAAUUCAAAUUAUUCAUUAGAAGUCCUGGGUUAAGUUCCAAGAUUUAAAUCAGACCCUUCUAGCAGCUUCAAGGGUACUUAGCAACCUAUAACAUAUUAAUGAAGAUUUAGGAUUUAGACUCCGGAAUACAAAUAAAUAUGUAUCUCAUGCUUUGACUAGCUUCCCUACAUAUGCAUAAAAUGGAGAUGACCCAAAAAAAAUAGCAGAAUCUAGCUUCCCUACAUAUGCACAAAAUGGAGAUGACCCAAAAAAUAGCAUAAUCGCCUUAGUUUCUGUGGUUAAGGUGAUUCUCCGCUUAAUAUCCACAUUGACUCAUUAUGCAAAAUCAACUGAGCUAAUUUUAUUUAUUUAUUUAAUGUCAAAUAGGAACUCCUAAUUAACUGAUUACUGUCGAAAAGUGCUAUUUUGUAGACCUAAUUAUAAGGGUUUUAAGCACCUUUGAGUAGUAAUCAUAUUCAUUUAACCUAAUUAAUUCAUUAAGCUCCUUAGUAAUUAGUUCUAACCAUUUUUAGUGGCAAGUUUACAUGUUUUUCAUCAGCUUAUGAACCAAUUCAAGCAUGCCAAUUGAUGGAGGAGCUACUUGGGCGAGUUAAGCAAGGAUUUUGGACGUUUACAGGCUUGAAUUUCAAGUGGAAACACGAGCACAAGCAAUGGGAACACCAUUUCGCAAGGGGAGGCAAUUCACCUUGCCAAAUGACCAAUUUCGCAAGGGGAUUUUCCUCAUGGUGCAAAAUUUGGUCAUUUCGCACCAUGAAGAAACCACCUUGCAAAAUUUCGCAAGGUGGAUUUAGGCACCUUGCGAAAUGCCAAAUUUCACAAGGUGGCUUUUCACCUUGCGAAAUUUGGACCUUUCAUCUUCCCCCCUUGCGAAAUGCCUUUGAAAUCCCCUGUUUUGAGACGCUGUUGAUGAUAUUCCACUGCCGGUUCUCCAAGAUAUUUUGCUUGACUUUUAGCUUUAUAAAUACCUAUUUUACCCUUGUAAUCAACCAAUGAAAAGGUUGCUUUUGUAAUAGCUCUUGUAAUUUAGCUUUUUAUUGUCUUUAAAUAGAGGUGAAGAGCCUCAGACACGAUCAUCUUGUAACCUGUAACUUUAUAAGUUAUAAGAGCACUUUUGUUCAUACGCUUCUUUUCUCUUUUCUUUCUCAUUUUCUUAGUAGCCAAACAUCCUUGGAGGAUGAAAUCCCCAAGGAUGAGAGGCUAAAACCUUUUAGUUUCUUGAAGUAAUGGAUGCCAUGUGAAGCUCCCGUGUCAGGAUGGAGAUUUCCAAGCCAUAAAUGUAAGUAGCUGAGCGUCAUAAAUGUUUUCAUUCAAAGUAAAGCUUUUAAUCCCUCUGACUUGCUUUGAAUGGCCAAUACUUGAUAACCUUUUGGUCUCAAUGGAUUCUUAUUGUUAGAUCCACUGACGUUCAUUAGUUAUCUCCUACGAGCCAUUGUAUUGCAAGUCGAGGAGAUGACCUAUACCAAUAAAAGAGCAUUUAUGAGGUUCAACUACCCUUUUUGUAAGUUUUCAAGGACUAAAACUCAGUUGUUAAACUCAUACCGGUUCGAGAAGUAAGCAUCACCUUAGUUGCUUCCCCAACUCGAGGUGAAAAGUCCCAAAAUCUCCAUUUUUACACAGUGAGUUAAGCAUGGCUAUCCAAAGCUUUAAGAAACUUCUUUUUCCAUCUUUUAACCUAUUUUCAUGUUAGUUUAGUUUACAACACCUUCAUCUUUUUAUGUUUUCAUCUUAACCUAAUUUUUAUUAAGAAAAGUUCACUCCAUCCUCCGAACUUCACCAGUUAAAGUAAAAACCCUUCCCAGUGUUCGAUCCUAGAGCCACUAUGCUAUAGUAGCUUUGCUACUUUAGUGUAAGGACCUUAGGUAUAAAUUUUGUUGAUACCCUUACAUGCCAAGCUACCAAGAGUCGGGUUAUCAUUAACCUAACCAUUGGCCUGUGUAAAUUGAUUUCACAUGCACAAUGUUGUAGUAGAAGUCCAUAUUUUGAAUUUUAUUUUUGUAAAGGUAAGGAAAAUGAAGCAUUGUGUAAUUAUAAAAAUAACUUCAUUGGAAUUCACAAGGUUCACCCAAAAUGGAGCUACAUCUGUAUUCUAUCCUACAGUAGACUAUAUAGAUUGUACAAUAGUAAAUUGCAAAUACAAUUAAUAAGUCUUGUGCUUCCUUACUAAUAAUCCUUUGACAUGAACAUUGCAGCACUAAGGUCCUCUUGGGAAGACACCUUGCACCCAUGAGAGCACUAAGAGGAAGCAAGGCAGAGUCAUGGGUGCAAUGUCAUGACUUGUUGUUGCACCAAGAGAGGCUUGGUGAUGCCAUGGUGUUGCAGUAGCAAGAAUGUUGCCUUGGCAGGGACACGAUCUAGGGAUAGAUGCCAAGAAAGGCUUAGCACUCACAUGAGUUGCACAAAGAUGAAUGUAAUAGAGCAUCAGAGAGACGUCUUGGCAAGUAAAUGAAUGGAUCCAAGAGACAACAACAUGAGGAGUUUCAAAUGGAUAAGGAAUGACUCAAAGACAUUUGAAAGCUACAAGUUGGAUUCUAAUUACGAUUGCAAUUUGAGUUUGAGUAGGAGUUUAGAUUUUGAUUGUAAUUGUAGUAUGAGUUGGACUAGGAUUGCUUAUCCUUAGUCAAUAUAGGAGCGGUUCGUGUCACCCUAUGAAAAGAGUUUGAGUAGGGACUAGGAUUGCUUACUCCUAGUCAAAUAUGGAGUAGGUGGUGCCACACCUAUAAAAAAAAGGGACAACAUGAGAGAGAGAGAGAGAGAGAAAGAGAGAGUGAAUUCACUAAAGAUAUUGUGGGAGUUUUGCUUUGUUACGUCUUGUAUUAUUACUUAGAAUAGGAAUAAAAUACAAGUUGGGGCUAGAGCCCCAUAAUUAAUCUCGUGUGCCUUUGUGGUUAUUCUUUAUUUGUCAUCUCGUGUGGAUUGGAUUAGGUUGACUUAGAGGGCUUCUAAGCACCACCUUUGUGGGUUAUUAUUUAUUUUCCAUCUCUUGUGGAUUAGAUUAGGUUGACUUAGAGGGCUUCUGAGCACCACCUUUGUGGGUUAUUAUUUAUUUUCCAUCUAUUGUGGAUUAGAUUAGGUUGACUUAGAGGGCUUUUAAGCACCACAUUUGUGGGUUAUUCUUUAUUUUCCAUAUCGUGUGGGUUGGAUUAGGUUGACAAGGAGAAAAAUUAUGUGGGAAAUUUGUGUUGGGACACUUACCAUAACCAAGUAAAAUCUACCAAGUCCUUUGUAAUAUCUUCAACAAAUAUUUUAGACUAGUUCUUUCAGUUAGUGUAAAGGAGGAAGAAGUGGUAUUGAUUCUAGAAAUAGGGUGUGUGUAUUUGAACUACAAUCCUUAUGAUCCUUAGGUCUCUAAACCUUCGUGAUGGGCUCCCUGACAUUUCAUAGGUUGUGCUACACAUGCGUUUGAAAUUUAGAGUGCGUUUGACAGUGAUUCCGGGAAGUGUUUUUGGCCUUUCUUACACUUGAAAAUUUUUAUUUUUCAAGUAUUAGAAAUGCUACAAACACUUUUGAAAAUUACUGUCAAACACACUCUUAGGAGCGCACAUAUAUAGUAGAAAACUAGAAAUUGUGGUUUUUUUAGGAUUUACUGUAAUGUCAUUAGGAGGGUAGUAAGUUGAAAUUGAGUAUGAACAAAUAUUUCUUUCUUUGGGAUGUUCUUCUAGUAGGUGCUGAUGAAACUGUUCUUUCUACUGCCAAUGUCACAUAUCAGCCAGAAAUUGAAAAUUUCAGUCAAGGUGUCCUCUGUUUUAGUGGUGAGGAAAGCUAGAAAUUUUAAGGUGAAGUUUUGUUAAAAACCUUAAGUAGCUGGGAUAUCAGGCCUGUUUUGCUUGAAAAAAAAAGUUGCAAGAUAACUCAUAUGCCAAACAGGUUCUGAUAUUGUGAAUCUAUCGGCAGACAUCAGUAAUCUCAUCUUCUGAGAUGGAUGUUGGGGGUGCAUGUGGUGGUGGAGGGGCAAGGUUUCAUUUGGUUUAUUUUGUUGAUGGAUAUUGUCUAGCCACCUGCGCCAAGUUUGAGGGGUGGUGGGUUGUGAUGACCCUACAAUUACUAUUAAUUUCUUCAUCUUUUACCGAUUAAAGUGUCCGAACAGUCGAAGUUACCCUUAUGCAUGUCAACUUGAUCACUUACCUCUUCAAUGGAGUUUAUGCUGGUUCAUUUAGGAACUGAUUUUUAUUGUUAUGUAUUAUAUGCUGAUGUUUAGGUCUCUCCAUCAUCACUAUAUACAAAAAUUCUAGGUUGAUACUAUAGGUUGAGAUUUAUUUUUUAAAUAAAAAAUAAUAAAAAUAAAAAUUAUGGUGAUGUUUAGUUGUUUUAUGGAAAAUUUUAACAAGUAAAAGUUAUUUUUGGGCAAGUUUUCAAACAAAAAGAAAAGUAAAAGUUGUUUUGACAAAAACAUAUAGAAAAAAAAAUCAUAGAAAAUAAAUAAUUUCCCCAUAUUCUAACUUUUUUGAAUUUUUCUCAAUGGGCAAAGGAAUAUCAAAUCAAGUUUGAGUAGGAUUUCUUAAUUUUUAAAAUAACUUACAAUUAAAAAAUUUUGGUGUUUUCAUUUUUGGACAAUUUUUUAUUAAGCAAAUGGACUCUGAGUCAUGCAAGAGAUAUGGUUCAUUAACCGGUCGAACAAUUUUUUUAAAUUAAUUUAAAAGUCAAAUACAUAAUCAAUUUCACAAAAUUUAUAAACAAAAAUAGGUUUAGAGAAGAUCUACACAUAAUUUUACUUUUCUAAUUUUAUUUUAUUUUAUUUUUUGUUGGAAAAUAGUCUUCAAAUCAUGUAAGAUUUAAUAGGUUAAAUUUGUUAACAAUAAAUUUUAAAUUAUAAAAUAUAAUCUGGAACUCAAAAAUCAAUUCAAGUAAUGCUAAAAAAAAAUCAAAUUUGGUAUAGAAUGACUUUGUAAAUUUUUUUACAAAACAAAUGAAUUUUAAAUCAAGUGAGAUUUAAUGCAUUAGAUUUUUAUCAAAUAUAGUAAUUUUAAAAAUAAAUUUGGAACUCAACAAUAGACACAAUAAAUACCAAAAAAUAAUGAACCAAAAUUGGUUUGGAAUAACUCCACAACCUUUUUUUUUUUUUUUUGGUGCACACGAAUUUUCUUACUAGGUAUAUUGCUUUCAAAUUGAGAAAGAUUUACCAUUUAGAUUUUUUUUUAAUGAGUUUAAUGGUAUUUUAAAAUAAUUCAAAAUUUAAAAAAUUGACUAAUUAAUAUUAUAAAUUGAUAAACCAAGACUAUUUCAAAAUGCAUUGGGGGCUAAGGGGGUUGAAAAUAGGGACAAUGGGAUGGGUUUGGGACAUGACACUCAUAUCUCAUUUCCAUUCCAAUUACACAGUUAUCUCCCAUCCUUAUCCCAAACUUGUGUUGGAGCAAGUUGAUUUGUUCCCAUCUUUGUUGACGAAAUGACUAAUAACCUCAUCCCCUCCUUAUCUUAGAUGUACAUUUUGUCAAAUUUGAUCAGGUAUGAUUGAUCCAAGCCCUAACCCUAAUUGGUAAUGAGUGAAUACUACACCUAAUUGCAUUCUUCUUUCAUUGCAAAAUAAUGAGAUUAUAAUAAUCUAGCAAAUAAGAAAAAAUAGUAUGGAAGUUCAAAUUAACACCAUAACUAUCAAUAAUUUUAAGCUUAUAGAUGACUUAAAUGAUUAAAAACUAAUGCAAAAUCCUAAAAAAAAUAAAAAUCAUAUAAAGAAUUCACAAGAGAACAGAAUGAACAAAAACCAAAUAUGAACAUGGGUCAACAUUAGUUAUGGAUUUGGAUUCCUUUCAAGGCCAAUCUUUGAACCAAGACUUCAUCAAAUCAACUACUUCAAAGGCUUUUGUGUUCUUCUUGGGUUGUGCUCUCAAACAAAGACUUCGAGGUGAUGUUCUAGAUGAUUGAAUUACACAUAUUUAGGGUGGAGAGAUUGGAGAAGCUUGAAGAUGCCAACGAUGGGUACAAUUGAGUGGUCAAUAAGAACAAUGUAGCCUAUGACUAGUUUGAUGUCAUGGUACAAGAGUUUUAGGCAUUGAGGUUAAAGCAAGAGCAACAUGGAAUUGAUUUCGGAGUCUUUCAGUUAGUGUAAAGGAGGAAGAAGUGGUGUUGAUUCUAGAAAUAGGGUUUUAAGUGGUGCGUGAUUACUACUCAAAAAGUGCUAUUUGAUAGCCUUUAAUUAAUCCUUUUUAACACUUUUGAGUAGUAGUUUAGGCCUUUUAACUCAAUUGGCAUGUUAAGGAUCCUUUAAAGCAAUUUUGAUCACUUUGUGCAAGUUUUGGUGUUUUUGUUAGUAUUUUGAUCACCAAAGCAAGUCAAGAAUGAGGAGAACUAUGAGGAAUCAUGGGCAAAGCUUAGAAUUCAAUUGCCAAGAGUGAAUCCGGAUUGCAAGGAGAAAAAGCAAAGAGAAUCUGUCAUGAAGCCUAUUCUUGAUGACAGUCGUAGCAGCCACUUUUGGAGCACUUUCUGAAGUCCAAAUGAUGCAAGCUAUAUACCAUUUCAAAGAUCAGGAAGUCAACAAUCCAAUGCUUCAAACGGUGCGCGAUUCGGAGUUGAAACGAAGAAGUUGCAGCCAUUACAAGCCAGUCACUCUAAAGUGUUGCGGAAUCAGCCUUUUGUUGCGAGAAUUUCGCAGCACUUUUGUACAGUAAGGUGUUUCUCCUUCUGACGAUGCACGAACCAUGCCGCGAGAGGGAAGCUAGGAACUUCAAGAUGGAAGCCAACUUUGCAGCCUGGUGAAGAUAGCUUGGUCUUGCGAAAUAAUUUCGCAGCCCUCUUGGGUGUCUGCGAAAUUUCGCAGGCACCACUUUUUUCCUGCGAAAUGGCUCCGGAAGCCUCCCGAAGCUUGCUACCGACAUUGGGAGAUAUUUUCCAUUAGAUUUUUGUUGUCUAAAUUCCAAAAUACUCCUUGUAAACCACCAAUUACAUGAUUCCUUAGUUUUUAAGUUAGUAAAAAGACCAAAUAUCUAUGUAAUAAUUAGUUUUAUAUUAGUUUGCUAUAAAUACCUCUCGGGAGCAUGUUCUCAGAGAGGAGUUCCUUCUGUAACCAUUUUGGUAAGCAAGUAAAGUCUUUUCUUUCUACUGCCUUACCUUCUCACUUUGUAUUUUCAUUUUAUUUCUAAGUUAUGAAUUCUCUGAGGAGCUUUCCCCAGAGAAUGAGUAACUAAACCUCCAAUUCCUUGGAGCUAAGGUUGCCGGGGAAGGUUCCAAGUGCAAGAAUGCAAAGCUCUGUGGUUUUAGCUAGUAAUGAAGAGGAAGUGAAAUCCUUUAGUGAUUUCAAUGUUUUUAGUUAACUUAAAACACCUUGGAGUCACCUGGGCCAACACUUGGUAAGGCAAGUGAUUUCCAACCGUGGAAAUGCACUAGUUUACCCCUUGCGAGCCUCUGGUAGGUGACUUCAAGGUAGGAUUUUCUGGAAUUACCAACACUUGGUAAGCUUUUGGACUCCUAGGAGACAUCCAUUAGUUAUCUCUUGCGAGUUUGUGAAGGGGAAUCCAAGGUUAAAGAUCACCUUGAAUGGUAAGUGCUCGUGAGAGGCAUGAACCAUUGCAAGUUGUAUCAGUGAGAGAAUUAAAGUGAAAUCUAAUUGAAGGAGUCUCUGUACAUCACCGGUUAGAGAAUUGACUAUAAGUUGAAUCUCUAAUGCGAGGAAAUGAACCAUCUGACCGGAGCUAUGUCUUUUGCAUGAGGAACCACCCCAGUGAACCUAAAUCUCCAAGGAAUGCUUUUCUUCCUAAAUUAUUCCAAACUUCUGUUAAGUUAGUUAGUUUAAGUCUAAACCUUUACCAAUCAAACUUUGUGUUUUAUUUCUUAAGCUAACCGUGAAAUGAAACAAAACCAAUUCACUUGGAAUUGGUAUCCUUGAUUGCUUGCAAAUCAUUCCCAGUGAACGAUCCUUAGAGCCACUAUACUAUAGUAGCUUUGUAUUUGCUACCCUAGUGUAUGGUGUUAUAGGUAUAAAUUUUGUUGAUCACUUCCUCAAUCAAGGAACACCAGCUGAACACAAAUCAGCUGAGACACCAAUUGGGCAUGAGUCAAAUGGCGCCGUUGCCGGGGAAUGAGUGUCAAGAUCAUUGUGAUACCAUUUUUGAGCACUUGUGAUUUUCAUCACAAGUUGGUAAAGUUUCUUUCACUUUACUAAUUUUCAUUCUCUCUUUGUUUAUUUACAAUCUAAGUUUAUCUUUUUAAAAUUUAGUCUAGUUUAAUUUUGCUAUUGUAGCCUUGUUUCUCUUGUUGUCCUCUGUUCUUGUUGUCCUCUGUUUUCAUUUUAGUUGCAGCUGAAUACUAGUUGUGUAUGCCAAAGUGGAUACGAGACAUUGGAGGUAGGCUUAUUAAGUGUGAUACACCUCAGAGAGGAGAAUUGGAAGUAAUCUUGAAUAUCAUGGAGGCUGCACCUGAAGAUCAGCAUAGUCACCAAGGUCGUCAAGACAAUCUCAAUGAAUUCAGAUCAAUGAGGGACCGUAUGCAUCCACCUCGUAUGAGUGCACCAUCAUGUAUAGUGCCCCCUACAGAGCAACUAGUGAUCAGACCAUAUCUUGUUCCACUUCUACCAACUUUCCAUGGGAUGGAAAGUGAGAAUCCGUAUGCACACAUCAAGGAAUUUGAAGAUGUUUGUAAUACAUUCCAAGAGGGAGGAGCUUCAAUUGAUUUGAUGAGGCUUAAGUUAUUUCCUUUUAAUUUAAAGGAUAAGGCCAAAAUUUGGCUUAAUUCUUUAAGGCCAAGGAGUAUCCGCUCUUGGACUGAUUUACAAGCUGAAUUCCUCAAGAAAUUUUUUCCUACUCAUAGAACAAAUGGCUUGAAAAGGCAAAUUUCAAACUUCUCAGCUAAAGAGAAUGAGAAAUUCUAUGAGUGUUGGGAAAGAUACAUGGAAGCUAUAAAUGCUUGUCCUCACCAUGGCUUUGAUACUUGGCUACUGGUGAGUUAUUUUUAUGAUGGUAUGUCCUCCUCAAUGAAGCAACUCCUCGAGAAAAUGUGUGGAGAAGAUUUCAUGAGCAAAAAUCCAGAGGAAGCUAUGGAUUUCUUGAGCUAUGUAGCUGAUGUUUCAAGGGGAUGGGAUGAACCAACUAAAGGAGAAGUGGGAAAGAUGAAGUCUCAGUUGAAUGCUUACAAUGCAAAGGCUGGGAUGUAUACUUUAAAAGAGGAUGAUGACAUGAAAGCAAAGUUGGCAGCUAUGACAAGAAGAUUGGAGGAGCUGGAGCUGAAAAGAAUGCAUGAAGUGCAAGCUGUUGCUGAAGCACCAGUGCAAGUGAAGUUGUGUCCCAAUUGUCAAUCGUUUGAACAUUUGGUAGAGGAAUGCCCUGCAAUUUCAGCUGAAAGGGAAAUGUAUAGAGAUCAAGCAAAUGUUGUUGGACAAUUCAGGCCCAAUAACAAUGCUCCUUAUGGAAAUACCUACAAUUCAAGUUGGAGGAAUCAUCCAAAUUUUUCAUGGAAGGCCAGAGCAACUCAAUACCAACAGCCGGAUCCACCAUCUCAACAAUCUUCAAGUAUUGAACAAAUAAUAGCUAAUCUCAGCAAGGUAGUGGGAGAUUUUGUGGGAAAGCAAGAAGCCACCAAUGCUCGAGUGGAUCAAAGAAUGGACAGAGUGGAUCAAAGAAUGGACAGAAUGGAGAGUAUGUUGAACAAAAGAAUGGAUGGAAUGCAAAAUGAUAUGAAUCAAAAAUUUGAUAACAUCCAAUAUUCAAUUUCAAGGCUUACAAAUUUGAAUACACUGCAAGAAAAGGGAAGAUUUCCUUCUCAACCUAACCAAAAUCCCAAAGGUGUCCAUGAAGUGGAAAGCCAUGAGGGAGAAUCAUCACAGGUGAAAGAUGUGAAAGCUUUGAUCACUCUAAGGAGUGGUAAGAAAAUUGAGCAGCCAACACCCAAGCCACAUGUUGAGAAAGAAGAAGAGAUGAAGAAAGGGAAGGAAAUGGAAGAUAAAGGCAGUGAGAUCAGUGAAGAAAAGAAGGACUCUGAUGCAACAAUGAAAGUAAUUCCAGAGAAGGAGCUUCUGAAGGAAGAAAUGCUGAAGAAAUCAACUUUUCCACCUUUUCCUCAAGCAUUACAGGGGAAAAAGGGGGUUAGAAAUGCAGCUGAAAUCCUAGAAGUAUUGAGGCAAGUGAAAGUUAAUAUUCCACUGCUGGAUAUGAUCAAACAAGUUCCAACGUAUGCAAAAUUCCUAAAGGACUUGUGUACUAUCAAAAGAGGGUUGACUGUAAACAAGAAAGCCUUCUUGACUGAGCAAGUAAGUGCAAUCUUACAGUGUAAGUCUCCUUUGAAGUACAAAGACCCUGGAAGUCCUACCAUUUCAGUCAUGAUUGGAGGAAAGGUAGUGGAGAAAGCCUUGCUAGACUUGGGAGCAAGUGUGAAUUUGCUUCCAUAUUCUGUCUACAAGCAACUGGGACUUGGAGAGUUGAAGCCAACAGCAAUCACUUUGUCUCUGGCAGAUAGAUCAGUGAAAAUUCCAAGAGGGGUAAUUGAGGAUGUAUUGGUUCAAGUAGAUAAUUUCUACUAUCCUGUAGAUUUUGUUGUUCUUGAUACAGAUCCUACUGUAAAGGAAGCUAAUUUAGUUCCUAUCAUCCUUGGAAGGCCAUUUCUUGCAACUUCAAAUGCAAUCAUCAACUGUAGAAAUGGGCUUAUGCAACUCACUUUUGGUAACAUGACACUGGAUCUAAAUAUUUUCUAUAUGUCUAAAAAGCAAAUCACUCCAGAAGAAGAAGAGGGUCCAGAAGAGCUAUGUAUUAUUGAUACUUUGGUGGAGGAGCACUGCAAUCAACAUAUGCAAGAUAAGUUGAAUGAAAGUUUUGUGGAUAUUGAGGAAGGUUUUUCUGAAUCUCCUAAUGGGCUUGCUACUCUACAAAGUUGGAGAAAGAUAGAAGGAAUUCUACCUUUGUUCAAUGAAGAAGAGGAGGCAGCUGUUGAAAAAGAAAUUCCAAAACUCAAUCUGAAGCCUUUACCUAUGGAGCUGAAAUAUACAUAUCUUGAAGAAAAUAAUCAAUGUCCUGUCGUAAUAUCUUCAUCUCAAACCAAGUCUCAAGUGAAGGAUGCAAGCUUCAAAUGGGAUCCGGGCAAACUGAAUCAGGAAGGGCAAAAAGUUUUGAUGUAUGACACAAGACUCCAUAUCUUUCCUGGGAAGCUCAAGUCAAGGUGGAUUGGUCCAUUUGUUAUUCACCGAGUAUAUUCCAAUGGAGUGGUGGACUUAUUGAAUUCCAAUGGCAAGGACAGCUUUAGAGUCAAUGGAUAUCGUCUUAAGCCGUUCAUGGAGUCAUUCAAAUCAGAAAAGGAGGCAAUCAACCUCCUUGAACCUCAAAAAGCCUAAGUGAAAUGGGUUUGCUGGACGUGGUUUUACCACAGUCCAAAAAUUUUUGUAAAUUUUGUAAAUUUUCAAGUUGUUUCCAUGCUUUUAAUCUUAGUUUUUGAUUUUAAAUCAUGUUUUUAGGUGUGUUUUAAUCGUUUUAUAUGAUCCCAGGCGGAAGAAAUUUCAAGGGGAUUGAAAAGAAAAAAAUCGGGUCGAAAUUGGAGCCGAAACAGAGCAAAAACAGGGGAAAAACAGAGCUCUGCGAAAUUUCGCAGGGUGAAGGAAACUUCUGCGAAAUUGGCAUUUUGCUGCCAAACCAUUCCGCAGCACUGUAGAAGCCUCUGCGAGUGUAUUUCGCAAUUGCGAAAGUGGAUUUGGCACACGAGUGCCACUUCGCAGCACAGUGACAUCAAUUUCGCAGCUGCGAAACUCACUGCGAAGUUGCUGCGAAAAUGGCAAGUUGCUGCGAAAUUGGCGUUUUGUUGCGAAACGUAAUCUGACCCCUGGGCUUCCGUUUUUCCUAUUUAUACCUGUCAAAAGUGCUGCGAAAAAGGUUUCAAAAAUUAGAGCACCAUUCUCGCAGCCCUUUCAUCUUCUUCGCCAAGCCACGCCGUCCGUUUCUCCGGUCGUCUUCUCCGUUUAGCAGCGCCGGCCAAAGAUCGAUAGCCCAAAAAUGGCACGAACGCGAGGGGCAAAGUCUUCAUCCCCUUCGAACCGCAAAAGGAGUCUGCGAAAGGAGCCAAGUUCAGGCUCUGUUCCAGAACCUGCUCCAAAGCCUUCGCCGUCGAGACCACAACCUUCUCCAGUGAAGCCGGCGCCACCAAAGCCGCCGGCAAGGCGAUAUUUAACCAGGUCAGGUGGUCAGCCAUUGAAGAAGAAAGCCAGAGUUGAGAGCUCUGAACCAAUCGAUUUGACUGAGCAAUCCCCUGAGAAAUCACCAAAUCCUUCACCGGUACAAAUUCCAGUGCCAUCACCGGUUCCCUCGCCAAUUCCCUCACCAGAAGCAACUCCAAUUCCAUCGCCGGUACCAUCUCCGGCACCCCAAGAAAAAGCUCAGGAGCCUCAAGCGCCAAUUCCAGAGCCCCAAAUUGCAGCUGAAGCACCUCUGGAAGAAGUGAUCCGAAGGCCAAUGCUGCCUCAGCCCCCAAUCGAAGGAAACCUGGAUUGCCGAACUCGGGCAUUCCAUUCUGAGCUUUGCUUCGAUUUAACAGCAUUCAGAGUGAGGCCAGAGCUUGCCCAAUCCUUCCAACUGCUGAGGAGAUAUCAUAUGGAGCAUCUGCUAGCUCCAAGGGAUUUUUUCUAUCCCCGGGUAGUCACGGAUUUCUACCAAACCAUGACAACCAAAGAAGUAAGAAAUCCAACUCUGAUUCAUUUCAUAAUUGAUGGAAGGCAUGGUAUUUUGGGAGCAAGACAUAUUGCUGAAGCCCUGCAAAUUCCUUUUGAGCCAACUCAAUUCGACAAUUUUAAAGCUUGGACAAAUCCUACUGAGUUAGAGAUGGUUAGCACACUAACCAGAGGAGCUGCAAAUCGAUCGCAUUUGUUGAGGGGGGAGCUACCUCCAGUUAUGUUUUUGAUUGAUGCCUUUUUGAGGCAUAAUAUCUAUCCCCUGCAGCAUUGGACCCAAAGAAGGGGAAUUCUCCUAGAAGCCUUGUACAAAAUGUCUGAAGGAUUCUUCUUUGGGCCUCAUCAUCUGAUCAUGGCAGCCCUUCUAUACUUUGAGGAGAAGGUUCACAAGAAGAAGCUUCAAAGAGCAGAUUGCAUUCCACUCCUCUUCCCAAGGCUGCUAUGCCAAGUUUUGGAGCAUCUCGGAUACCCCUCUGAGCCUCAGCAGGAAAGAAAGAGAAUAUGCCGUGAGCCUUUUACCCUUGAUAAAUGGAAUAAUAUGACGGCCUACAAAAUUGAUCAGCCUGGGCAGCCUCAGCCAGCAGCAAGGAGAGUCUCCCCAAGACAUAUACCUGAAGGUAUAACACUUGCUACUCCUGCCAUCCCUCGAGCUCCACCAGCUGCACCUGCUCCAUCACAGCCAUCCACAUCAGCUGAGCCGAGGAUGGCCAUCCCUAUAUCCGAAUAUCGAGAGCUGUGCCGUGCAUUGGAGACUCUUACAGCUUCUCAGAGCAAUCUUGCUCAGGAGUUGGCAGCCAUUAAAGCAUGCCAGGAGCAGAUGUUAGCCUCUCAGACUCAACAAGCUGCCAUCCUAAGGCAGCUUCAAGUCCAUUUCGAUCUGCCACAAGCUGUAGAGCCCUCUAUUCCUACUCCACCAGAGCCACACUCUCAGCCUUCAGAGUCUCAUCCUCCAGAACCCGAAGCACCAGCUGAUCCACCUACUGAGGAGGCAGAUCCUUCUGCCUAGCACCAUCACCCCCCUCAUCAGACAUUAUAUAUAUAUUUGCUGUUUAUGUUUUUAUGCAUGUUUGUUUUGUUUUAGUUGAAAAGAAAUCCCAGUAUUUUGGUACUAUAUAUGGGAUUCCUUGUGUUACUUGUCUUUAGUAUUGUAAUCACAUGAACUCAAAGUAAUACAAGUUGACUAUUUCUUGUUAAAAGUUAGCAUUAAAGUUUCCUUAUUUCCUUUUCUCACAUAUUCUAUUCUUUUUGAAACAUGUGGUUUUCCCCAAUCAAUAUUCGAAUUUGAUAUCAGCAUGGAGGUACCACUUCCUCCCUUUUAUUACAGUCACUCAAAUCACAUUGAGGACAAUGCUCAGUUCGGUUGGGGGGUAUGAGGAAGGAAGUAUUCUAAACCUUUUUGGUAUUGCAAUUAUAUUGGUUAAUUAGUUGUAGAUUUUACUUUUUACUAGUGUUACUCUAUUCUCCAUGAAUUUUGAGGAAAAAUUUUCAAAUUAAACCAAGAGAAAUUGAACUGUUGUUUUUCACUUGACUUAGAGUAUGGAUUAUGCUUACUAAAGUGGUUCAAUUGUUGAAACUUCUACUGAAAUUGAAUUGAGUUCUUCCACUUUAAGCUAUCCACACACUGUGCACAUUAGUUUCCGAUUAUAAGAUGAAAAGCUAUUUCCCUCUUGACUUAGUAUAUUUUUGGGACUUGGUAUAUUUGACCUCAUUUGAUAAAAAUUGAAACACCCUGCAAAAGGCCAAUGAGCCUUUGAAAUAAAGAAAGUUGUUUGCUUGCCUUGAAACCCGAGCAAGGUCUGAGGGGUAUAUGGUGAAAAUCUUUAAAGCCUGGUGCCCUAAGCCUUAAUUGGUUGGGAGUCACCGACCUCAAUGCUCGUUACAAGGGUGAAUAGGUAGAGUUAGCAUAUGGUAGAUGCUUGGGUAUUAGAAAUUCAUUCUUAAAAGUCCGGGGAAAAAUCCGAGGAGUUAGUGGUUGAAAGAUCCUUAAAACUUGGUGCCCUAAACCUUAAUUGGUUGGGAGUCAUCGAUGGACCCCCAUUACAUGGACAAGUCAGAAAGAGUACCCCAUAAAGCUACCUUAAAAAAAAAAAAAAAAAAAAAAAAAAAAAAAAAGAUGAAAGUGUGUUCUUUUCUUAUUGAUUUUGGUCAGUUUGCUAAAGUGUUGAAAAGAGAUAGGUUGGGGGGUGAGAUUAGUAGCAUAUUAUUCUCGGAACCUAAGGAACCAAUACACAUAGAUUUUUGUGGAAGAUUGAAGUUUAGUUCUUAGAAAAUGAAAUGAUUUUAAAACUUCAGUUUGCAUAAUGCACUCCCUUGAUUGACAGUGUUUAGCAUAGGUGUUAUGACUCUUGUUGAGAUUUGGGUUUGUAUUUCUUUAAUGAUUCAUGUGAGAAAUAGAUCAUCAUGCCACUUGAGAAUUAUUUUCCUUUUAGCAUGAUGUUGUAAAUUUUAGAUUAGUUUGCUAUUUAUUUUUUAUUUUCUCUCCUAUAUUGCUAAGGGACUAGCAAUAUGUCGGUUGGGGGGAGUGAUUACUACUCAAAAAGUGCUAUUUGAUAGCCUUUAAUUAAUCCUUUUUAACACUUUUGAGUAGUAGUUUAGGCCUUUUAACUCAAUUGGCAUGUUAAGGAUCCUUUAAAGCAAUUUUGAUCACUUUGUGCAAGUUUUGGUGUUUUUGUUAGUAUUUUGAUCACCAAAGCAAGUCAAGAAUGAGGAGAACUAUGAGGAAUCAUGGGCAAAGCUUAGAAUUCAAUUGCCAAGAGUGAAUCCGGAUUGCAAGGAGAAAAAGCAAAGAGAAUCUGUCAUGAAGCCUAUUCUUGAUGACAGUCGUAGCAGCCACUUUUGGAGCACUUUCUGAAGUCCAAAUGAUGCAAGCUAUAUACCAUUUCAAAGCUCAGGAAGUCAACAAUCCAAUGCUUCAAACGGUGCGCGAUUCGGAGUUGAAACGAAGAAGUUGCAGCCAUUACAAGCCAGUCACUCUAAAGUGUUGCGGAAUCAGCCUUUUGUUGCGAGAAUUUCGCAGCACUUUUGUACAGUAAGGUGUUUCUCCUUCUGACGAUGCACGAACCAUGCCGCGAGAGGGAAGCUAGGAACUUCAAGAUGGAAGCCAACUUUGCAGCCUGGUGAAGAUAGCUUGGUCUUGCGAAAUAAUUUCGCAGCCCUCUUGGGUGUCUGCGAAAUUUCGCAGGCACCACUUUUUUCCUGCGAAAUGGCUCCGGAAGCCUCCCGAAGCUUGCUACCGACAUUGGGAGAUAUUUUCCAUUAGAUUUUUGUUGUCUAAAUUCCAAAAUACUCCUUGUAAACCACCAAUUACAUGAUUCCUUAGUUUUUAAGUUAGUAAAAAGACCAAAUAUCUAUGUAAUAAUUAGUUUUAUAUUAGUUUGCUAUAAAUACCUCUCGGGAGCAUGUUCUCAGAGAGGAGUUCCUUCUGUAACCAUUUUGGUAAGCAAGUAAAGUCUUUUCUUUCUACUGCCUUACCUUCUCACUUUGUAUUUUCAUUUUAUUUCUAAGUUAUGAAUUCUCUGAGGAGCUUUCCCCAGAGAAUGAGUAACUAAACCUCCAAUUCCUUGGAGCUAAGGUUGCCGGGGAAGGUUCCAAGUGCAAGAAUGCAAAGCUCUGUGGUUUUAGCUAGUAAUGAAGAGGAAGUGAAAUCCUUUAGUGAUUUCAAUGUUUUUAGUUAACUUAAAACACCUUGGAGUCACCUGGGCCAACACUUGGUAAGGCAAGUGAUUUCCAACCGUGGAAAUGCACUAGUUUACCCCUUGCGAGCCUCUGGUAGGUGACUUCAAGGUAGGAUUUUCUGGAAUUACCAACACUUGGUAAGCUUUUGGACUCCUAGGAGACAUCCAUUAGUUAUCUCUUGCGAGUUUGUGAAGGGGAAUCCAAGGUUAAAGAUCACCUUGAAUGGUAAGUGCUCGUGAGAGGCAUGAACCAUUGCAAGUUGUAUCAGUGAGAGAAUUAAAGUGAAAUCUAAUUGAAGGAGUCUCUGUACAUCACCGGUUAGAGAAUUGACUAUAAGUUGAAUCUCUAAUGCGAGGAAAUGAACCAUCUGACCGGAGCUAUGUCUUUUGCAUGAGGAACCACCCCAGUGAACCUAAAUCUCCAAGGAAUGCUUUUCUUCCUAAAUUAUUCCAAACUUCUGUUAAGUUAGUUAGUUUAAGUCUAAACCUUUACCAAUCAAACUUUGUGUUUUAUUCCUUAAGCUAACCGUGAAAUGAAACAAAACCAAUUCACUUGGAAUUGGUAUCCUUGAUUGCUUGCAAAUCAUUCCCAGUGAACGAUCCUUAGAGCCACUAUACUAUAGUAGCUUUGUAUUUGCUACCCUAGUGUAUGGUGUUAUAGGUAUAAAUUUUGUUGAUCACUUCCUCAAUCAAGGAACACCAGCUGAACACAAAUCAGCUGAGACACCAAUUGGGCAUGAGUCAGUGCGUUAGAGGAUCAAGAAGAAGAAAAAGAAGGAACUGUUGGAAUUAGUAUGAGUGUGAAGAGAAAAGUAUAUAAAUAAGGGGAAGUAAAAGCAAAGUUCAAAAAGCUAUAUUUUUUUAUUGUUGGUGUAUGGUUGCAUGAUUAUCCCUAUAAAUAAUAGGAGUUUUUUGGUAUUCUACUAGUAGUUGAAGCAUAAUUUCAUAAAUUAAUAUUUAGAGCGGGGUGGGGUGAGUUGUGACAAAAUUCAUACCCGUCCCAAACCUUGGUUCAGAUUUUUAAAAUAUUCUCAAACUUAUCAUAUACCCAACUUUUAUAUUUCAUACUUGUCCUAAUAGAGGCACGUUAGGCCGGGUUACUUGAGUAACCUACAUAAUUGUCAUCCCUAGUUGAAAUACACUUUUUGGCAGUGGCCACCAACUGAGCUAGAAGCUUGAUUGAUUGACCUACAAGAUUAGUUCUCAUCAUUUUAAAAAAAGUUCUGGCUUUGGUUGUGAGUGCAAUUGAAUCUAAACUGGCAUUUGCUUAAUGCAUCUACUUCAAUCCUAAACUUCUUACUUCUUAAGCCUCAAUUGUUGUUAGGAUUUUGGAAAACCCAUUUCCUUAAAUUGUAAAUUUAAGAUAAAAUAAAAUAAAAGUGAGACAUUUCUUGAUUGAAUAUUGUUAAAGGUCCCUUGGCAUUAAGACUUGGUUGAAGCCUUGGAAGAUUAGUGGAACUCUCAACAUGUGUUUGAAUCUUGAGGAGAGUGGAUGUAAGCCAAAAUUUUGUCAAACCAUUAUACAAAUUGAGUUUGAAUCCUCAUUUCUUGAUUUCUUAUUUAUUUGCUUUUUCUUAUUAUUACUUGAAUUGUCAUUUGCAUUCAUUAAUGUUAAAAUUGGUUAUAAUUAACCAACACUAAUUCUCUUUCCCCUUCCCUUUCUUGGGUGUAAACCUAGGUUGGAUUAACUAGAUAAAUCUAUUAAGAUGGUAAAAGAAUAAUUAUUCUUAACAUACAUAAGAUCAUCUUCAAUCAAAUGACUCAUUGGCUAAUAUGUUGAAUUUGCUUAUUACUUGCAACUCAAAAUUGUGUUCUAGUUGUGUCAAGUCCCCAGUGUAUGGACAUUAAAUUUGUAGUACGUGAUGAGUAAUUAGAUGGUCCAACUCCAAGAAAGUGAUUGAAAAGUAGUUCAAGAAAGGUGCAAAAGGGAAUUGUUUUGGUAUUUUCGUUUUUAUUCUUGAAGGUGGCAGAGCUAAAAUUUGAGAAAUCAAGCAAAACAUACUGAAAUUACAUUGAAAGAAAGAAGAUGGGAGUUAAUGUCUUGCAGUACAUGAUAAGGACUUCAUGCAUGUAGUGUGACCCAUGUCUUGGACUGAUGCCAACUCACGGUUACACUUAUACCCUUGGUUCUCUCUUUACUACCUUGGCUAACCUAGAUCAGGCUAUGAGAUAGGCUCCUCACCACACCAUUACUUGCCCAUUAAUUAGAGACAUUUUCAAGCAAUGAGGUAACAUGGUGACACCAAGAGGGUCUAUUCCUCGCCCGGAACAAGUCUAGACUUGGUCUCAAAAAAAUGGAGAAAAAUGAGGUGUCGUUAUGUAGAAAUACAACAACCAUGCCUUCCUCAUUACUUAGAUUCAGAAUGUGAAGGUGAAAUUGAGAAACAGAAACUCUUGAAACCAAAAUGAAAAUUGAUACUUUUACGAAGAAUUACAACAACAUUAGAGGAAGACUACAUUCUUCCUCUUUAUUCCUACAUUUCUACACUACUUCUACUCCACUCCAUAUUUCUACAUACAUCUUUAAUCAGUCUUCCCUCCUUUAUAUAGAGCCAUCUUCACACAAAUUUCGCAAGGUAGAAAAGAGGAAUGAAACUUGGAGCAAGGUUCGACUACUGGUUGUAGCUUGUCAAGGCUGGAAGUGAACUUUUCUUGGCUUUCUGGGCAUGGGUAGUAACUUGUGGGUUCCUGUUUGGCAUAAAAAUGGCUAGAACAUGUGGCACUAUCUUGUUGGAUGAUGUGUCAAGCAUGUGGCAGCCAUCUAGUGGCGAUUAUGUCAAUUUUGGGAUGGAGAGUUGGCAUCCAAUUGCAAAGAAAUAUGACGUCUACCAACAUGCAAUGUAAACCUAUGUAGAUCAUAUGAAGAUAGAGAGGAAAAAUAUAGAAAUGGAUAUAUACCUAGAACUAGCUUUUUAUUAAAUGAAACGGAGAGACAACAAUGAAGGAAAAUAAAAUUUUUUGGCUUAUAUCAAAGAGUUCACAUUGUGUUACCCUAGGUUUUCUUAAAACUUACUUUUAUGAUAACAAAAAAGAAAAAACCAUUAUUGUUUAAUCCUUUGUUUUAAACGCAUGUAAGGUGUAAUUAAGUUAGUUCAAUGCAUUAAUUUAAGAAACUUGACCUAUCAAAAGUACAAAAUUAGAUGAAAUCCAUUUCAAUGGUUAAAAUGAUCAAAAUCAAACUUUUUCUAAGUAUUUUUUAAAAGCAUCAAUAGUGAAAGACAAUUUUAUAUUUAGUCGGAGUUUGGACAAAACUGAAAAACACACAAAAUCCAAGCGACCAUCUCUAGCUUGGAUGGUCGCUUGAUCCCACCUAGAGAUGUGCAUGAGUAAAAGGAUUUGAAAAUGGAAAUUGACUAUGUAGUCGAUCAAUUAACUUUGCAACAUCAUAUGCAAUCCUAAUUGCUAGUCAUCUAAUCAAUUAGGUAGUCAAUCAACAGGCCAAAAAUAUGUUUAUAAUGACUAUUUUGUACAAAAACCACCUGUAUAGUUAAAUAUAAUGCAUUUCAUUUAUAAAUCUUCUAAUUCUUGAAUAACGAUCCUAUCAUCCUUUGAAAGUUUUUAUUACACUUUUUUUACUUUUGUUCUAAAACUUACACAUCACCCUUAAUUGUACCAUGAGAACCUAGCUAUUUUUUAUUUUUUUUUUUGUAAUUCAUCAAAGUUAGCUUUUGUAUUCAUUGUUGUAUUAUUUUUAGUAUAACUUAGAAAGCUAGUGUUUUCAAGUGAGUAAAAUUAACUUGUAAAUAUUGUAAAGAUUCAUCGACAUGUAUCUUAAACUAAGUGUACAAGUUAAAACAUUUGCUAGUAGAUUUUCUCAAAAUUUAGAAUAGAGCUUGAGACUAUUGAAAUAGGUGGGGUUGCACCAAACCACAUCACAUCGUUGUUUGCACCUUUUUUCACUCUCUUUUACUUAGUUGCUCUAUAUUUGUUGUCUAGUAAUAUCCUAUAGGCUUGAUGGGUUAGGGAGCAUCCCUUUGUGAAAAAAUUUUAUUCAAUCCUUAGUUGUAUCACGCAUAUAUAAAAUGCCUCAUUGUUUUAAUGGUAUUCAGUCGUGGCAUCACAGAUAUGGGCAUCUAAAUUUUAAAAGUUUGAAACUUUUAUCUAAAGAAAAUAUGGUGCUUUGCCUUUUUGUAAAGCAUGUUGAUGAAAUCCAUGAGAAUUGUGUACUUGGGAAGCAACACCGAGAUGACUUUUUUUUUUUUUUUAUAAUAUUGUUUGUCCAAAUUCCCUACAAAUUAGGCCACCAGAUGUUCAUAAUUCUCCCUUCUUGAAUUUGAAAACUCGGACAAUUGGACAAUGCGACACCUAAGUCCGGUUUCUAAAUGCUAAAGUGAAAGGGUAGGUAUGGACCAUUGAAAUGUGAUCACAACUUUUCUCUGUAGCCAUGUUGUCUCUUUUUUCUUUUGCAUGAUUUUCUUACCUUAACAGAAUCAUAGACUUGUUUAGUCUCUAAAUGGGAUUAAUUUCAUCCAGCUUUAAGCUACUAUAUUAUAUCUAGGUGGAGGACUUUUAAGAGUGCAACCGACAUAGAGCACAUGGAAGUGGGUAUAUGGGACAUGAAAUUUCUUCUUAUAAAGAUUGCAUGAUUUUUAUAUUAGAGUUGUUGAGGCGCUAUGUAUUUAGCUUGUUUUGCAGUUAAAUUAAUUGGAUAAGUAGACAUUGGCGUUUCUAAAUCUACUGUGAAGUGCUUCAUGUACGUGUGAAGUAUUAGAAAUUUCUUUCUUGGCAACUUGUUUUUCUUUGCGGUCUACUGAUAGGUUUGACUAAAAUUAUAUUCCCUGUCAUGCUAAUUAAUUUUCACGUGCAUGCUCAAAAGAAAAGUAUGACCUUAGUGCACCAAAAUCACUUUGAUUAAUUUGUGAUAGGUUUUUGUGCAUCAUGACAUUAGCCUUAUUCAUUUAGAUAAUGUUUAGUUUUUAGAAAGUAUUAAGAAAAGGAAAAUAAAUAUUAAGAAAAAUAUUCUUAUAUUUGAUUGUAUUAUGAAAAAUAUCAUAAAAAAAUCAAAUAUAAUUUAAAUUAAUUAAUAAUUUAUACAUUUUCAAAUUAUUUAAUCUUUAUAUUGAAGAUAUAAUAUAAAUGAAAUGAGUUUUAAGUAUUAUAUAAAAGUGAUUUAUUGAUCUUACAUAUAUAUAUUUCUUUUUUUUUUCCUUCUAUUUUUUCUCUUUAUUUUAUUUUCCUUAUGUUUUCCUCAACAUUUUCCGGAACCAAACAUAGCCUUAGGAAAUCCACAAUUACCUUCAACUGAGUAGAUUCUGUUGUUUUAGCAAUGUUAGGCUGCUAACUUGUGUUGGUACGAACCUAUUAAGCCUAAAGAUGUAAUUAGUUAGGAUAUUCUUUUCCCUCUAGUCUUGUAGCUCCACGUGUACAGUUGGUUAGGACCUCAUUGUAUAUAAUGCUUGCCCUGUUAUUGUAGAAGACAACAAAGAUAAAUAAUAUUAACAUUUUUCCUCUCAUCUCUCUCUGUUUCCCUCUGUUUUCAUCUCCUCUCUCAUCUUGGUAUCAGAGCCUCCAUGGCUUCUUUCAAAGAAACCUCCGAAUCACCUUCUGCUAGCAUUGUUAAUGUGCAAAACCCAUUAUCUCAAUCAAACAACCUUCCUUCACCAGUAGCCACACCCUCUUUUUCUUUCUCGUCUAUGAAUCAACCUCUCACAGUGAAGCUGGAUAAUGGGAACUACCUCAUAUGGAAGAAUUAGCUUCUAAAUGUCAUCAUUGCUAACGGACUCGAUGAUUUCAUUGACGGAUCUCGACCCUGCCCUCCUCGAUUUCUCGAUCUGCAACAACAAACCCUCAAUCCAGAGUACUCAGCUUGGCAGAGAUACAAUCGACUUCUGAUGAGUUGGCUGUACGCAUCCUUGUCCAAAGAUAUAAUGGCUCAGAUUGUUGGGUAUUCAACAGCUAUGGAGAUUUGGAAUGCCCUUAAUCAGAUUUACUCUGCCUCUUCUAUGGCGCGGUUUACUGAGCUUCGCACCAAGCUUCAAACGCUCAAGAAAGAUGGACUCUCAGUUGGUGAAUAUAUUCAAAGGCUCAAAUCCAUUUGCAAUAGUCUUGCAGCAAUAGGAGAACCAGUUUCUGAGAAAGACCAUCUUAUCUAUUUGUUCAAUGGAUUAGAUUGUGAGUAUUAUUCUUUUGUUACCUCCAUUCAAAAUCGAUCUGACCAACCAACUAUUGACAAAAUCCAUAGCCUAUUGCUUAGCUAUGACUUCCGGCUUGAACAACAAAACUCUGUUUCUCUCCAUUCUGCCCAAGUCCAUAUGGCUCAUCUGAACAAGAAACCUUAUAAAUCAACUCCUCAACCUACAUUCAAUCAUAUUCACAUUCAACCUAGAUACUCUUCUCCACCUUUUAAGCCAACCACUAGUCAAUAUCAACCCAACAUUUUGGGCAAACCACAACCACAACCAUGACAGCCUCAACCUCAAUGGAAACCACAUUUUUCAAUCUAAAAUCAAAAGCCUCAGCGCCAAAUUUGUGGUAAAUUUGGACACACUGCUCUUAUUUGCUUCCAUCACACAAAUUUGAACUAUUCACCCCAACCUUCUCCUAAAUCUUUCAAUACUGUUCUCACCACAAAUUCCCAGCUCCCUAAUCCUCCAAAAUUUUCUUACCCUACAAUGGCUCAUCCUGCUGCUACGCAUAACACGGUUCCCGAUACAAAUUGGUACAUGGACUCAGGUGCUACACAUCACUUUACUCUGGACAUCAACGUGCUUGACACUGUGACACCAUUUAGUGGUUCAGAACAGGUGACAGUUGGGAAUGGUAAGCAACUCUGUAUCUCACAUCUUGGUACUGCAAAACUACCAUCUUCGUAUUCUCCUCCUGUUCUACAUCAGGUAUAUCACACUCCAAAAAUUUCAAAUAAUCUUAUUAGUGUUAAAAAAUUGUGUUCUGAUAAUAAAGUUUUUGUUGAAUUUUAUGCCACUCAUUUUCUUGUCAAGGAUCAGGUUUCGAAGAGAGUUCUCCUUUAGGGUCAACUUGAUAAUGGCUUAUACAAAGUUCAGUCGUCAUGCUCUCCUUCUGCUGUUUCCUUUCCUCCUCAAGUUUUCAUAGCCAACAUCAAGUAUCCAAAUCUGUGGCACAAGAGACUAGGCCACCCAGCUUUAUCUGUUGUUAAUCAAAUCUUGGAUUCUUGUAACAUUGCUCGAACACAGAAAAUUUGUUUUAAUUUUUUAAAUUCUUGUCAAUUAGCAAAGAGCCACAGGCUUCCUUUUUCUCUGUCUCCAUCCAUUGCAGAAAAACCUUUUGAGUUAAUUCAUACAGACCUAUGGGGUCUUUCGCUCGUUCGCUCUAUUUCUGGUGCUCUUUAUUUUUUACUUUUCAUUGAUGAUCAUACUCGUUUUACUUGGUUUUAUUUGCUCAAAACAAAAGAUGAAGCAUAUCCUACUUUUCUCAAGUUUCAAGCUCUCAUUGAAAAUCAAUUUAAUACCAAGAUUAAGGCUGUCCAAUCUGAUUGGGGAGGUGAGUUUCGAUCUCUCUCCAUACCGUUUUCAAAUAUGGGCAUUGUCUAUUGUUUAUCGUGUCCAUACACCUCACAACAGAAUGGGCGAGUUGAGCGAAAAAAUCGCCAUGCGAUUGUCCUUUCUUGCUUGCUCUAUGCCCUUAUCUUAUUGGCCUUAUGCCUUUCAAACUGCCACUUACCUUAUUAAUCGUCUCUCUACCCCUGUGCUGCAUCAUCAAUCCUCUUACUUCGCACUCUAUCACAAACUCCCAACUUAUACUCAUCUUAAGGUCUUUGGUUCCUCUUGUUUUCCGUAUUUGCACCCUUAUAAUACCCAUAAACUCCAAUACAGGUCACUAGAGUGUGCUUUUCUUGGUUACAGUUCACACCACAAAGGUUAUCUAUGUCUUGACAUUCAUUCUAGCAGGGUGUAUAUUUCUCGCCAUGUGAUUUUUAAUGAAGAUUCUUUUCCAUUCAAGAAUUUGAAAUCUUCUCUCUCUCAGUCUAUUUCUUCUUCCUCUUCUUUAUAAGUUCCUCUGUUCAUUCUCUUGCCUCCCCUUUCCCCAUCUCCUCUUAUUUCUUCAUCUAUACCUCAUUCUUUUCCCUCUUCUUCUUCUACCUCUAGUACUUGUUCCCCUCUCGUUGCUCCUACCUCUCUUCCUUCCUCUUCACACUCUGUGUCUCCAUCUAUUCCACCUCCUUCUCCACCUUCUCCGAGUGUGGACCUGCUUGCACCUUGUGUGAAUACAAAUUUACAUACUUCUUCUCGCACUCACAAUAUUCAUCCUAUGGUGACUAGAUCUAAGGUUUGUAUCUAUAAACCUAAGUUGUUGUUGAGUGUCUCCAUAGGUUCUCUCACUAAGCCUACUUCCUUUCUUCAAGCUAUUAAAGAUCCUUCAUGGAAGCAAUCCAUGGAAUUCGAGUUUGCUACCCUUCAACACAACAAGACCUGGCAUUUGGUUCCUUCACCUUCCUCAGGCGAAGUAAUCGGUUGUAAAUGGGUCUAUAAGCUAAAGCUUCAGCCUGAUGGCUAAAUUGAGAGAUACAGCCUGCUUAGUAGCUAAGGGUAUCAUCAAAUUGAAGUAUGGACUACUUCGAAACAUUCAGCCUGAUNNNNNNNNNNNNNNNNNNNNNNNNNNNNNNNNNNNNNNNNNNNNNNNNNNNNNNNNNNNNNNNNNNNNNNNNNNNNNNNNNNNNNNNNNNNNNNNNNNNNAGCUUCAGCCUGAUGGCUAAAUUGAGAGAUACAAGGCCUGCUUAGUAGCUAAGGGUUAUCAUCAAAUUGAAGGUAUUGACUACUUCGAAACAUUCAGCCUGAUUGUCAAGCUUUCUACUAUCUGUAUUGUGCUCAGUCUUACUUUUUCCCAGAAUUGGUGUAUUAGACAGCUGGAUGUUCAUAAUGCCUUCUUACAUGGUGACUUAGCUAAAGACGUUUUCAUGGAACAACUGCCUGGAUUUGUUGAUCCUCUCUAUCCUACUCAUGUCUGCAAGUUGGAUAAGUCUCUCUACUGUCUUAAAUAGUCACCUCGGGCUUGGUAUACUAAGCUGAGUACUUCUCGCUACACUUGGGAUUUGUUACUUCUAAGAAUGACUCUUCCUUAUUUAUUUGUCAUUCGUCUCAUGGGUUACUUCUUGUUCUUGUCUAUGUGGAUGAUAUAAUCGUCAUUGGGAGCCACUCUCCUCAGGUUACUCACCUUAUCCAACAGUUGCAUCAUUAGCUUUCUUUAAAGGAUCUUGGUCCUUUACAUUAUUUUCUGGGCUUGGAGGUUCAUCACACCCCUACUGGUAUUCACCUCAGCCAAGCAAAGUAUAUCACUGAUCUCCUUACCCGGGCGGCUAUGUUGGAUGCCAAGCCAUGUCCCACUCCUAUGUCCUCCAACACAUAUCUCUCUUUUCAUGAUGGAGUGGCUCUUGAAAAUGGUUCAGAUUAUCGAAGUUUUGUUGGUGCCCUUUAGUAUUGUACCAUGACACGCCCAGAUAUAGCUUUUGCAAUAAAUAAAGUGUGUCAAUUCAUGCACCAUCCCUCUAAUGUUCACUGGCAGGCUAUAAAACGUAUUCUCCGGUACUUAAAGGGCACAUCUCAUUUUGGUCUCUUCCUACAGCCUUCCUAUGACUUCAACAUCACUUGCUAUACAAAUGCCGACUGGGCUUCCUGUCCUGAUGACAAGUGUAGCACCAGUGGCUACUGCCUCUUUCUUGCCUCUAAUCUGGUUUCUUGGUCAUCUUCCAAACAAAAAGUGGUCUCCCGCUCCAGCGCCGAAUCAGAGUACCGAGGGGUAGCAAAUGGGGCUGCUGAAAUUGCUUGGACUGAAUCUCUUCUUUGUGAACUUUCCAUUACUCCCCCUCCCCUCAUUCUCUGUGACAAUAUCAGUGCCACGUACUUAGCUGCCAAUCCUAUUUUGCAUGCCCGCACCAAACAUGUGGAAAUCGACUAUCACUUUGUCACGGAACGUGUUCUUCAAUGCUCUCUUUUUGUCCAGUUUACACCUUCUGAUGAUCAACUUGCUGAUUGCAUGACCAAGCCUCUCUCCACCCAACGUUUCAUCACUCUACGCUCCAAGCUCACUGUUCUCACUAGACCAAUGAGCUUGAGGGGGGAUGUUAAGCCUAAAGAUGUAAUUAGUUAGGAUAUUCUUUUCCCUCUAGUCUUGUAGCUCCACGUGUACAGUUGGUUAGGACCUCAUUGUAUAUAAUGCCUGCCCUGUUAUUGUAGAAGACAACAGAGAUAAAUAAUAUUAACAUUUUUCCUCUCAUCUCUCUCUCUGUUUCCCUCUGUUUUCAUCUCCUCUCUCAUCUGAACCAAAUGAUCCAUGUUAACCUUGGCUUGGUUUGAUUUGGCUCUAUCUUAGAGAGCUCAAGGAUCACGUCAACUCUGGUUUCUACUAUUCAGGUCCAUUCCCAUAUGAACUGGUUCAAAUUUGAGAAAAUGGUAACAGACCUUUAGUGAUGUUGGUUUGGAGCCAGUUGCCAAACCCGCCCUGAGCUUUACCACUAAUGUCAAGGGAGAAAGCCAUUUGAACAAAAACAAUAGCUUCAAGGGACUGAAUCGUGGAUGAAAUCUGAUCCACAUUUCUUCUCAUUUUGGAAACAAAUGAGAACUUAACUAAGAAGAUUCUACGGCCUCAUAGUGCUUUUCCUGAUCUAAGGUUGGUUCGUUUCCCAAACUGUGAGAUGCACGUGCCAGACUUCAGAACUCUCACGCUCAGGAGUGUAUCCACGUGGUGGACAUAAGAUGGUGGCUUAAGAUCUGGUGUCGGUGGCUUUACUUUACUAGGAGAGUAGUGUGUCUUCAUCUCAUUCACUGCCGGAGGGUGGCGUAAGCAGUGACGCUAAGGUGGGGCACAGUCAAUAUCAUUUGCAUUUGACCAUUAUAGUUUUCUCCCGGCUUUAAAGUAACCUUAUCGUGAUAAAGGAUUACUAGCACUAGUUCAGAUGAUAGUCAUGUUAAAUUCGGACCAUGUUUGUGUCACAUUAUCAGCAACCAUGUGUUUAUGGUUCAUGCUUUCUGCAACUAAAAUUGAUAUAUAACCAGGUGAACUUCAAUCUAAAUUCUGAAAGUACUCAUGUGAUAGAUGGUGCCCGUCUGCAGAGUCCAUCAAUUGAAAAAUGGAGUGAGUGUAUCUAUAAGAGGGAAGGCUUGGAAAAUGUUCAGUUUUCUGGGAAUUCAACAAGGAUCUAAAAUAGAUUGUUUUCUUUGCUGAUUUCAAUGGUUGAAAUUUGAGAAGAUUGUGUCCACAUAACACAACUAUUACUGGUCCUUCUGUUGCAAUUUAUCCUCUAAAGCUCUAGCAUGUCUUCCAAUUCCCACUUCCCUGUUACUCCAGGAAAGCUAUUUCUGUCAUUGUGAAGAAGAAAAGAGAAUGUACAUAUCGAUGCUUUUAAGUGACUGGAGCAUUUAUAUCAGGUGGUCUGCAGCCAUAUAUGCCACUUUGUGAAGAUUGGAACAGUCAAUCACUAGGCUAUAUAUUAGUGUGGCCCAGCCACUUUAAUCAAGGACAAGUCUUCAUACUUAAAGUCAAAUUCUGCCUUUAGUCUCAUUAUAAAUUUCUGUUUAAAUAUUAAGCAAACAUUUGUUUAAUGCGAUUAAGACAGUACUAACUCAAUACCUGUUCUAUUUUUGGAUGCAAAUGCUUGAUGGUUUCAUCAUUGGAUGGGAUAAAGGUGCAUUCAUGAUUAGGAAUACUAGUAGUUAUAUUUUAAUUCUCUUUUUUCUCAAUGAGACUUGUUGGCACAAUUUUGCUGUUGAGAAACCUACCUCUCCAUGGAAAAUAAGUUGUGAUUGAUAGUACUGGAUAUAUUCAAGAAAUCUAAAUAUAGAUAGCACAAAAUAUUAUCGACAUAAAUAGCAUUAACAGCGUACGUAUGUCUCAGUGCUCAUCAGCUAUAAGCAUGGGGCAAACACUUACUAUGAGCAACUUACGUCAAAAUUCCAGAAUAGGACAUAGAAGUGACAGAUAUAGAACAUUGCAUAUGAGUCACAAGAAAGGAAAUUACGGGUGCAUAGCAGCUCUUAUUUUACAUACUACUACUCAUACUGAUCAAAGUCACUCAGUUGGGAUGGGUGGGAGUAGGAGGUUUGUGGGGUGGCUUGUGCGGAGGAGUUGGCAGCUUCUUUCCAGGACCUGGUUGCUUCUCUGCUGGAGUUGAAGGAGGCUUAAUCUUCCGAGGUGGCUUGUAUGAGUCUUCAGCAUUCUCAGCUGGAGGGUGACCAGGGUUGUGACCAUAAUGUGGUGGCUUCUCUCCCUUAGGUGGUUUGCCAACUGGGGUUGGUGGCUUGUAUGAGUCUUCAGCAUUCUCAGCAGGAGGGUGACCAGGGUUGUGACCAUAAUGUGGUGGCUUCUCUCCCUUAGGUGGUUUGCCAACUGGGGUUGGUGGCUUGUGUUCUGGGAGUGGCUUCUCCCCCUUGGGAGGUUUUUCCAAUGGGGUUGGUUUGUGUUCAGGAGGUGGCUUCUCCACUGGAGGCUUGUGUUCAGGAGGUGGCUUCUCCACCGGAGGCUUGUGUUCAGGUGGUGGCUUCUCCACCGGAGGCUUAUGCUCUGGUGGUGGCUUCUCGAAUGGGGGAUGCUUAGGAUAAUCAGCAAGUGAGGGGGCGGUGAGAACCACCAGGCCAAGCAACACCACUAGCAAAUAUGUAGGAGACAUCUUUGGGUUUGGGCUCAGAUGGUGCAAAACUAGGAGAAUUGGCUAGCCUUUUAUAGCGGAUCGUACCCAAUAAUGAAAUGACACGUGUCAUUAUGACCCAUGUGUAAUGGGGUCGAUUUGGGUCCUACAGUGUUGAAAACUUCGACAUCCACUUUUGGCCUUUUGCUUUCUCUACAGCCGCCUUGCUUUUUCCCUCUUUCCUUUUGUUUUCCUCCUGCCCCAUUCUAUCAACUAAACACAAUUAUGUAGUUGUUUAAUUCUUAAAUGAGAUAUUAUCCGUCAAUCGUAUUAUAUUUUAUCAAGAGAGAACGGAGUGCAAUGUGGCUGUAAUUUUAUCGUUUAGUUUUAUCUCUUGGACCACUGCAUUUUUGUUAAGAGGUGCAAUAAUACACGUCUUUAUCUGCCAUUCAAUAUUUACAGUAAAGAGAGGGCACAAAACUCUUCACUUCGCACCAUAAUUAUUUUGUUUUCUGGACACCCCGGGGCCCUUUGGUUGGUUUGGGGGUCAGAAAGUGAACAUCAUAGGGGGUUUUUCCCUUAUGUGCAUUUGUAUCUGAUGGCUUUAACUCGCCUUGUUACUACAAAGAAACUGUCACAGAUAGGAACUUAUUCCAGGCUGAGUAUCUCCUCAUAGACCCUAUAAAAGAAGACAAGUCAUAAUGAACAUCUAACCUUUGUUCAAUUUGAUUCAAUGCCCCCAUUGUGUCCAUCUCACAAAUCUGAAUUAUUAUAUCCAUUGAAUACAUAAAUUAAUGAAGAAAAUAUGAAACCCAAGAUACAUCUCUGCACAACCUCAACCCUGGUUGCUAUGUUUCCCUUCUAUUCACAUGAUUUGAUGCUAAUUGCCAAACUUGCAACAAGCCCUGAGUUUGACACCUAGUAUCGAUGGGCGAAUUUAAAGUCUCCUCCAAACAUAUAUUCCACAGCUUGAAGCUCACAGAAGAUGUUACAGGCAGGGAAAAACCUUCAGAGUUCGCUACCAAAGAUAAUUAUUAAGGAGAUAUCACAAAGAGAAUUCCAAGGGGUCUGAAUCAAAGACAAAUUGGUCGUUCGUGGGGGUUCUUACUUUCUUUUGGGUAUAACUCACUGAGGGCACUGUCUUUGUUAUUUGCAUUUCACAUUUAGAGUUCUGUUCUGGAAACAUAUAAAAGGAGCAUCAUUUUGUUCUUGGGUAACCCAUAGUCGUGAGUGGGUCCAUUUGCAUGCUACUUAGUUGAAAAGUUGGACCAUUUGCUCCGACGCCUACCUCCCGGAUUCCAUGCUCGGAUAAAACAAGAAUAAAAAAAAUAUUUAUAAUUUACAAAUGGGGGAAAGAAAAAAAUGUCAACAACAAACCAGGAAAAAAGAGUAGUAAAAUUCAUGUCACAUGCUAGUGAGAGAAGGGGUUGUUACACUCACUCGAAGUUCUUUCCAAAAUAUCGCAUGGUAUUUUAUUUUAUGUGUCAGCGCAGUUGUGAAUGGAACGUGCAAAAGUCCAAAUUGGCGUUUUUCCUUUUCCCGUGUAGGAUGGCGACCUUUAAUAAAUAUUUAAAACAAAAAACGAAAAAAAGGAGGGAAAAGGGAUCAGAAAAGAUAAAACAAUGUGUACAAGAGCUCAAUUAGUUUGCAAAUUACUGUUUGGAUUUUGAUAGUAUUUUAUUUGUCCAUCUAUAUUUGAUGGAAAAGAGAAUUUAAGAUAUUUCUGAAACAAAAGCAUUAGUGUAAAACUAAAUUAAGGUAUAAUUAAGUUAGUUCAAUGCAUUAAUUUAAGAAACUUGAUCUAUCCAAAGUACAAAAUUAGAUGAAAUCCAUUUCAAUGGUUAAAAUGAUCAAAAUCAAACUUUUUCUAAGUAUUUUUUAAAAGCAUCAAUAUUAAAAGACAAUUUUAUAUUUAGUCGGAGUUUGGACAAAACCAAAAAGCACACAAAAUCCAAGCGACCAUCUCUAGCUUGGAUAGUCACUUGAUCCCACCUAGAGAUGUGCAUGAGUAAAAGGAUUUGAAAAUGGAAAUUGACUAAAUAUUUAGUUGAUCAAUUAAAUUUGCAAUGUCAUAUGCAAUCCUAAUAGCUAGUCAUCUAAUCAAUUAGGUAGUCAAUCAAGUGUUUGUAAUGACUAUUUUGUACAAAAAACCACAUGUAUAGUUAAAUAUAAUGCAUUUCAUUUAUAAAUCUUCUAAUUCUUGAAUAACGAUCCUAUCAUCCUUUGAAAAUUUUUAUUACACCUUUUUUACUUUUGUUCUAAAACUUACAUAUCACCCUUAAUUGUACCAUGAGAACCUAGCUAUUUUUUUUUUUUUUGUAAUUCAUCAAAGUUAGCUUUUGUAUUCAUUGUUGUAUUAUUUUUAGUAUAACUUAGAAAGCUAGUGUUUUCAAGUGAGUAAAAUUAACUUGUAAAUAUUGUAAAGAUUCAUUGAUAUGUAUCUUAAACUAAGUGUACAAAUUAAAACAUUUGCUAGUAGAUUUUCUCAAAAUUUAGAAUAGAGCUUGAGGCUAUUGAAAUAGGUGGGGUUACACCAAACCACAUCACAUCGUUGUUUGCACCUUUUUUCACUCUCUUUUACUUAGUUUCUCUAUAUUUGUUGUCUAGUAAUAUCCUAUAGGCUUGAUGGGUUAGGGAGCAUCCCUUUGUGAAAAAAUUUCAUUCAAUUCUUAGUUGUAUUACGCAUAUAUAAAAUGCCUCAUUGUUUUAAUGGUAUUCAGUCGUGGCAUCACAGAUAUGGGCAUCUAAAUUUUAAAAGUUUGAAACUUUUGUAAAGCAUGUUGAUAAAAUCCAUGAGAGUUGUGUACUUGGGAAGCAACAUCGAGGUGACUUUAUUUUUUUUUCCUUUUAUAAUGCCACACCUAAGUCCGGUUUCUAAAUGCUAAAGUGAAAGGGUAGGUAUGGACCAUUGAAAUGUGAUCACAACUUUUGGCCUUUUCCUUUCUCUGCAGCCAUGUUGUCUCUUUUUUCUUUUGCAUGAUUUUCUUACCAAAACAGAAUCAUAGACUUGUUUAGUCUCUAAGCUACUAUAUUAUAUCUCGGUGGACUUUUAAGAGUGCAACCGACAUAGAGCACAUGCAAGUGGGCAUAUGGGACAUGAAAUUUCUUCUUACAAAGAUUGCAUGAUUUUUAUAUUAGAGUUGUUCACGUGCAAUGUAUUUAGCUUGUUUUGCAGUUAAAUUAAUUGGAUAAGUAAACAUUGGCAUUUCUAAAUCGACUGUGAAGUGCUUCAUGUACGUGUAAAGUAUUAGAAAUUUCUUUCUUGGCAACUUGUUUUUUCCUUGCCAUCUACUGGUAGGUUUGACUAAAAUUAUAUUCCCUGUCAUGCUAAUUAAUUUUCAUGUGCAUGCUCAAAAGAAGAGUAUGACCUUAGUGCACCAAAAUCACUUUGAUUAAUUUGUGAUAGGUUUUUUUGCAUCAUUUAGAUAAUGUUUAGUUCUAAGAAAAAUUUAUAUAAAAAUGGUUUAUUUAUCUUACAUAUAUAUAUAUAUAUAUAUAUUUUUUUUUUUUUCAUUUUUUUUUCUUCUAUUUUAUUUAUUUAUUUUAUUUUCCUUAUGUUUUCCUCACAUUUUCCGGAACUAAACAUAGUCUUACGAAAUCAACAAUUGCCUUCAACUGAGUAGAUUCUGUUGUUUUAGCAAUGUUAGGCUGCUAACUUGUGGUGGUACGAACCAAAUGACCCAUGUUAAUCUUGGCUUGGUUUGAUUUGGCUCUAUCUCAGAGAGCUAAAGGAUCACGUCAACUCUGGUUUCUACUAUUCAGGUCCAUUCCCAGAUGAACUGGUUCAAAUUUGAGAAAAUGGUAACAGACCUUUAGUGAUGUUGGUUUGGAGCCAGUUGCCAAACCCGCCCUGAGCUUUACCACUAAUGUCAAGGGAGAAAGCCAUUUGAACAAAAACAAUAGCUUCAAGAGACUGAAUCGUGGAUGAAAUCUGAUCCACAUUUCUUCUCAUUUUGGGAAAAAAUGAGAACUUAACUACAAAGAUUCUACUGCCUCAUUCAUAGUGCUUUUCCUGAUCCAAGGUUGGUUCGUUUCCCAAAUUGUGAGGUGCACGUGCCACUCUCACGCUCAGGAGUGUAUCCACGUGGUGGACAUCAGAUGGUGGCUUAAUAUCUGGUGUCGGUGGCUUUACUUUACUAGGAGAGUAGUGUGUCUUCAUCUCAUUCACUGCCGGAGGGUGGCGUAAGCAGUGACGCUAAGGUGGGGCACAGUCAAUAUCAUUUGCAUUUGACCAUUAUAGUUUUCUCCCGGCUUGAAAGUAACCUUAUCGUGAUAAAGGAUUACUAGCACUAGUUCAGAUGACCGUCAUGUUAAUUCGGACCAUGUUUGUGUCACAUUAUCAGCAACCAUGUGUUUAUGGUUCAUGCUAUCUGCAACUAAACUUGAUAUAUAACCAGGUGAACUUCAAUCAAAAUUCUGGAAGUACUCUUGUGAUAGAUGGUGCCUGUCUGCAGAGUCCAUCAAUUGAAAAAUGGAGUGAGUGUAUCUAUAAGAGGGAAGGCUUGGCAAAUGUUCAGUUUUCUGGGAAUUCAACAAGGAUCUAAAAUAGAUUGUUUUCUUUGCCGACUUCAAUGGUUGAAAUUUGAGAAGAUUGUGUCCACAUAUCACAACUAUUACUGGUCCUUCUGUUGCAAUUUAUCCUGUAAGGCUCUAACAUGUCUUCCAAUUCCCACUUCCCUGUUACUCCAGGAAAGCUAUUUCUGUCAUUGUGAAGAAGAAAAGAGAAUGUACAUAUCGAUGCUUUUAAGUGACUGGAGCAUUCAUAUCAGGUGGUCUGCAGCCAUAUAUGCCACUUUGUGAAGGUUGGAACAGUCAAUCACUAGGCUAUAUAUUGGUGUGGCCCAGCCACUUCAAUCAAGGACAAGUCUUCAUACUUAAAGUCAAAUUCUGCCUUUAGUCUCAUUAUAAAUUGCUGUUUAAAUAUUAAGCAAACUUUUGUUUAAUGCGAUUAAGACAGUACUAACUCAAUACUUGUUCUAUUUUUGGAUGCAAAUGCUUGAUGGUUUCAUCAUUGGAUGGGAUAAAGGUGCAUUCAUGAUUAUGAAUACUUGUAGUUAUAUUUUCAUUCUCUUUUUUCUCAAUGAGACUUGUUGGCACAAUGUUGCUGUUCAGAAACCUACCUCUCCAUGGAAAAUAAGUUGCGAUUGAUAGUACUGGAUAUGUUCAAGAAAGCUAAAUAUAGAUAGCACAAAAUAUUAUCGAUAUAAAUAGCAUUAACAGCGUACGUAUGUCUCAAUGCUCAUCAGCUAUAAGCAUGGGACAAACACUUACUAUGAGCAACUUACGUCAAAAUUCCAGAAUAGGACAUAGAAGUGACAGAUCUAUAUAUAUAGAACACUGCAUAUGAGUCACAAGAAAGGAAAUUACGGGUGCAUAGCAGCUCUUAUUUUACAUACUACUACUCAUACUGAUCAAAGUCACUCAGUUGGGAUGGGUGGGAGUAGGAGGUUUGUGGGGUGGCUUGUGCGGAGGAGUUGGCAGCUUCUUUCCAGGACCUGGUUGCUUCUCUGCUGGAGUUGAAGGAGGCUUAAUCUUCCGAGGUGGCUUGUAUGAGUCUUCAGCAUUCUCAGCUGGAGGGUGACCAGGGUUGUGACCAUAAUGUGGUGGCUUCUCUCCCUUAGGUGGUUUGCCAACUGGGGUUGGUGGCUUGUAUGAGUCUUCAGCAUUCUCAGCAGGAGGGUGACCAGGGUUGUGACCAUAAUGUGGUGGCUUCUCUCCCUUAGGUGGUUUGCCAACUGGGGUUGGUGGCUUGUGUUCUGGGAGUGGCUUCUCCCCCUUGGGAGGUUUUUCCAAUGGGGUUGGUUUGUGUUCAGGAGGUGGCUUCUCCACUGGAGGCUUGUGUUCAGGAGGUGGCUUCUCCACCGGUGGCUUGUGUUCAGGAGGUGGCUUCUCCACCGGAGGCUUAUGCUCUGGUGGUGGCUUCUCCACCGGAGGCUUAUGCUCUGGUGGUGGCUUCUUGAAUGGGGGAUGCUGAGGGUAAUCAGCAAGUGAGGGGGCGGUGAGAACCACCAGGCCAAGCAACACCACUAGCAAAUAUGUAGGAGACAUCUUUGGGUUUGGGCUCAGAUGGUGCAAAACUAGGAGAAUUGGCUAGCCUUUUAUAGCGGAUCGUACUCAAUAAUGAAAUGACACGUGUCAUUAUGACCCAUGUGUAAUGGGGUCGAUUUGGGUCCUACAGUGUUGAAAACUUCGACAUCCAGUUUUGGCCUUUUGCUUUCUCUACAGCCGCCUUGCUUUUUCCCUCUUUCCUUUUGUUUUCCUCCUGCCCCAUUCUAUCAACUAAACACAAUUAUGUAGUUGUUUAAUUCUUAAAUGAGAUAUUAUCGGUCAAUCGUAUUAUAUUUUAUCAAGAGAGAACGGAGUGCAAUGCAGCUGUAAUUUUAUCGUUUACUUUUAUCUCUUGGACCACUGCAUUUUUGUUAAGAGGUGCAAUAAUACACGUCUUUAUCUGCCAUUCAAUGUUUACAGUAAAGAGAGGGCACAAAACUCUUCACUGCUCUGCAUGUGUCCCAAAAAUGCGAUUGGACAAAUUAUGAUUUGCAUGCUAAAAAGAGGCAAAUGAGGUUAAUUCGCACCAUAAUUAUUUGGUUUUCUGGACACCAUAAAAAGAUGUUAUACAGGCAGGGAAAAACCUUCAGAGUUAGCUACCAAAGAUAAUUAUCAAGCAGAUAUCACCAAGAGAAUUCCAUAGAGUCUGAAUCAAAGACAGAUUGCUCGCUCGUGGGGGUUCUUACUUUCUUUUGGGUAUAACUCACUGAGGUCACUGUCUUUUUUAUUUGCAUUUCACAGUUAGAGUUCUGCUCUGGAAGGUUUGUUCUGGAAACAUAUAAAAGGAGCAUCAUUUUGUUCUUGGGUAACCCAUAGUCGUGAGUGGGUCCAUUUGCAUGCUACUUAGUUGAAAAGUUGGACAAUUUGCUCCGACGCCUACCUCCUGGAUUCCAUGCUCGGUAAAACAAGAAUAAAAAAAAAUAUAUAAUUUACAAAUGGGGGAAAGAAAAAAUGUCGGAAAAAAUAGUAAAAUUCAUGUCACAUGCUAGUGAGAGAAGGGGUUGUUACACUCACUCGAAGUUCUUUUCAAAAUAUCGAAUGGUAUUUUACUUUAUGUGUCAGCGCAGUUGUGAAUGGAACGUGCAAAAGUCCAAAUUGGCGUUUUUAUUUUUCCCAUGUAGGAUGGUGACCUUUAAUAAAUAUUUAAAACAAAAGACGAAAAAAAAAAGGAGGGAAAAGGGAUCACAAAAGAUAAAAUAAUGUUUACAAAAGCUCAAUUAGUUUGCAAAUUACUGUUUGGAUUUUGAUAGUAUUUUAUUUGUCGUUCUAUAUUUGAUGUAAAAGAGAAUUUAAGAUAUUUCCGAAGCAAAAGCAUUAGUUUGCUCUGUGAUGUCCCACAUCGAAUAGGGGAGAAAGUUUCUGGCGCUAUAUAUGUAGAGGCUCCUCUUAACCAAGUAGAUGCGUUUUAAAACCAUGAGGGCCCCCUUAGGUCCAAAGCGGACAAUAUCUACAUGAUUGGGUGUAAGUCAUUACAAAUGGUAUCAGAGCCGAUCCCCGACCCCGGUGUGGGGGUUUGUUUGGCCCUGUAAGGGGUGUUUGUCUGUUUGACCCCACAAUCCCAUGGGACACAACGAGGACGUUGUGUCUGCAUGGGGGGGCGUUUGUGAUGUCCCACAUCGGAUAGGGGAGAAAGUUCCUAGUGCUAUAUAUGUAGAUGUUUCUCUUAACCAAGUAGAUGCAUUUUAAAAUUGUGAGGGCCUCUUUGGGCCCAAAGCGGACAAUAUCUACAUGGUUGAGUGUAAGUCAUUACAUGCUCCAUGUCAAUUUCAGCAUUUCUCAUAUGUUUCACACAUACACAGAAGAGCAUCGUUUUUUAAAGCAUGCAUUUAUGUUGGAUUAAUUUGGAUUUUGUGGGAACUGGGGCAAGGAUCACAUGGAAGAGAGGUUGACUUUUUUCAGUACUUCAAUGGUUGAAAUAUGUGAAGGCUUGAUUGAUACUAAAGCUUGAAAUUGCGACUCUGUCAUUUGUAAAAAAAUAUGACAGCUUCCAUGCUCUCGUUUGGUUGCAUUGUCCGGUCGAGAGGUGCAAAAAGCAUUCUCUCUCUUCUAAUAGUCUUUUCGUUUAAAUCAAGGGAUUUGCCUUCCCGGUCGAGGUCCAAUAGAGGGUAACGGUCACCUACUAAACAUUAAAUGCUCCAACAACUAGUGAACUGAUCGACCCCAGCUCGACUAGUUGAGGUUACUUUUUGGUUUUCUUGUCUCCCGAGGUUAGAAACCUAUAAAUAGAGAGCUUCACUUCAUUUAUGAGUAAGAGAACACCUAAAUUUAUUUGUUUACCUACUUGUUUUUGCCAUAAAAGCUCUCAUUUCUUUUCUUGGUGUAUUAAAUCUCCAUUUGCAUAUCCUUUAGUGCACCUUUGUGAUUCAUUCUAGCCUUGAGUUGUAUUUAAGCCUUUGUUGAGCUAGGUUGAGAGUUUCAUACUUGUUUAUUGAGUGUUAAAGCCUUCAAGUGAGUUAAAACUUGAAGAGAUUGUGUAAGAGCCCAUUGGAGUCGGAAUCCAAGUGUAAAGGUGAUUAAAAGCUUGGUUGAAGCUUCAAGUUAGUGGAACUCUCACUCGGUUAUGAGCUUGAGAAGAGUGGACAUAGACAAGGCAGUGUCGAACCACUAUAAAAUCUGAGUUUGAUUUCUCUAACCUUAUCUCUUUAUAUUUGCUUCUCUUGUGCUUAAAUUUUUUGUGUUUAAAAAGAAUUUUUAAAAACUCAAUUCACCCCCUUCUUGGGAGUUUUUCUCUUUUAAGAUCAGCUUUUAUUUUCUCAAUUGGUAUCAGAACUAUGCCUCUUGUUUAAGACUUAAUCGUCUAAGAGGAAAUGGCUAAUCCAUCAAGUUCAUCUCACAUUGAAAGUUUUGCAACCAAUAGACUUCUUUUUUUUUUUUUGCGGGAACUGAUUAUCCCUAUUGGAAAACUAAAAUGACUUGGUUUUUACAAUCAAUUGAUUUAGAUGUAUGAGAUGCCAUUGAAGAUGACCUAACUUUUCCUUCAAAACUAGUUGAUGGAGUCAUGGUUCCAAAACCUAAGCAAGAAUGGGAUGAGCGUGAUUGAAGAAAUUUUCAAUUAAAUGCUAAAGUCGUUUAUACUUUGCAAUGCUCUAUGGACAGAAAUGAAUAUAAUAGAAUAUGUCAAUGCAAAUCGGUUAAAGAAAUUUGGAGAUUGCUUGAAAUAACUCAUAAAGGAACAAAUCAAGUUAAAGAGUCAAAAAUCAAUUUACUUGUUCAUAGAUAUGAAUUGUUUUUUAUGAAAGAUAAUGAAACUAUUGUUAAGAUGAUCACUAGGUUCACCAACAUUGUUAAUGGUCUUAAAGCCUUGGGAAAGACCUACAAGGAAUCCGAAAACGUGAUGAAGAUCUUGAGGUCACUUCCAUCAAAGUGGCAUACCAAGGUCACCGCAAUUUAAGAAGCAAAAGACUUGAUCAAGCUACCUUUGGAGGAGUUCAUAGGGUCAUUGAUGACAUAUGAAAUCAAUUUGGCAAAGAAGUAACAAAAAGGUGAAGACAAAAAGAAGAAGAACAUAACUCUCAAAGCUACAACUAAGGAAGAAGAAGUUGAAGAAGAAAAACAAAUUGAAGAAGAUGAAGAUUUAGCCCUCAUCACAAGAAAGUUCAACAAAUUCAUGAGGGGUGAAAGGUUUAGAAGAAGAAGGUUCACUUCUAGAAGAGACUUUUCUAAAAAGGAAUCUUCAUCUAAUGGUGACAAAAAGAGAUGGGAAGAGAAAAGAGACUUGGUGUGUUUCAAGUGCAAGAAACCGGGACACAUUAAAUAUGAUUGUCCUCUCUACAAAAGUGAAGUCAAGAGGAAAAAGAAUAAGGCAAUGAUGGCCACUUAGAGUGAAAGUGAAGAUGAAUCAUCCGAAGAAGAAAAUGAGAAAGAAGUGGCAAACAUGUGUUUCAUGGCAAUAGAUGAACUUGAUGAGGUAAAAUCUAACCUUAGUGAUUAAGAUAUACAUGAUGCAUUUGAAGAAUUGUAUGAGGAUUUUUAAAAACUUAGUUUGAAAAAUAUUUCUCUUAAAAAGAAAGUUCAACAACUUGACAAAGAACUUAGAGAAGUAAAAGAAAAAUUUUCAAAUGUUAAAGUUUCUAAAACUCAUCUUGAAAAAGAAAAUGAGAUUCUAAGAAAGAAAAAUGAAUAGUUGAACUCCUCUCUUUCAAUCUUUUCUUCUAGACAAAAAUCUUUUGAAAUGAUUCUAACUAGCUAAAAAUGUGUUUUUGACAAACAAGGGUUAAGAUUUAAAUCUUCAAAAAAUCAAAAGUAUUUUAAAAACUAUUUUGUAAAGGAAUCCACAAGUGCAAGUCCUUCCACUACUUGCAACUUUUGUGGAAGAGAAUGGCACAUUAGUAGUACGCCCUUUAAGAAAUGGUUCUCAAAAGAAUUUAAAUGCAAAAACUAAAAAAGAUUUGGAUUGAGAAAUCCAAGGUCACUAACCCUCAAGGACCCAAAAAGAUAUAGGUACCUAAAUCAACUUGAGUUUUAUGUUGUAAGGUUCAAAGAAUGAUAAGUGGUUCUUAGAUAAUGGUUGCUCAAGACACAUGACCGGAGAUGAAUCCAAGUUUGCUUUUCUUAAAAAGAAAAAUGGAGGAUAUGUUACCUUUGGAGACAAUGCAAAAGAAAGGAUGAUUGGUCAAGGCAACAUUGGUAAUGGCACAUCCUCUCUCAUUGAAAGUGUUUUAUUAGUAGAUGGUUUCAAACAUAACCUUUUAAGCAUUAGUCAAUUUUGCGACAAAGGUUUUUAAGUGAUUUUUUAAGCAUCUCAUUGCAUCAUCAAGGAUAUUCAAAAUGAUAAAACCAUUUUCAUGGGCCAUAGAUGUGAUAAUGUUUAUGCUAUAAAUAUUUCAAAAUAUGAUGGCCAUGAUAGAUGUUUUUCAAGCAUGCAUGAUCAAAGUUGGUUGUGCCAUAGGAGAUUGAGACAUGCUAACAUAGACCUCAUUUCCCAACUCAACAAAGAUGAACUUGUUAGAGGCCUUCCCAAAAUAAUUUUUUAAAAAGAUAAAGUUUGUGAAGCUUGUCAAGUGGGAAAGUAAAUCAAAAACUCUUUUAAAAACAAAAACUUCAUUUCCACAUCUAGGCCACUUGAGUUGUUGCAUAUGGAUUUAUUUGGUCCCUCUAGGACACCAAGUCUUAGAGGAAAUUCUUAUGCAUAUGCUAUUGUGGACGACUUCUCUAGAUACACAUGAGUCUUGUUUUUUAGUCAAAAGAAUAAAGUUUUUUAUGAGUUUUCAAAGUUUUGCAAUAAGAUUCAAAAUGAAAAAGGUUUUUCAAUUACUUAUAUAAGAAGUGAUCAUGGGAGAGAAUUCGAAAAUAUUGAUUUUGAAGAGUAUUGCAAUGAGCAUGGAAUUGACCACAAUUUUUUGGCUCUUAGAACUCCUCAACAAAAUGGGGUAGUUGAAAGGAAAAAUAGAACUCUUCAAAAAAUGACAAGAACCAUACUAAAUGAAAACAACUUACCAAAAUAUUUUUAGGCCAAAACGGUUAACACUUCUUGUUAUGUUUUAAAUAGAGUAUUAUUGAGGCUCAUACUUAAGAAAACUCCCUAUGAGCUUUGGAAAAACAAAAAACCCAACAUUAGUUAUUCCAAAGUCUUUGGAUGCAAUAUUUUAUAAUAAACACCAAAGACAAUCUUGGAAAAUUUGAUGCAAAAUUGGAUGUUGGAAUUUUCCUUGGUUACUCAACUUCAAGUAAAGCUUUUCGAGUUUUAACAAAAGAACCAUGGUUGUAGAGGAGUCCAUCCAUGUUAUUUUUUAUGAAUCUCCAAGAAAGAGAGAGGAUUGAUGAUGAUUUAGGUUUGAAGACCUCUAUAGGAAGAUUGCAAAUCGAAGAUAGAAGACAACAAGAAGAAAAUGGAGAGAAUCCAAAGAAAGAAGGAUCACCAUUGGCACUACCCCCUCAUCAACAAGCGCAAGGUGAAUCAAGUCAAGAGCUUCCUAAAGAAUGGAAGUUUGUCAUCAAUCACCCACAAGAUCAAAUUAUAGGCAAUCCAUCUAGUGGGGUAAGAACUAGAUCCUCUCUUAGAAAUAUUUGCAAUAAUCUAGCUUUUAUCUCUCAAAUUGAGCCUAAAAAUAUAAAUGAUGUUUUAGAUGAUGAAAAUUGGAUAAUUGCAAUGCAAGAAGAGUUAAAUCCAUUUGAAAGAAGUGGAGUAUGGGAAUUAGUACCAAGACCUUCAAAUCAAAGUGUUAUUGGAACUAGAUGGAUCUUUAGAAAUAAAAUGGAUGAAAAUAGCAUAAUUGUUAGAAAUAAAGCAAGAUUGGUAGCCCAAGGUUUUAAUCAAGAAGAAAUGAUAGAUUAUGAAGAAACCUUUGCCCCCGUAGCUAGGUUGGAAGCCAUUAGGAUGCUACUUGCCUUUGCAUGUUUUAAAGACUUUGUUUUAUAUCAAAUGGAUGUGAAAAGUGCUUUUUUAAAUGGUUUUAUAAAUGAAGAAGUAUAUGUUGAACAACCACCCGGUUUUCAAAGUUUCAACUUUCCUAACCAUGUUUUUAAACUUAAAAAGACACUUUAUGGUUUGAAACAAGCACCUAGAUCAUGGUAUGAAAAAUUGAGUAAAUUUCUUUUGAAAAAAAUGUUUUAAAAUGGGAAAAAUUGACACAACUCUUUUUAUAAAAACCAAAGAAAAUGAUAUGCUCUUAGUUCAAAUAUAUAUUGAUGAUAUCAUUUUUGGUGCUACUAAUGUCUCUCUUUAUGAAGAAUUUUCUAAGUGCAUGCAUAGUGAGUUUGAAAUGAGCAUGAUAGGAGAACUCAACUUCUUCCUUGGACUUCAAAUCAAGCAACUAAAGGAAUGAACCUUCAUCAAUCAAGCAAAGUAUAUAAGAGAUCUUCUCAAAAGGUUCAACAUGGAAGAAGCCAAAACAAUGAAGACUCUAAUGAGCUCAUCCAUUAAGCUUGAUAAGGAUGAGAAAGGUAAAUCCAUUGACUCUAUUAUGUAUAGAGGCAUGAUAGGUUCUUUGCUCUAUUUGACCACUAGUAGACCUUACAUUAUGUAUAGUGUGUGUUUGUGUACUAGAUUUCAAUCUUGUCUUAAAAAAUCUCACUUAAGUGUCGUGAAAAGAAUCCUCAAAUAUUUGAAAGGGACAAUGGACAUAGGCUUAUGGUAUCCUAAGAGUGAUAACUUUGAAUUAAUUGGUUUUUUGGAUGCUGAUUUUGUCAGUUGUAGGGUUGAAAAAUAAAACACUAGUGGCACUUUUCAUUUCUUAAGACACUUACUUGUCUCAUGGCAUAAUAAGAAGCAAAAUUUGGUAGCUUUGUCAACAGCAGAAGCUAAAUACAUAGCAACUGGUUUAUGUUGUGCACAAAUCCUUUGGAUGAAAUAAACACUUAGUGAUUUUGAUUUAUCUUUUGAGCAUAUUCCUAUUAAAUGUGAUAAUAGUAGUGCCAUAAGUAUAUCAAAAAAUCUCGUGCAACACUCUAGGACUAAGCAUAUAGAGAUUAGACAUAAUUUUCUUAGAUAUCAUACACAAAAGGAUGAUAUAACACUUGAAUUUGUAAGCAUAAAAGACCAACUUGCCGAUAUCUUUACAAAACCUCUAAGAACAUUUUGUUGAUAUUAGAGGACAAUUAGGAGUGAUUUCUUUAUGAUCUAAUGUGAUGAAUUCUUGAUGAAUAUACUUUUUGAUUGCAUGAAUUUCAUGUCAUAUAUGCAUCAUAUAGAAAUAUACUUAGAUAAUGGUCAAAUUUCGACCAAAAAUCAAAAUUCCCAUGGCAUUAGGCAUAAAAAUUUUGGAAUUUCAACUGAAAAUGGUAGGAGGAGGAUCACAAAAUGAGAAAGUAUGCAAAAAUUGAAAAAUCAAAACGUUGACCAAGCGGUCAAUCGGACUAGACCGAUCGACUAGUUUGUCGAGAUUUAGGAUUUUUAAGAGACUCCAACGCUUCAAUUUUUGCACCGUUCUCCUCUAUUUCUUCACGGUUUCUCUGAUUUUGUCUUUUAGAGACUAAUUUGAGUGCGUUUUGGAUCAAUUGAAGCAUUUUGGAUUGGAUUUUAGGAAGAUUGAAAGUUAAGGUUUCGGAUUUGGGUCGCCUUCUCUUCCUCUCGCGUGUCACAAUCAGCUUUAGCAUUGUUCUCUUUCCAUUUUCACACACCUAGGGUUUCAGUUGUGAGCAUCUCUCUCUCUUUACCAACCACUACUCCCUUGCUUCUUCCAUAUGGCUCCUAGGCGAGAGUCCGCUACUUCUAGGGCACAAGGCAAGCACCCAACUGAGUCGUCUCAGUCAAAGGCACGUCGAAAAGUGAGAUUUGACAUUGCCUUGUUCAGUUCCAUGGAGGACUACCAACUAUACAAGCAACACUUUGCUUAGAGACGAGUAGUUCCCAAGAGAAAUAUUAAUUUUCCUCAACUUCAGCAUUUCGAAUUUAAGGGUCUAUUUACUAGGAUGGUUGGUUGUCUAUUGUCACAAUUUCGGAGCCGGUUUUCCUGACCUUAGUGCGAGUUUUUUACUCGAGGGCGACUUAUGGCAUGGGUGGCAUGAUCAUUUCUACUGUUGGAGGAGUUGAGAUCUGUCUGGACCCAGAGAGCAUCUGCCAUAUUUUCGAUAUUGCUCUGGUUGGACUCAAAGUAUACAAGUCCAAAAUGUGGCCCAUUGUGCCAGGAUUUGAGCUUAGAGAGGUCAUUCAGAGGAUUUGUGAACUUCCAGACGCCCAGGAGAUGGGCAAACCAUUGCCACACAGUUUGACGGUCAUCAACAGGGUGCUACACCAUAUAUUGUGCUCUAUCUUUCUACCACGAAGUGGACAUUGAGAUGAGGUCUCUUAUUAUGAGGCAUUCCUUAUUGACUCCAUUCUAACGGAGAGACGAAUUCAUCUACUAUGUCAUCAUUCACUAAGCCUCCUCACAGUGACAUACCACCUCAUCAGGCACCUCUUGCUCCUGACCAUGCUCCAUUGAUGGAUUUAUUUACUCAUAUUAGCUCUCUAGGCACUCGCAUGAAGGAGUUUGUUGUAGUUAGUGAUACAUGGUUCUACUCCAUAGAGGAUCGCAUGGAUCAGUAUCAGACUGGCUUCACGUCACAGUUUGAGUAUCUCCAAUAGAGGAUUGAGCAUAUUGAGGAUCACUUGAGCAUGAGAAGAUGAUGGCUUUUCUAUGCUCUGUGUUUCCACCUCCACCUCGUCAACCUUGAUUUCUUAGAGACCCAUUGUUUUCAUUUUGUAAUGUUGCCAAAAGGGGGAGAUAUUUAGGAUCUAGGACUCUAUAGGAGACUUACAUGCAUAUCAUUUUCAUAUCAUUGUUUGGAUCGUACAUAUUGGAUAGUGAUACUUUUUACUUAUAUAUGAUAUGCCUAUAUGUUUCAUGUCUUACAUUGUUUCUUAUUGCAAAUUAUCUCUAACAUGUCUUGAUUAUCUUUUUUUUAACUUCAUAAAUUUUGAUUGUUAACCCAUGAUUGGUUUGAGGGGAAGAUUCUUCUUCUCCUAGAUAACCAAGGUUUGUCAUCAUAAAAAAAUUGGAGAUUGUUAGCCCAAGGGUUCUCCUAAUCAUGUUUUGAUGAUAACAAACCAUGCUUAAGUUACUAAUUGGUUUGAAUUAUAAAGAAUUUCAAGUGUUAAUUUGAAAAUUCAUCAAAGAACCUAAUGGAUGCAAGAUCAAGAUUUUUGGAAGACCUUUAAUCAUAAGAAACAUAUGUAAGAUGAAUGCAUGGGUGCACUUAAGAUUUGCAUAUCAUUUCAUGCAUAUUUGGAAAACACGGUUUAUGCUUUAAAGUUACAUUUCCAUCAAAAUUUGAGAUCCAUCAAAUGAACCUUAGGAAAAAUGUUUUAAAAUUGGCAUAUAAUUUUACCUAAAGACCUUGCCUAAGUGUUAGAAGCAAAAGGACAAAAAAAAUAUAGGUUUUCUGGUCAAAAAUGGUGAACCAGUCAAGGCAUUGUCUAAAUCAGCUCAAUCGGCCAAGGUACCGGUCGAUCGGUUUCCCUUUCCCUGUCGAGAUCUAGUCAAGAGGUACAAAAAUCACAAUCUCUGUCUCUUUCUCUCUUUGUCUAUCUUCCAGUAGUCUUUCCUUCCCGGUCGAGGGAUUUGCCUUCCCGAUUGAGGUCCGAUUGAGAGUAAUAGUCACUUGCCAAAUAUUAAAUGCUCCAACAGUUAGUGAACUGGUCGACCCCCACCUUGCCCAGUUGAGGUUACUUUUUGGUUUUCUUGGCUCCCGAUGUUAGAAACCUAUAAAUAGAGAGUUCCACUUCAUUUAUGAGCAAGAGAACACUUGCAUUUAUUUGUUUACCUACUUGUUCUUGCCUUAAAAGCUCUCAUUUCUUUUCUUGGUGCAUUAAAUCUCCAUUUUGAUAUCCUUUAGUGCACCUUUGUGAUUCAUCUUAGCCUUGAGUUGUAUUUGAGCCCUUUUUUUAGCUAGGUUGAGAGUUUCAUACUUGUUAAUUGAGUGUUAAAGCCUUCAAGUGAGUUGAAACUUGUAGAGAUUAUGUGAGAGUCGAUUGGAGCCGAAAUCCAAGUGUAAAGGUGAUUAGAAGCUUGGUUGAAGCUUCAAGUUAGUGGAAUCCUCACUCAAUUAGGAGCUUGAGGAGAGUGGACGUAGCCAAGGAAGUGUCGAACCACUAUAAAAUUUGAGUUUGAUUUCUCUAACAUUGUCUCUUUAUAUUUGUUUAUCUUGUGCUUAAAUUUAUUGUGUUUAAAAAGAAUUUUUAAAUACCCAAUUCACCCCCCUCUUGGGUGUUUUUCUCUUUUAAAAUUAGCCUUUAUUUUCUCACAAACUAUUGUAGUAUAGUGGUUUUUAGGUGUCAUCCAUUAGGAUGAAUUGUUCUCGGUAAUUAAGGCGUGAAUGAGAGGAGAAUUAAUGAUUGUGAUUAAGUAAAAUUGAUUUGAAAAUUCAUGGUGAAAAAUCAAUUUAACAAUGGUUUCUAAUUGAGAAAAACAAUGAAAUGUGAAAUAAAAUAAAAUUAAUAGGAAAUGAAAUUCUCGAAGUUAGAAUUUUCUAAAAAACAAAUUCCAUGGUGAAUGGAUGUUGAGAUCUAAUUUUCAUCAAGUUAGAUUGAAAACCGAAAUUUUCAUAUAAACUGAUUUUUUAUUUAGUUUUAGGUCUAGAUUUAAUUUCCCUUAAAAUUAGGUUAUUUAAUCCAAGAAAUCAAUUCAAAUCAUAUAUUCAAUUCAUCUUAAAUUAUCUUCCAAUUAUUCACACAAUGCAACUAUUCAAUCUCAUCAAAUCUAGCUUUUAAGAAUUUAAUGAAUCUACCUAGUUUGCAUUGUAAUAGUCAUCCAUGACAAUUUGAAGAGAAAAAUAAUUCAAUUAAUCAAUCACUUGGAUCAAAUUACCUUUGCAAUUAAAGUUCAUUUCUCUAAUUCACCACAGAUUUUGUCUCUAGAUCCUCCUUUCUCAAAGAAAAAUGAGAUUUAGCCACACAUGAUUGGAGAUUUGGUCUCAUAAGGCAUGUUUAGCUAGUGAUAAAAUGAGAGAAAAUAAAGAAAAAUAGAGAAUUCGAUUAAGAAAGAAAAUCUAAAAAAUUCUACAAUUAGAAAUGUCCAAAAAGCUUUUUCAUGAGAAAAUCAAGUUUCUAUUUAUAGGCCAAGGUCAAGUGGACACUUGACAUCAUCUAAGAGGUCUUCCGGAAGCUUCUUCAUCAAGAAAUCUGGAGUUUAAUAAUAAAAUGGUCAUUUCACAAGAGCUCAAACAAUUUCGCAUGAUUAUGUGAAAUAAAAAAUGCAACAACAGCAAUUUACAUCUUCUUGGAGCAUUUCGCAUGACUGUGUGAAAUUUUCACAUGAUCAUGUGGAAUCGACUUGACAACUCUCAUUUAGCCUACAACAUAAUUCCACCUUUUGGUCCAUUUUUCAUAGUCAUGCGAAAUGGAAAUAUUUGAUUUUUAAGUUUUCUUUUGUCAUUUCUUUCAUUUCCUUCUCUUGAUUCCACUUCAACUACCUCCGAAUCCUGGUCCAAACCAAUUGCAUUACUUCUUUCAUUAUGCAUUUGGAUCAUCAUCAACAUUAUUUGUUCUCUUCAAUUUGAUUCAUCUCUUUUGUCACCAAUUUAUCAAAAUCAUACCUUGAAAUGACUCCAAAACUUCAUAAAACUUGUUAGUAACUCUUGCAAGGGCAACAACAUAUUAAUUAAGUGUUUUAGGCAUAGUUACUACUCAAAAGAUGCGAAACUCAUGAUAAUUAUUAUAUAAAAUAUGCUCUUUUUGAGUAGUAAUCAACUUUCUUGCAUAAGCAGACCUUUUAGGGUGGAGUACUAAAGACCAAUAUGCUUGUCCUUGUUGUAAUAAAGAAACUUGCUCUUAUUGAUUGCACCAUGGGAGAAAAUUUUGCUACAUGAGUUAUCAUCAAUUUCUUCCCACCAAUCAUAGAUUUAGACGUGACAAGAGGCCUCUUAAUGGCAAGGAGGAACUGACACUCACACUUAUACAAUUAUCGGGCAUUGAUGUGUUGCAACAAUUAGAAUAACUUACACCAAUUAUGUUGGGGAAGUCACAAAAGGCAAACAUGAAAACUAAAAGGAAAAAAGAAAAAUGUUACAUAUCACCACAACUGGAAAGAAAAAAGUAUUUACUUUCAUUUGCCAUAUUGGAAAGCACUUAUUUUACAUCAUAAUAAUUUAGACAUAAUGCAUAUUGAGAAAAAUGUGUGACAAUAUAAUUGAGACAUUGUUCAGUAUUGACGAAGAAACAAGGACAACCUAAAUAGUCAUCUCGAUUUACAAGCUCUAACUAUUAGAAAUGAGAUUCACCCAAUAGAAAGCAGGACCAAAUUUAUUUUGCUUGCAACAUGCUACUCACUCACCCCAAAUGAGAUUAAGGAAUUUUGCAAGUUUUUGAAAUCAAUAAAGGUCCCCAAUGGCUAUUCUUUCAAUAUCUCUCGUUAUGUGCAACUCAAUGAAAGGAAGAUAUAUGAGCUCAAAUUGUAUGAUUGUCAUGUCCUAAUGCAACAACUUCUCUCACUUGUAGUUCGUGGAGUUCUACAUAAGAAUGUUUGUGGAGUUAUCAUAGAAUUGCGUAAUUUUUUCAAGCAAUUGUGCUCAAAGGUGUUAGAAACAAAUCACUUACACCAACUUGAGAACAAUAUUAUUGUCAUACUAUGUAAAAUGGAGCAAAUAUUUCUUCCAUCAUUCUUUGAUAUUAUGGUGCAUUUACUUGUGCAUCUAGUAAGGCAAAGGUUGCAAGACUUGUGCAAUAUUGUUGGAUGUACCUAAUUGAACGAUAUUGUUAUAAUUUCAUAUGAAUCAUUUAAUUUUAUUUUAUAUUAUGUUCAGUUCAUUAACAUGUACAUUGGUCUACAUAUGGAUGAUGAUAGGUACCUAAGCACUUUAAAGUCAUAUGUGCGUAAUAGAACUUUUCUAGAAGGUUCUAUUGUAGAAAGGUACCUUGCAAAAGAAUGUACAACAUUUUAUUCUAGGUACUUGAAUGAUGUGGAAAUAAAGUAUAAUCACAAUGAUAGAAACUUUGUUGGUUUCAACACUAGAGGAGAUGAAAGGGGUUAUCUUUAAACAUAUUGGACAUGCAUUGGGAAAGCCCAUAUUUCAUUAACUUAGUUCAAAAGAGUGGUCACAAGCACAUUUAUAUGUGUUGACAAAUUGCGAAGAUGUCAUACCAUUCAUUGAGUAAAAAAUUUAUUUGAAUUUUAAUUAAAGCUCUAGUUUAUAUCCUUAAUCAAUGUUUUUUAAAUUCACAAGGAGCACAAGCAAACCAUCAAGGCUAGACCACAUAUACGUGUUUGAGACGUAGAUUUAAUUCAUAACAAGGAAUUUAUCAAGUGGUUUGAAAGACAUGUAAGUAUAUUCCUUAUUAUAAGGGAUUUAUUUCACAUUAUGUUUAUAUUGAAUCCAAACCUAUUAUUGAAUUGUAGGUUGAACAAUUACAUAAUGAAGGUCAUAUAUCUGAACACCUUCUCACAUUAUCAUGUGUUCCAAAUUCAUUAGUUACAUGCUUCAAAUGAUAUAUUGUCAAUGGAUUUAGAUCCCACAUUAAAGAACGUGAUAAAAAAGUUUUUAAAAAAAGACUCAGAAUAAUGGAAUUGUUGUAGUUGCAAAAACGUCAAGCUUUACAAGUGCAUGUGAUAUGAGUCCAAUUAUUAGUGAUGCUCUCUACUAUGGUGUUCUAACUAAAGUUGUUGAGUUACAUUAUCUUGGUGAAAAUAAGGUUGUUUUAUUCGAGUUUGAUUGGUGGGAUGUUACAAAUAUUGGAAAAUUGAUAAAAGAUGAUGAGUACAAUUACACAUUUGUUAACUUUGCAUGAAUUCUAACCACGAACGAACGAUUUGUACUUGCAUCUCCAGCAAAGUAAGUGUUCUAUGUGAAGAAUGCGAAUGAAUCAGAUUGGCAUACUAUCAUGGAGAUGCAACCUCAAGACCUCUAUAAGAUGAACGGGAUAGGAUCCAAUGGUGAUUUUGAACCAUUUCAACAAAGUGAACUACAUGAUCACUAAUAUAUCUCAGAUUUAGUUGAUGAAGAUAUAAUCAAGUGGAACAAAAGUGAUGUUUUAGGACUAAUCAUCCUAAAAAAUAUUGUAGUUUCUUAAAAAAAAAAUGAAAAUGAAGAAGAUAAUUGAACCUUUGUCAUACUUUAAAAAGCAACUAUGCAUUGUUCAUUUUGUAUGUUUUGGUUUUCUUCAUUUAAUUUCCUGAUUUUUGUGAUUCAAUGUCAUAUUAUUGAUCUUGAAAUAUUUUUCUAAUUUUUCAUUCUACGAUGGUUUCAACAAGGAUGACAUCAAGUCAAAAAAGGAAAUGUGGUCCCACACACAAUAUUGCAUUACAGGGAUUAAGGUCAGGGAAGAAGGUAAAAGUUGCAUUUAAUGAGUACAAUCAAUUGGUUAAACAGAAAAAUGGAAAACACUUAUCGAGCUACAUAGGGACACUUGUAUCUAACCAACACAAUGUACCUCUCCAAGCUAGUGAUUGGAAAAAUGUUCCAAAUGAUGCAAAAGAGAAAGUAUGGCCUUUGUUUUGGUAUGUUGUAUUUCUCACUAUAUGAUGUCAUUUCACUGUUAUUCUAUUUUGUGACUAACGUUUGAAUCAUAUGUAAGAAAAAUUUGAAGUAGAUAAAGACUGAAAAGAUUACAUGUUGGGUAUAGCCUCAAAUAAAUAUAGAAGCUAUAAAAAUAUGAUGAAUGCAAAAUACUAUGACCCUUGGCAUAAGGAUGCAUGAGGAGAGGUUAAUACAUAAAUCACCAUUUGUCUCUGAUGUUGAUUGGAAGUGGCUUGUCUCUGAUGCAUAAACCAAAUCCCCCACUGAAUGUUUGAUAUUUGAUAGCAGGAAAAACACACCCGCAGCUAUACACCUCCAUCAUUCAGAUAAUUAUAGUGGGGGAGAUGAUUCAUGGUUGCCCUUAUACCCUUUAUUUGCACCAUCUAUUGAGAUUCUUUAUCAUGGCCAGGUUUUACUGCAGCAAUAAGAUAUGGUGGCAACAAUUUUAUCUAUAGGUGCGGUUCCAGACCGCCUCCAUAGGUGCGGUUCCUGACUGCCUCCAUAGGUGCCUCUUCUUGUAAUGUUUGUUCUGGGAAUUACACUUGAAAGCCUUAUCGUGAUAAGGGAUUACAAACACUAGUUCAGAGGACAGCCAUGUUAAACUUCCACUAUGUUUGUGUCACAUUAUCAGCAGCCUAGUGUUUAUUGGUCAUGCUAUCUGCAACUAAUAUAACCCGGUGAACUUCAAUCUAAAUUCUGAAAGUACUCAUGUGACAGAUGGUGCCUUUCAGCAGAUAUCAUCAAUUUAAAAGUAGUGUGUGUGCCUAUAGGUGGGAAGGCCUUGGCAAAUGUUCAGUAUUCCGGUAAUUCAAGAAGGAUAUAUCUAAAAUAGAUUUUCUUCUUGCCCAUUUCAAUAGUUAAAAUUUGAGAAGAUUGUGUCCACAUCACACAAAUAUUAUUGGUCCUUCUGUUGCAAUUUACCUCUGAACAUGUCUUCCAAUUCCCACGGUCCUGUUACUCCAGGAAAACUAUUUCGGUCAUAUUGAAAAAAAAAAUAUUAAAGAAGGUACACAUGCUUUUAAGUGGACUGGGGCAUUCAUAUCAGGUGGUCUGUAUCCACAUAUGCCACUUCGUGAAAGGUGGAACAGCCUAAUCACUAGGCUAUUUAGUGUGGCCCAGCCACGUUAAUCAAGCACAAGUCUUCAUACUUAAAGUCAAAUGGUGUCUUUAGUCUCAUUACACAUCGCUAUUUGAAGAUUAACUCAUCACUAGUGUAAUGCGAUUAAGACAGUCCUAACUCAAUAUUUGUUCUAGUUUUGGAUGCAAAUGCUUGCUGGUUUCAUCAUUGGAUGGGAUAAAGGUGCAAUCAGGACUAUGAAUACGUGCAGUAAUACUUCAUUCUCUUUUUUCUCAAUGAGACUUCUUGGCACAAUUUUGCUGCUCAGCAACCUACCUUUCCAUGGAAAAUCAGUUGUGACUGAUAGUAAUGGAUAUAUUCUAGAAAGCUAAACAUAGAUAGCAUUCAAUAUUAUCGAUAUAACAUUAACAGCGUAUGUCUCAAUGCUCAUCAGCUACAAGCAAUGGACAAACACUUUGAGUAACUCACAGCAGUCAAAAUUCCUAAACAGGACAGACGUGACAGAUCUAUAUAUAGAACACUGCAUAUGAGUCACAGGAAAAGAUAAUACGGGUACAUAGAAGCUCUUAUUUUACAUAUUACUCAUACUGAUCAAAGUCGCUCAGUUGGGAUGGAUGGGAGAAGGAGGUUUGAGGGGUGGCUUGUGCGGGGAAGUUGGCAGCUUCUUUCCGGGAGCUGGUUGCUUCUUUGCUGGAGUUGAAGGAGGCUUAAUCUUCCGAGGUGGCUUGUAUGAGUCUUCAGCAUUCUCAGCAGGAGGGUGACCAGGGUUGUGACCAUAAUGUGGUGGCUUCUCUCCCUUAGGUGGUUUGCCAACUGGGGUUGGUGGCUUGUUUUCUGGGAGUGGCUUCUCUCCCUUGGGUGGUUUGCCAACUGGGGUUGGUGGCUUGUGUUCUGGGAGUGGCUUCUCCCCCUUGGGAGGUUUUUCGAAUGGGGUGGGUUUGUGUCCUGGUGGUGGCUUCUCUCCCUUGGGAGGUUUACCAAUUGGGGUCGGUGGCUUGUGUUCUGGGAGGGGCUUCUCUCCCUGGGGAGGUUUAGUGGGUGGCUUGUGUUCUGGAGGUGGCUUCUCCACCGGAGGCUUAUGCUCUGGUGGUGGCUUCUCGAAGGGGGGAUGCUCAGGGUAAUCACCAAGUGAGGGGGUGGUGAGAACCACCAUGCCAAGCAACAACACUAGCAAGUAUGUAGUAGACAUCUUUGGGUUUGGACUCAGACAGUGCAAAACUACGAGAAAUCGCUAGCCCUUUAUAGCGGCUCGGACCUAAUACUGACAUAAUAUAAAAUAAAUAUUAUAUUUUAUCAAGAGAGAACAGAGUGUAAUUUUAUCAUUAAUACCGAUCGAGGCCAAAGAAAGAAGACCCAUAAUCCAUUUCCCACAAGCAUACACAAUGCAGCUGUAAUUUUAUCAUUUACUUUUAUCCCUUGGACCACUGCAUUUUUGUUGAGAGACACAAUAACACAUUUUUAUCUGUCAUUCAACAUUUACAGUAAAGAGAGGGCACAAAACGCAAUUAGAUAAAUUAUGUUUUGCCUGCUAAAAAGAGGCAAAUAACUUUAUUUGCAACAUAAUUAUUUUGGUUUCUAGUGACCCCGGGGCCUUUCGGUUGGUUUGGGAUCGGAAAAUGAACAUCAUAGGGGGGGUUGUGCCCUUAUGGGCAUAUAUAUCUGAUAGCUUCAACUGGCCUUGUUCCUAGAAAGAAAUUGCCAAAGAUAUAAACUUAUUCCAGGCUGAAAGUAGAUGAGAGUCAUAAUGAACAUCAACCUUUGUUCAGUUUGAUUCAAUGCCCCCAUAGUGUUCAUUUCACAGAUCUGAAUGAUUAUAUCCGUUGAAUACAUAAAUUAAUGAAGACAAAUAUGAAACCCAAGAUACAUCUCUGCAUAACAACCCCAACCCUGGUUGCUAUGUUUCCCUUCUUCUAUUCACAUGAGGAUACUGGUUAUAAUUGUCAAACUUGCAACAAGCCCUUUGACACCUAACGUCAAUGGACGAAUUAAAAGUCUCCUUCAAACGUCUAUUUCACAGCAUGAAGCUUAUAAAGGAUGCUGACAACCUUCAGAGUUAGCGACAAAAGAUAAUUAUCAAGGAGAGAUAGUUCCAUGAGAAUUCCAAGGAGUCUGAAUCAAAGACAAAUUGCUCACUCAAGGGUUCUUAUUUUCUUUUAGGUACAAAUCUCUUGAGUGUUGUUAAAGAAACACGUCACUGUCAUUUUGAUUUGCAUUUAACAUUUCACUUUUGUUCUGGAAGGUUUGUUCCGGAAACAUAUCAAAUGAGCAUCAUUUUCUUCUUCGGUGACACAUGGUCGCGAGUACGUGGGUCCAUUUUCAUGCCACUUAGUUGAAAAGUUGGAAAGAAAAAACAUGCCAACAAGAAGAUAGUGAGAGAAGGGGCACUUCAAGCCUUUAACAUGAACAAACAGUAAAUAAAAGAUGUUUCUCCACUCAUAAAAGUGUGUUAGAUAGCAAUAUAACGAAUCACAUCCAAAAUCUUUACUAGGCUCAAACAUAAAGAAGACUCAUUUUUAAGAAAAGAUAAAAAUGGCAUUGUCUGAUAGUAUCCAAUACACGAGAUGGCACUUAAUUUGUACAAGAUCUGUCAAUGCUGACGCACAUUUUCUGAUUAAAAAAAAACUGAUCAGUCAAAAGCAAUGAAGAGAAGUGAUGACAAUGAAUGAUGCUUCCAAUAUUUUCACCCCUUAUAGUGUUCUUCAUGAUUCAGAUAUAUAAUUGGAAAUAGAACAACCCUAUGCCAUACAUUCGUCUAAGUAUGGUGUCUAAUUUUUUGUGUCAGCGGUUGCGAAUGGAGCGUGCAAAAGUCCAAAUUGGCGUCUCUCCAUUUCCACAUAGGAAGGUGACCUUUAUUGACAAAUACCCAAUAUUUGUAGACAUUCCUUAAAUAUCAUAACUUCUUGUUGAUUUGAAAAUCAUUUUUCAACUACCAUGUUUUAAUAAAUAUUUUUUAAAAUGUAUUUUUAUCAAAGUCCACCAUGAUGGAUAAUAUUCACCAUGCAAUAAUUAAUAAAGUACAAACUAAGCGAAAUGAAAAGCAUUUUCUUUGCUUUGAGUUGAUUUUGGUUGCAUUGAGUUGAUUUUGGUUUCAUGGUUUUUUCAACUCUUAUUUUGAUUGGAAGAUGUCAAGAAAAGAAAACAUAAAGAAAAAUUAAAAGGGAAAAAAGAAGAAAAAUAAAAAAAAAUAGAUUUAAAAGUUAAUAAAUUAUUUUUUAUAUUUAUUUUAAUUCAUUUCACUUAUUUUUCUUUUACUAUAUAAAAUUUAAAUAAUUUAAAUUUUAUAAUUAAUUUAAUUACAUUUCAUUUUCUUCUAUAUUUAAAUAUUGGAAAAAUAUUUUACUUAAUAUUUUUUUCUUUAAUUUCUUUGGCAUUUUGGGAACCAAACUUAGCCUUUAAAAUAAAAAACAAAAAAAAAAUGAAAAUAAGGAGGGAAAAGUGAGAAAAGAUAAAAACAAUAUGUAAAGGAUUUGAAAAGUAUUAGUUUGUAAUUACUAUUUGGAUUUCAAUAGUAUUUUAUUUGUCUUUCUAUAUUUCAUGUAAGAGAGAAUUUAAGAUAUUCCCCAAGGCAAAGCAUUAGUUACCUGCAAUCAGUGGUGAUAAGGCUCCAAGCCAAUUUUGGGCCCCAUAUCUUAAGACAGUACAAUUUCCAUUUCAACAUUUCUGAUUUCUCAGAUGUUUCACAUACCACAGAAGAACAUUGUUUGUGAAAAUAUGCAUUUAUGUUGGAUUUUGUAUGCUGUGGGGACUGGGGCAAGGAUCAUAUGGAAGAGUGGUUGACUUUUUCUGUACUUUAACGGUUGAAAUAGGAUAAGCACGGGCAUUUGUGAGGCUUAAUUGAUUUUGAAGCCUGAAAUUGCGUUUCUGUCAUUUUGUCAAAAAAAUGGCAGAUUCCAUACUCAUAUGUUUGGCCUGUGGCCAUGUACAGAUGCCAUUUAGUGACCAGUUUGUAACUGUCAAUCGUUGCGUUUUGACUCUGCCUCAACAACAUCUGCCAUUGACGGGUUUUCAUACUUGCAAAUCAAAUAGUCUUUCGUCCCAUCAGGAAUUUCGGUUUAAAUAUUAUUAAGCAUACGUUUGGCUGACAAUCAUUAUCCAGUUCAUGAUUUGGUUUCUUACCCUUAAUCAAUGGUUUCUAAGUGAAUAUAUGUAGAAGGAAAUCCGAAGUGUAGACAGUAGUAUCGAUAACUCUCAAUAUUCUCUAUAUAAUAGAAUAAACAGCGUCAUAGUGAUCGUCGCCUACAAGCAAGGUACAAAUACCAAAACGAGUGACUCACAUAGACAUCUCCCAACAAGAUGUAGUAGUGACUGACACAUGGACACAAUUAACUCGUAGAAAAGGAUAAGACCAUUGCACAGCAGCUCUUAUUUUACAUACUACUUAUGCUAACCAAAGUCAAUUAGUUGGGAUGGGUGGGAGAUGGAGGUUUGUGCGGUGGCUUGUGGGGCGGAGUUGAUGGCUUCUUUCCAGGAGCUUCUGGCUUUUUCAUCGGAGCUGAAGGAGGCUCAAUCUUAUGAGGCGGCUUGUAUGAGUCUUCUUUACUCUCGACAGGAGGGUGGCCAGGGUUGUGAUCAUAAUGUGGUGGCUUCUCUCCCUUAGGUGGCUUGCCAACUGGGGUUGGUGGCUUGUGUUCAGGAAGUGGUUUCUCUCCCAUGGGAGGUUUAGCAAUUGGGGUUGGUGGCUUGUGUUCUGGGAGUGGCUUCUCUCCCUUGGGAGGUUUAGUAGGUGACUUGUGUUCUGGAGGUGGCUUCUCCACCGGAGGCUUGUGCUCCGGUGGUGGCUUCUUGGUUGGAGGGGGCUUGGGGUAAUCAGCAAGAGAUGGGGUGGUGAGAACCACCAGUCCAAGGAACAACACUAGCAAGUAUGUGGGAGACAUUUUUGAGUUUGGGCUGAUCAGAUGAUGCAAAACUAAAGCAUUACGUGACCUUUUAUAGCAUGUAGCUCCCAAUACCCACUAAGUAUUGUGGGGUCCAUUUGUGCCCUACGGGGUUGAAAACUUAGACAAUUGGGCAAGGACCCACCUGACUAUGGAGGACUAGUGAGGUGUGAUCAUAGCUUUAGGAUUUUUCUUCCUCUGCAGCCGUCGUGCCGUUGGCAUGAUUUUCUUAAUCUUAAAUAAAGGCAUAGUUAUAGAGUUGUUUAAUCUCUAAAUGGGAUUUUAUAUAUAUCUUCAGAUAGCCAUUAAUAUAUUUGAUGAAGAAAGAAAGACAAGUGCAUACAACAUGUAUACGACUAGCUUUCAUGGAGUUCAUUUAUGAUCAGUUUUCCUGUACAUGUAAACCAGGAUCAUAUAUAUGUUUCUGUUCCACAACUAUUUUGGAAUCUUGUUUAUCAGUUUUUAUCAUUAUAAUGUCACAUAGGCUGCCAACUUGGGCGCUAAAAGAACCAGUUGGGCUAGUUCGUUUCAGAAUUUCAAUGUGGAUUCAGGAAUUGUUUUGUAAGAUAUGCGAAAUAGUAGAGGGAUGAAUAGUGUUUCAUUAAUAAAAGUGUCCUGUAAAUUAGAAGGUGUCAUAGAAACUAUAAUCAAUAAAUAACUUUUUUUCCCCACGGGUGGUGUUUCUUGUGGGGAUCAGUGACUGGUUUAGGUUCACCCAAAAUGAGUUCAGACUAAAAUUGGUUUGAGUCAAUGCCGUGUCUCUUUUUUCCAGAAAUCAACUAUUUUAUGCAUUGAAUAAAUCAUACAAAGAAAAUAUGAACGCCCGCAAAACCUAAACCCUGGUUGCUAACUUUCUAUGUUUCAGUUCUAUUCACGCAAGAAUAUUAGUUUAAGUUUGGGAAAAAUGGCAACUUACCUAGUGAUUACUUGGUUUUGGUUUGCGACUAUUUACGCAACCAACCAUGAGUUUGACUUUAACGUCAUGGGUUGAAGCCUCCUACAGGAAGGGAGAAAGCUCCACAGCUAGCUCCAAAAGAGAAUUAUCACAUUGAUAGCUCCAGAGAUUCCCAAGGGGACUGAAUCAAAGACAAGUUCCUCACUUUUUCUUCUUUUGAGGCCAAAUAUGAACCAAGGAUCACACAACCUCAUUCAACUUCAUAAGUUUGAUUUCAUGCAGUUGAACACUGGGUGAAGGCCAUGACAAGAAUUGAUUCAAAAAUUCUAUCACUCUUUUAAGUAAUGGAAGAUUAUUAUCUCUGAUUGGCAUCACAACAGCACAUGCUCCUAGAUCUUUCUAGACACUCCAUGCAAUGAAAGCACAAUGGAUCUUGUAACGAUAGAAACUAAGCCAUGCUACAGUACUAGAUGAUGAGGUAAAACUAGUAGACACGGGUGGCAGCCUAUAUGGGAGGGACACAAGUCUAAUUGAUUUGCAUUUCAGCAUUAUAGAUAGGUAUGUUUUGGAAGAUUUGUUCUGGAAAUACCGCACCAAGUAGGAUUCUUUUUCUCUUUAGUGGGUCCACUUGCAUGCCAAUUAACGAGUUGAAAAGUAUGAGCACCUACCUCGUGCUCGUGGAACCGAAGGUCAGUGAAGUGGGGCUCCUUUUGGCCUCGUGUAAACUUGAUUCAGAAGUGAAGUUAAUAGUCUUCCAUUCAGAUGGAUACAUGGGAAUUUUUCUCUUUUAUUUAUUUAUUUAUUUUUUUUUUGUGUGUGUAUGUCAAAGGAUAAUGAAUGAAGCGCGUUAGCUUGUUUUCUGACUGGAACCGCAGAUGUCCAAAUUGGAGUUCCUUCAUUUCUUACUUAGGAUUGUUACAUGUAUAAACAAGGUAUAAGAAAUAUGCCAACGUGUCUUGAGGAGUUAUUGAUUAGAAAUAACAAGUCACCCGACUGUAGAGUUCCAAGAUUUGAAUCUUCAGACCCUAUAGCAGCCUCUGGGGUACGUGGCAUCCUAUAGCAUAUUAAUGAAGGCUUUUUCGAUUUAGACUUCACAAUACCAAUUAAUAUGUAUGCACAAAAUGGAGAUGACCCCAAAAAAAACAGAAUCGCCAUAGUUUAUGAGGUUAAGGUGAUUCUCCACUUAAUAUCUACAUUAGCUAAUUAUGUAAAUCAAAUGAACUUCUAUUUUUCCUUUUUUUUUUUGGUUUAUGUCAAAUAGUAGCCCAUAAUUAACCCAACCAUUAGCCUGUUUGAAUUGAUUUCACAUGCACAAUGUUGUAGUAGUUCAUAUUUUGAAUUUUAUUUUUACAAAGGUAGUUAAGGAAAAUGAAGUAUAAUAAUUAUAAAAGCAGACUAUAUACACUACAAUAAUUGUUAGAAUGGUAUCUCAAAUUCUAAUUUAAAAUAUUAUUUUUUGUAAAAGAAAUAUUAUAUAGAAUAUUUCCUAAUUUUAUAAAUGAUUAUAAUUAGAUCUUUAUAAAAUAAGGAAAGUUGGUAAGAAUAUCUUUAUAAAUAUUUUAGGUCAUGAGAGAAAGAAAUGGGAUAAAAAUGUGAUGAAGAGGUGAAAUAAGAGAGUUGAUUAGGAUAUAGAUGUGAAGAAGAAAGGGAUUCAAUAUAUAUAUAUCUUUCAAUUACCACAUUAAAACCCUGUGAACCUUUUAUAUGGUUUACUUUAUUUUUAUAUUCCUCCUUUAAUAUAUUUACAUUAAUGCUUCCAUUGGCACAACAAUAACGAAUUACAAAUACAAGCAACAAGUCCCAUGUUUUAUUACCAAAAGCAGGUAAAAUCCACCUAAUAUAUUACAAUAUAUUCAUCCAAUAUUUUAGACCAAUUCUUCACCAUAAAUAUCAUAAUGUGGCUUUUGUUCUUUCUUAAAUUUAAAUUGAAUUGUCUUAUAUCAAUUUGUUUGUGAUUUUUUCAUUAACUUCACUUUCAUUUGGUUAUCUUUGGUUUUUGAAAAGUAUUAAGGAAUUAAUUAACAAAAUAAUGUUAAGAAAAAUAAUUUUCUCUCUUUUGAUUUUGAUUUUGUAGUAGAAAAAUAUAAUUAAAAUUAUUUAAAAAGUAUGUAAUUUUAAAUUAUUUAAUAUUUAGAUAAAAAAAAUAAGUCUAAUGAGUUUAAAAUAACAUAUAAAAAUAAUUUAUUUAUUUUAAAUUUAUUUUUUAUUUUCCAUUAUGUUCUCUUUCUCUUUUACUUUUUCAUAUUUUUUCUUACGAAGAAUCAAACACAACCUCAUAUUAUAUGUCAAGUGUUUGUCUAUAUUUGAGCAAUGUUAGAUACGGCCAUGGAUUCAUCAAACUAAACUGAUUUUAAUAGAUACUUCACAAAUUGAUUUAUACACUAAAUCAUUGGAUAGCAAUGAUGCAUUGGAAUUAAACGUAGGAUGAAGCUCGAAGAACACUGUUUGUGUAACAACAUAUUUAUGAAAUUAUGCAAAGGAUGAGCUUCGGGGUAGUAGUACAAGGUCAUUAAUGGAGAGCCGUGUUAAACCUUGAUUGUGAUUGGAUUCCGUUAUCAGCAACAGCAACCUUGUUUGUAACCUUGAAAGUCAUUCUGUCCACAUCGAAACUCCAAUUUGACGUUUGUAAUUACCAUUCCUGGAGUGUUCCUUGAUUGAAAUUUAAAUAAUAAUUGCGGCCCACAAGGAAUAUUUUCGAUUCUGUGGGAAUUUGACAAGGUUUGUUAGAGAAGACUGGUGACAUGUUGACUUCAAUGGUUCAAAUAGGAGACGUAUGUGGAUUUGGGGGGUUUAAUUGAAACUGAGUCCCUAUGGCUUUUUAAUAUUUGCAUUGAGCAGUCUCCAUGUGACUUCCUAAUUCCCACCAACCCUCCUGUCCAUGCUGUGAAACUAAAUUGUAAUUUAUCAGCCUUUGUCAAUGGUUUCUAAAUUAAAGAUAUAGACCAUGCAUGUACUUUAAUAAAAGCAAAUCUAAAGUGUAGAUAGCAGCAAUGGUGACACCCAAUAUUCUCCAUAAAAUAGAAUUAGAAUAAGCAGUGUUACAUUGUUCAUGAUCACCUACAAGCAUACAAGAACUUCCAUGAAUAACUCAUAGCAAUUGCCAACAGGGCGUCGUAGAGACUCAUACAUAGAACACUAUCCACCCAGAGGAAAGGACAAGACCAGUGCGCUGCAGCUCUUAUUUUUCACAUGUAUACCACCACUCGUAAUAACCAAAUUCACUCAGUUGGGAUAGGUGGGAGAUGGUGGUUUGUGGGGUGGCUUGUGGGGAGGAGUUGGAGGAGGCUUUAUUUUCUGAGGCGGCUUGUAUGAGUGUGCAGGAGGAUGCCCGGGAGUGUGACCAUAAUGUGGUGGCUUCUCUCCCGUAGGUGGUUUGCCAAAUGGGCUUGGUGGCUUCUCUCCCUUAGGAGGUUUACCAAUUGGGGUUGGUGGCUUGUGUUCUGGGAGUGGUUUCUCUCCCUUGGUAGGUUUGCCAAUUGGGGUUGGCGGCUUAUGUUCUGGGAGUGGCUUCUCUCCCUUGGGAGGUUUGCUAAUUGGGGUUGGCGGCUUAUGUUCUGGGGGCGGCUUCUCUCCCUUGGGAGGUUUGCCAAUUGGAGUUGGCGGCUUAUGUUCUGGGAGUGGCUUUUCUCCCUUGGGAGGCUUGCCAAUUGGGGUUGGCGGCUUAUGUUCUGGGGGUGGCUUCUCUCCUUUAGGAGGUUUGCCAAUUGGAGUCGGCGGCUUAUGUUCUGGAAGUGGCUUUUUUCCCUUGGGAGGUUUGCCAAUUGGGGUUGGCGGCUUAUGUUCUGGGGGUGGCUUCUCUCCCUUGGGAGGUUUGCCAAUUGGAGUCGGCGGCUUAUGUUCUGGGAGUGGCUUCUCUCCCUUGGGAGGUUUUGUUGGUGGCUUGUGUUCUGGAGAUGGCUUCUCCCCUGGAGGCUUGUGCUCCGGAGGUGGCUUCUGAAAUGGCGGGGGCUUGGGGUAAUGAGCAAGAGAUGGAGUACUGGUGAGAACCACCAUUCCAAGCAACAAUACUAGCAAGCAUGUGGGAGACAUCUUUGAGUAGUUGUAGCUAAGAUGGCGCAACACUGUAGGCAUUGGGUGGCCUUUUAUAAAGGGCUGGACCCAACAGCCAUAUGACACGUGUCAUGAUGACAAAUGA